rnacentral:lncRNA from 1 species
AAACGAUAUACUCAAAUUCGUAAGAUGUUCUCUAAUUUGACAAUAAAUGGUAAGUAUCAUAUGAGUUAAAGUGAUUGAAUUCAAUCAGUUCUGAUAUUGAGCUCAAUCAAGUGAGUUCAUCAUUUGAGAUUGUUAUUGGUAGGGAAUAUUAAUGAAAUGCUCUGUUGAAUGUUUUUUUAUUAUUUAUUCGGUAAGAUUUUUUUUUAGCUUAUGAACUUACUAAGCAUUCAUAAACUUACUUUUGUGUGUUAAAUGUUCAUUGUAGAUUAACAAGAGUUCAGAGGAUCGGAUCAACACAUCAGGCCACAGUAUCCAAAUUUCACUAGUAGAUUUUGUAAAACAACUUAUGGUUUAUAUGGCAUGUAUAGGUUGGAAUGAAAAGAAAGUAAAUUGAUAAUAUGGUUGUGAAUGACUCAUAUACAUAUAUGUUGGUUUAUCUGCAUGUAUUUAGAUAGUAGUCAAUGAAUGAAAUUACAUGGUAAGUUAUGAAAAUAAGUAGUGUGAUGACAUAUUAGGUUUAAAACUUGAUAUUUGACUUGAAUUGGUUGCUUGGUUGAGUUAUAUUAGUGUAAAGAAAUGUGUAUGUAGGUUGGUUUUGGAAAGGGUGAGAAAAGUGGCCUUAAAAUGGCCUAUUUUCGUCCACACAGGUAGACACAUGGGCUUGUUUUCUUAACCGUAUGUGAUAGAUGGCCUGGCACAUGGGUUUGUGGUCUGGCCAUGUGUCCCCACAUCUUAAAUUUGAGAAACAGAAUGCUUGGAAUUGAGCACACGAGUGGAGACACAAGCGUGUGCCUUAGCCGUAUGUGCCACACGGCCUAGAACACGAGUGUGUGUCUUGGCUGUAACAGCCCAAUUUUGGGCUCAAUCAGAAUGAUGGUUUCGAGACCACCAAUCCAAAGUUUGGGAAAGUAUUUUAUUAUUAUUUUAGAGUUAUAGCAUGUUUAUAUUAGUGCAUGAAAAAAAAUUGGUGAAGUAAUUUUAGCGUUUGUGAGCUUAAUCGCAAAAAAGGACUAAAUCCCAUAAAGUUUAAAAGUCUUAAAUUGAUAGCUAAGGGUGUUAAAUUGCCAUGAAACUUAAAUUGGGGGUAUUUAAAGGGCAAAUAGACCCUUGGAUUUUAGCUUGGCCGACCAUGAGACAAGAAAAUUUAUCUAGUCAAAGGGUUAGGUAAAAUGAUGACUUAUUGUUGUCUAGAAAUAAAUAAAAGAAAAAUGUUGUCAUCUCUUUUUACCAUUCCUUCUUCCACGAAAAAUAUCAGCCAUUAGAGGAGUUUUUGAAGCUUAAAAUUUCAGCCACUUAGUCUCUCUACAAGUAAGUGAUUUUGAGGGCUUUUCUUGAAUAUUUUUGUACUUUUGGGAUCCUUGUAUCUUGAGCUUUCUAUCAAAGGGACUAUUUUGCAAAAUGGUUGAAAGUCUAGGGUUUUUCCAUGAUAGUAGACAUGUUGUUUUCUGCAAUUUUAUGGAAUAAAAUGAAUCAUGGUUGUGAAAUAAACAACUUUUGUGAAGAGAUUUCUCAUGAAAACCCUAAAAAGGAUCAUUUUGCAUAAGUUGUAAAAUAGGUGAUAAAUGUGUGAAAUAUUGAGAAUUUUGGACUGCUUCUAGUAUAAAAAGUAAUCGGCUAGGCUUGGUUAGUGAGAAAAUAUGAUAAAAAUCGAUUUUCGGACCUAGGGGUAAAAUGGUCAUUUUGUGAAAAUCUAGGGGCAAAACAGUCAUUUUGUCCAAUCAUGAAUUUUUGAGUGUCUAGGGUAAUAUGAUGAUGAGAUGAAUGAAUUUCUAUCAUUUUAGAUCAAGAAUUACAAAAUCCGGGCCUAGACUGAGGAAAAGCAAAACUAGUGGACUGAGCCGAACUAGUCAUCUACACUUUGUAUCCGAGGUAAGUUGUAUGUAAAUAAUGCAACUACAUUGUUAUCAAUUGUGCAUGAAUUUUUAUAGCAUAAAUUGCUUACUUGUGGUAAUGAAAAUACAUAAUGAUAAUAGAGAUAAUAGAACUCCCGGAUGAACCUUAAGAACAAAUCGGAUAUUUAUGCCAUGACAUUUGGGUCAUUUGUGUGCCAGUGUAAGACAUGUCUGGGACAUGCAUCGGCACAUUAUGAGAGCUAGUGUAAGACCAUGUCUGGGACAUGGCAUCGGCAUUGAGGCGAGAGCUAGUGUAAGACAUGUCUGAGACAUGCAUCGGCCUCGUGAUGUAAGCCAGUGUAUGACAUGUCUUGGACAUGUCAGUGUAAGACCAUAUCUGGGACAUGGCAUCGGCAUAGAGAUGUGGAAGCCAGUGUAAGACCAUGUCUAGGACAUGGCUCGGCCUCGAUUUCAACAGUCAGUGUAAGACCAUGUCUGGGACUUGGCAUCGACUUGAUGGAUAAGCCAGUGUAAGACCAUGUCUGGGUCAUGGCUUCAGCAUUACACCUUAUGUUUGAGGCUUAAUGAAUAUCUGAUAGCAUUCCAAAUGGUUCAGCGGCAAGAUUUACAGUUUAAGUUAAAUGAGGAAAGUAUAACCAUGUUGUGAAUGGCAUAGGUGCCUAUUUGAAAUGUUUGCGAUGUGAGAUCAAUAUAUAUUAUGUGCAUUGUAUUGGAUAGUGAUGAGUAAGUUUUGCUUAUGUCCACUUUAGUACUAAGAGUAUGAUUAUGAAUAGUAAAGUUGUUGUUAUAUUUAUUACGUGCAACUUACUAAGCUUUAUAGUGCCAUCUAAUUAGCUCGAGGAUCAUCGGACGUCGGAGGCAUCGAUCACAUUAUCAUUCCAAAAAACUUGGUAUGGUUAGAUAUUUUAUUUUGAUUAUGGCAUGUAUAGGACUCUUUGAUUUUGUUUAGUGUCACAUUGUUUUGGGGCCAAUUUUGUUGGCUUGCUUUAAUAUUUUAUUCAUUUUGUACAAGGCCAUGAAAAAUGGCUAAUAUUGAAAGUUAUUAUAUGAAUGCAAAGUAAGCUUUCAUGAAUGAGGAAUUGUUGGUAUGGUUGAAUACAUGAAUUGUAUACAGACUUUAACUAUGGUUGUUUGGUGGUGAAAUCAUAUUAAUUUAGACUUUGAUAUGUUGGUUGUUGUUAGGUUGUGUUUCAGAGUGGCAAAGGGCUUGGUAGAUAGCCCUAUAUUGUCCACAUGGGUAGACACACGGCCAACCCCAUGGGUGCGUUGCCCAGCCGUGUGUCCCUUGCAUGUAAAACUUGCAAGUCAGAAUGAAAGGUAGUAAACACACGGGCAAAGACACGGCCGUGUGUCUCAGCCGUGUGGAGGACAUGGCAUCUAGCCACAGGCGUGUGCCUUGGCCGUGUACCCCUUAUUAGAUGCUGACGUCAGAAACAGAAUAUCGAGGUUCUUAGACACGGGCUAGGACACGGGCAUGUCAUGGCCGUGUGAGGGACAUGAGCUUGUGUCAGGCCGUGUGAAAACUUCUGUAGGUUCGGAUUUAGAAUUUAAUUUACAUGGGCAUGGGACAUAGGUGUGUCCCUAGAUGCUUAGGCCGUGAGUGUCACACGGGCUAUCAACACGACUAUGUUAUAAUGGCCACACGAGCGUGUUGCCCUUCCAUACGGGUGUGUGCCCUAUUUUAAGAGUUGUUUUUAUUUAGUGGGUUUAAGGAUCCGAGUUGGUUUCAAAUAGUUUCUAAUGGAAGUUUGAGGCCUCGUAGGCCCACAUUAAGGAGUUUAAAUAAAAAAUUUGAAAGACCUUUAAAUUUGAUUAAACCUUGGUGACUCAGAAACAAUUGUAUGCAUGUGAUUAAGUAUGUAAUGCCUCAUGCCCAGUCCCGGCCUCGGACUCAGGUAAGGGGUGUUACAUUGGCCAUGUGAAAACUACACCUUAAUGUUUUGCAAGUCAGAGAGUUACAAGGGUUGGAGACACUGUUGUGUGAUCUGUGUCAUUUGGCCGUGUGAACCACAUGGCCUACCCACACGGGCGUGUAACCCCUGUACAUGAGAAAAAUUUUGAAAUUUCGUGAAAAAUUUCUUGACUUCUCAGAUUAUUCCCGACUUGCUUCUGAUACUUAAUUUAGGUCUCGAGGGUUCAUUUGAGGGAUAAUAUGAUUGAUUAUGUAUGAUUUCGAAUAUGAAUAGUAAAUGUUAUGAAUUAACUGUAAAUGUUUUGAAAAACUCCGAUAAUGCUCCGUAACACUGUUCUGACGACGAAUACGGGUUAUGGAAGAGCUUGAAACUUGGGCAAACUCACUAACCUGUAUACAAGAAUUUACUAAUUUCAUCGGGAUACAUCUUAGAGUAUAACAUAGUCCAAUCCACCAACAAUCAAUAUUAACAAUCUUAAUGUAAUAUACAAACAAAAAUGAAUAGACUCAUAAUGUAUGAACUUAGCUGUUAAAAUGGUAAUGAUUCAACUAUCAGGUACUAGUUGGUAAUUUUUCGUUUUCCUCAUACGUCCUUCGAUCGUUGAAAUUCUUGAUCUAAAGUAUAAUUUGAUUUAACUAACCAAUCCAAGCAACAUAAAAUAACAUAAAAGAAUCAUGUUCCACCUCAAUUUCAUCUAUACCAAAAUUUCUCAACUUUUACAUUUUCUACAAUUUAGUCCCUAAAAUUGAAACUACUAUAAUUCUCACACUUGAGUUUAGAUUCCAAAAUCAAACUCAAUUUAGUCCUCCAACAAUCCACUAAAACACAAAAAUUUAUAAUUUUCUUACACAAUUUGGACUUAUUGCAUUUAGUCCUUAAGUUCAAAACUAACAACUUUUACAUUAUAAAUUAGUCCAUUAACAUCUUUAAGCUUCAAAACUAACCAAAUAGCCACAAAAGCUUCAAGGAAAUAUCAAUGGAAACUUUAACAACCUUAAAAAGUUUCAUGAAAUAGUCUCUGGGUUAGCGAAAUCAAGUUCCUGAUAUUCUAAAAACAUAAAAAUUACAAGAAAUGGAUUGAAAAACUCACCAAAUUGGAGACUUAAAGCUCAAACCCUAGUAACCGAUUCUUUUUCUUGCUAAAAUGGUGCUUUCGAAUGGAGAAGGAGAUGAAAAAAACAUUUUCUCUUUCUUUGCAUAAGCUUAUCAUAUUUUCUAUUUGUUUAAUGGUUUUAAUUUAAACAUAAAAAAAUUAUAUUCUUAAGCUUAAUUAGCUUUUUACCGUUCUCCAACUUUCAAGGUGGUUUAAUUUCCACUUUCAACCUUGUUUUUAAACUAAUGAACCUUUACAACACAUAAAUCAAUAGUGGUAGAUUUUUGUAUUCCUUACAAUUUAGUCUUAUUUCCUUAUUAACCAACCAAACAUAAAAAUUACCUGGCCAACACUUAAUGCGACACUUAUAUAACUUAAUAAAUAUAAAAUAUAUAAAAUUUACUAAUUCACAUGUUAGAAUUGUGGUCUCGAAACCACUGAAAAAUGGGUUGUUACACUUUACUACUUUCGGCAGUUUUCGACUAUCAAAGCAGUUUCAGUUGAAGCUUCAUCCUCUUUGGAUCUUUAGCAUAGAAGAUCGGGUCACCCUUUUGAGAAAGUAGAAAAGUUACUUCCUUAUGUUAGUAACUCUAGAGAUUAUCUGAAUAAAGCAUGUGAAAUUUGUCAUCGUGCUAAGCAGACUAGAAAUAGCUUUCCAAUUAGUGAAAAGAAAACGACUCGUAUUUUUGAGUUAGUUCAUUAUGAUUUAUGAGAUUUUUAUGACAUUCCUUUAUCUUGUGGAUCUUGUUAUUUUUUUACAUUGGUUGAUGAUUUCUCUCGUGUUGUUUAGGUAUAUCUAUUAGUUAAUAAAAAGAAGGUUUUCAAAGAUUUCGUAUCAUUUAUUGCUAUGGUUGACUGUCAAUUUUCUCAACAAAUAAAGUGUGUUAGAAGUGAUAAUGGGAUGAAAUUUAAUUCUCUCCAGGAUUAUUUUCUUACAAAUGACAUUAUUUUUCAAACAUCUUAUGUUGGUGGUACUCAUCAACAAAAUGGGAAAGUAGAGAGAAAACAUCAACAUAUUUUAAAUGUAGCUUGGGCUUUGCGUAUCUAGAGAAAUCAGCCUAUACCUUUUUAAGGGGAGUGUCUGUUGGCUACUUCUCAUCUCAUUAAUCAAACUCAUUCACUUCGUGUGUUUGGUUGCUUAUGUUUUGCUCAUAAUCAACGUUCUAAGAAUGAUAAGUUUGCUCAUCAAAAGUGUGUUUUUGUUGGGUACCAUUUUGGAACAAAAAGGGUUGGUAUUUAUAUUAUAUGGAUUCUAAUAAGAUAUUUAUGUCCCACGAUGUGACUUUUUUUAGGAUAUUUUUUCGUAUUUUGAUGGGAAUGUUGUAACCAUUGAGCCUGACAAUGUUGCCCUACCAUAUGGGAGUGCAAAAAUAAUUUUUUAUAUAUAUUUUGAUAAGUCAGAGGUGUUGCGAGCCACGACAGUUCCUCCUCUUGCUACUUCACAACCUGUGAGUUCGUCACUUAUGAGUUCUCUGACACCUGUGGUAUCUUCUUCUUCCUAUAAUAACAAAGUGGUACAGGGGGCUUUCGGUAAUGAUGCACCUGAAUUGGGAUAAGGGCAUAGAGAGAAAUUUCCCUCUAUAAAUCUUUAAGAUUUUUUCACUCAUACCGUCAUAAAGAAAUGUCCAUCUCCCGUCUCUCCUAUUUUAGAGCCUUUCUCAAGUACUCCAUUUCCUAUAGUGCAUUCUGUUAAUUGUGACAAAUUUACUGUGAAACCUAAAAUUUUCUUGCAACUAUUAUUGUAGGGGUCAAGCCACAGUUUUUUAAAGAGGCUAUGAAGGAUGUAGGAUGGCGUGAUUCUAUGCAAAAGGAGAUUUAUACUCUGGAGGAUAAUGACAUUUAGUCUAUGGAAAACACUUCCUCCUGGAAAGAAAGCACUAGGUAGUAAGUGGGUGUAUAAGAUUAAAUAUAACUUUGAUGGAAGUAUUGAGAAACUUAAAGCUUAUCUUGUUGUUUUUGUUAAUCACUAGGUAGAAGGUAUUGACUAUAAUGAAACUUUAGCACUUGUGGCGAAAAUGGCGACUGUUUGUGUUUUCUUAGCUAUUGUAGCUUCAAAAAAUAGGGAGUUACAUAAGAUGGAUGUCCAUAAUACCUUCCUACACGGUGAUCUUGAUAAAGAGGUUUACAUGCAGCUUUCUCCAAGUUUUACUCUUGAUAAUCCUGAAUGGUUUGUCAUUUGCGCAAGUCUUUGUAUGGGUUGAAACAGGCUCCUCAGUGUUGGUUUACGAAGCUUGUUACUGCACUGAAAGGGUAUGGAUUUCUUUAAUCAUAUUUUGAUUAUUCUCUCUUUACAUACACUAAGGGAUCUGUACACAUUGAUAUGCUAGUUUAUGUUGAUGAUUUGCUUAUUUCUAAGAACGAUUCUGCUGCUUUGAAAACUUUUAAAGGGUAUCUUAGUUCUUGCUUCCGUAUGAAGGAUCUUGGUGUUUUGAAAUUUUUUAGGGAUAGAGGUAGCUCAUAGCUCUUUGGUAUUAUUUCUUUGUCAAAGGAAAUAUGCACUAGUUAUUGUUUCGGAGGUGGGUCUUUUCCCAUAGAAUCGCCAAUAGAGCAAAAUCAUAAACUAGUGCAUGCUACAGGGAUGGGUUUGUUUGGUCCUAAGUCAUACAGAUGGUUAAUGGGUUGUUUAAUUUAUAAGGCAGUGAUCAGACCAGGUUUGGCAUACUCGGUUCAUGUCUAUCCCAGUUUAUGCAUGAGCCAAAGUAGAAGCAUUGGGACGCGACUCUGCGAGUUGUUUGGUACUUGAAAAGCUCUCUUGGCCAGGGAAUUCUUUUGAAAUCUGAUAGUGAUUUUUCCUUGAAAGGGUGGUGUGAUUUGGACUGGGCUGCUUUUCCGUUAACUCGACGUUCACUUAUUGGUUGGCUUGUCUUUUUAGGACAAUCUCCUAUUUCUUGGAAAACUAAGAAACAACAUACUAUUUCCCGUUCUUCUACUGAGGCUAAGUAUAGGUCUAUGGCUUUCGUUACUUGUGAGCUCAAAUGGUUAAAGGCCUUGCUAUUGAACUUAGGUGUUCAUCAUUCUAAAGAAAUUCCUUUAUUUUUUGAUAGUCAAUCUGCAUUGUAUAUUGCACAGAAUCCCGUUUUUCAUGAGCGUACUAAACAUAUUGAAGUGGAUUGUCACUUUGUUAGGGAUGCAAUCCAAGAUGGGUUGAUUGCACCUUCUUAUGUUCCAACCUCCAUUCAGUUGGCUGACAUUUUUACAAAGGCACUUGGUAAACCGCAAUUGGAAUAUCUUCUCAACAAGUUAGGCAUUUAUGACCUGCAUGCUCUAACUUGAGGGAGUGUUAGGAUAUUUUUAUAGGAUAUUAUAUUUUAGUAAUUUAAGCCCUAAUGGGAUAUUAUAAGAUAUUAUCUCUUAACAAUUUGAUUCCUAAUGGAUAUUAUAGGAUAUUAUUAUGGGAUAUUAUCUUUUAGCAAUUUUAUAGCUAUGCAACUAAUACUAUAAAUAUAUAUAUACCCUUGAGGUCUAUCAAUAAAAUUCAAGACAUUACUCUAUUCUUGUCACCAUGGAAUCAUUUAUCAAUAUAACUACUAUCAUCGUCUUACUUCCCACAUAUCAGCAGCUUUGGAGAAAUCACGAUUGGUCCUGUAGAUCUGAACCAUCGGAGACCUUAGCUUCCAUUUCCUCCGACCUAUUCAACUUAUUCACAUUAGGUUUAUUCUAUCCAUUUUGGCCUCUUCUUCGACCCUUGGCGAUGCCUCAUAUGAGGCUUACUUCAAUAAAAUAUUAGUUUUACCACUAAAUCAAAACUUUACUUUAAUAUAAUAUUUAUAGUUUAAUUAUAUUAUUCAUACUUUAUUAUCUUCAAUUGUAUAUCAUUACUUACUAUUAUUUAAGUGGAAUUAGUGUUACAAGUCAACCAAACACCAAUUCAUUAUGAAAAUGUCCUUUCAUAAUUAAAAUAAGUUAUAUUAUUUAAGGAUAUUUAAUAUAUUUUUUUAAAAAAAGAGUAAAAAUUUUGCAUGAGAUUAAGUUUAAACCAGUGCUCCUUACAUCAAUAAAACAUUAAUUUUACCAUUGAACUAGUUGGCCAUAUUUGAGCAUCCAGUGCACUACAUAUUCCCAAGUUGCUUGGAUAACUAUAAAGCUAGGUCCCUGUACUGUGUCUCAAUAGCCAGGUCUCUAUACUAUCUCUCAACACCCCGCCACAUGAAGCAACACCAUCUAACAACCGACUAGCACAAUCCGUAUUAAGUUUGCGCCACUCCAUGGGCGGAGCUUCCCAACCAACCAUCCUAAAUUGUCUCGCAACAGAAUGACUCGACCCCAUCUGUCGAGUAGAAAAGGCUUUCAUUAUAUCUUCUACAAGUCCUGAGUUACUUGCACUUAUGAUCUCAGUUUUAAUAAAGCUUUGACUAAAAUUGCAGUCGUUCCUCCUAUUCUAUAGCUUCCAGUAAAGGGCCCCAAACCAUACAUCCCAAAUUUUUUCUGUAAUACUAAAAAAAUUUCUGGUUUAAACAAAUUUAUAAGGAUCUAGCUUCUUCUUUCCAUAGGCAAAAAAUCCUCAAACUUGGAACUGUCAACAAAGUUGGUCCAUGUAGUAAUAGCAAUGAGACAUGAUUCACGUCUUUGACACAAGCCCUACACAUAGCCAAGUAUAGAACAUCUGUCAAAUGUUGCUUUAUGCAUUCAUCAUUGGUGAGCAAUUUACCAACGCAAGCCAACCAUAGAAAAGUCUUGAUUCGUUGUGUCCAUAUCGAUUUCCAUAUUUUUCUCCAAACAUAUAGUUGUGUUCGAAAUAUAUGGUUUUUACACGCAGACCUGUGAUAGGAUUUAUAAUAUAUAUAUAACUGCUUGAAUUUGGUAACUUAUACCAACUUGGUAUUUAAUGUUUUUUUACCUAAUCGGUACUUAAACUUAGAAAUUGUAAGCCAACUUUUCACUUUUUUAGGUGCCUAACUAACACAAUUAAAAUACGUUGAUGUGUCAUUAACAUGGCAUUGGCAACCAAUAGCAUGGUGAUAAUGUAACACCCUUUACCCAUGUCCAAUGCCGGAACAGGGUACGAGGCAUUACGGGACUUAAACAUACACAUUCAUGCAAAAACCAGAGCAUAAAAUCUCUUUUAAUUGAAAAUCUUUCAAACGCAUGCAUGUCAUCCCUUAUUUGGGUCUACGAAGCUCAAAACAUUCACCGAAAUCGAUUCGGGACUAAAUCGAGAACUUUAAGAAGUUUCAGGAAAACUUAGAAAAUUUUCCCAUGAAACAGGGUCACACGCCCCUGUGGGCAUAGGGACACGCCCGUGUGGACAUAAGGACACGCCCGUGUGGACAUAAGGACACACCCAUGUGCCUUUGGCAAACCCGUGUCCUCAAGCCGUGUAACUCUCUGUUAAUGACGUCAGCAUGCACAUCGAACCACACGGCCGGGCCACACGCCCGUGUCUUUCACACGGUUGUGACACACGGCAGUGUCUCAGCCCAUGUGGCCAACACUUAGGCUAUUUUCCAAGCCUUCAUGUUACCCAUAAUCUUUUACAACCUUAUGCACAUCAAAAUAGCAAAACAUGGCAUCAUUUUAGUGAUUAAACACCCUUUAUUAAGCCAUAUCCUUAACAUUAACAUGUCCUCUCUUAUCAUUAUACUUUGGUUACCAACUUAUUCAUCAAGCACUCAUGUUCAAUCAUUAUCACGUUGUUUUUAAAUGUGCAAUUACUAUAUGGCUAUGACCACCUCAGUUGGUCAUGGAGUAUACAUCCAACGCACAUGUCAUAUUACUAACCAUGCAUGGCAAACAAACAUAAUCACAUUAUAAACAUUAGACAUGACAUGAAUAGCUAGGUUUACAAUCCAUAAUCAAUAUGAUCCACAUCUCAUGGCCAUAUGCAUAUAACUCAAUAUAAGCCAACAUAUUUGGCCAAAGAAAAAUAAUGCAUGUCAAUCAACUAAAUCCCUGUACAUGUGACUUAUUUGAAAAUUUCUAAUAUAUACUUCAUUUUUUUUCAAAGGUAGCGACUUGAUAGUGUGAUGCUGCCUCCGACGAUCUCUAACCCCGAGCUAUCCUAAAAAAACUAAAGGAAAGGAAAGGAAGGAAGUAAGAUUUAUAGCUUAGUAAGACCGUAUGAAAAUAAUAAGCAACUUAUCAACUUGCUUCUCAUGGUAAUACAACUCUAUUUGCAUUUUUACUCAUGUUCCAGUCAAGCUAUUUUCUCGAGUCAUAGUCACUAAAUUAUUUAUAUCUGGAGCUACAGUACUCCAAAUUAAGAUUCGCUAAUUUUCCCUGAAACUAUACUCAUAUAUCUUCUUACCAUAAAAUUUUAAGAAUUUUUGGUUUAGCCAAUUAGGACAGUUUAUUCCUUAAAUUUACCCUUUUUCACCGUCUAACAGUUUUUACCCUUCUUCACUAAAAAUUAAUUAUCUCAUAAUACGGGAUCCAGAUGAUGUUCUUGUCUAUUUCUAUUGAAAAUAAACUCAUUAAUAAUUCUAAGCAUAUAAACUAUAACUGACAAAUAUUUUUUUACAAUUUUCAAUGAUUUUCUCAAAUCAGAACAUGGGAUUUCAAAGUCAUUCUGACUUUGUCUCACAACAAUUUAAAUAUUUCAUAAUAUGAAACUCUUUUACUUACACCAUUUCUUCUAUAUGAAAUUCGACUCAUUAGGCUUUAAUUUCAUAUUUUAUUCAGUCUCUAACUCAAUUUCUACAAUUUUUGGUGUAUUUUCAAAUUCGGACUACUGCUGUUGUCCCAAACUGUUUUAUUACUACAUUUCACUCUUUCAUGAUCAUUUUUAAAUGGGCAUUUAUGCCCAUCCAUUUCUCUUUUCAUGUUCAUUAGGCUACAAAGUAACGAAAUAUACAUUUCACGUCUCAAUUUAAUGUGGCCUCAAAGCCUCACACGAAUUCAUCAAUCACAUUUCAAUCAUCAUGGUAAGAAUACAUAUUUGUACAUCAUAAACAUAAAACCAUAAUCACAAGGUCAUCACAAUUUCAAUUUCACAGGCAUAACUUACUUAUUUGUAUCCUUACCAAAGGUGCAUCGUAUCAUGUUCGUAAUAGCAUUUGAGCUUCAAAUACAUACCUGUACCUUUUCAACAUGUUCAUAUAUUUACCUUCUCGCUUUCAUCACAAGCUUUGAACUAUCCACUGAACCACUUGGAAUACCAAAGGAUAAUAGGGAAAUAUUACACAUAUUGAUGCCGAUGUCAUAUCCGAGAUAUGGUCUUACACUGGCUCUCAUAUAUCAAGGCCGAUGCCAUGUCCCAGACAUGGUCUUACACUGGCUUUCAUCUGUUGGUGCCGAUGCCAUGUUCCAGACAUGGUCUUACACUGACACAUAUCAAGCCGAUGCCUUGUCCCAGACAUGGUCUUACAUUAGCUUUCAUAUCUCAGGCCGAUGCAUGUCCUAGACAUGUCUUACAGUAGCUCUCAUAACAGUAGUGUCUUGAUGCUCGUAUCCUAGGUAUUUCCAAAGGUCCAACCGGGAUUUCUCAAGGGUCACAUCGUAGCCAAGCUUGUUUGAAGAAUUGAUCAUACAAUUCACAAGAUUCGUCACCAUAUGAACUUUCAUUUCAUUUCAUCAUCCUAUAAUUUACUCAUCUCAACAAGAUAUCAUAUUUCAUCACAUUUCUAAUAUUUCAUAAAUACACAAAGUGAAAUCAACAUAUUAAGUUUUCGAUUAUUUCAUAAGGUAUAAUAUUUUCUCAUACACCCUAACACUAACACAUAAUUCAACACAAUAAUAACAAAUAGAUUUUCAAGUAUAACAAUAAUAACAGUAAUAACAUGCUUAUUAAAUCACACGGACUUACCUUGAAUACGAAAACGACAAUUUUACCAUUAGUCCAUAACCUUGUAUUUUCCCAAUUUAAGCUCGAAUCUCAAUUUCCUUGAUCUAUCAUGAUGAAAUUCACUAAUUUAAUUAAUGUACUAAACAUUUCAGACCUAAAACAUAUUUUGACAAAAUUUACAUUUUUGCCCCUAAACUUUUACAUAAUUACAAGUUUACCCCAAGGCUCGGAAAUUGAAAUUUAUUAGAUUUCUAUAAGAUUUAAGACGUGCUAAACAUUUUUUGUUCUAUGGAAACCUCAAAUUCUCACUAUUUCAUGUUUUUAUAAACAUUAACAACUUUUACUAAUUAAAUCGUUCUCCUAACCUCAAGCAUCCUUAUUCUACCAUUAAACAUCAAAAUGCACAAUUAUCUAGCAUGGGUCAUUUUUUAAACUUCAUUUUUCAUGCAAAUAAAUGGUAGAAAUAGGAAGGUUAAGCUUUUAGGAUCUCAAAAAUACGAAGAACAUUAGAAACGUGGCUCAAAUGCACAUACAAUUGAGCUUUGAAAAGCUUGAAACCCUAGCAAUGGAGUCAUAUAAAUUUUGGCAACCAUAUGAAGAAGAUGAGAAGAUUUUUAUUGGGCUUUUAUUUUGUCUUUUAUGCCUUAAAACACCCAAAUGACCAAAAUGCCCUUUUUACUAACCCUUCAAUUUUUGCCCUUCCAUGUCUAGUUUUGUCCAUACCAAAAUAUGAUGGUCUAUUUUCCAUUUAAGGGCCUCUAGUUUAAACCCUCAUUUCAAACAAGUACUUAUAUUCUAGAACUCAUAUUUUACAAUUAAUGCUAUUUAAUCCCAAUAACAAAAUUGGGCACUUUAUCAAUAAAAUUUACUUAACAAAAUUUGCACACAAUCACUCAAACAUAUCAUGAACUCUAAAAUAGUCAUAAAAUAAAUAUUUCUACUUCGGAUUUGUGGUCUCAUAACCACUAUUCUAACUAUACCCUAUUUCAGGUUGUUACAGAUAAGUGGCAAAAUGAUUUUUUUUUUAAUUUUUUUUGCCACGAGUCAAAAUGUGAGACUGUCAUAUGAACCAUGCUAUUAAUCGUAAAGGUCACACCAGCAUAUUUAACAACAUUAAUUAGGUACCUAAAAAAAGUACCAAGUUAGCUUACGAUCUCCAAGUUUAGAUACCAAUUAGGCCUAAAAAAAGUUUCGGUAUCAAGUAGAUACAAGUUUCUAACUUUAUGUAACAACCUGCUGGGCGAAGUCUCCGUUUUUGGUUACUGUUUAGUGUAUAGAUGGUAAAUUAAGGAUAGAUUUGAGUAAGUAAAGUAUUUGUACUGGCUAAGAUAGAAUUCUAUGUAAUACGCUGUUUGGUAAAAUCCUGAUUUGGCAAGCUCUAAGUUUUGGCAGACUCUUUUGUUAAGUAUCUACCCAACCCAGAUGCUUUGGGCAAACUCAUUAAGUUCACAAUUGUUUAGAUUUGUUUAUUGUUCUAGUAUGGUAAUUUAGUUUGCCAAGUUGAGGUCUAGUUAAAACAGAACUAGAGUACUACAGAUGAUAAGAACUUCUUCAAAGUGAAGGUUUGCAGUAUUUAGCUAAUUUAUACGUUAGUACCAGCUCACAUCUCAAGAAACUGACGAAGGUCCAAGUGAUAAAGGCAAAGGAACUGCUUUGUAGAUUGUGCUAAAAUUUCCAUGUGUUUUAAAUUUCUUGUUUAUAUAAUUCGUGUAAGGUAAGUAAUCCACCUCUAUAAUAGAUGAAAGGUGUAUUUGUGGAUAUUGAUUAUCCAAAAUCAUCAGUCUAAGUUUAGUAUGUCUGUGAUAUAAAGUAACCAUCAUUAUUCUUGCUACCAUUUACUUAUGAUAUGUAUGGUAUGAUCUGAUUAUUCGGUGAUAGAGAAGAGGAGAUAUGUUUGGGUAGCCUCCGAUAGGGCAACUAUAUUACAAACUAGAUUAGUGAUAAACCUCAAAAGUAACAUAUUUUAACCCUAUGCUUGGCAUAUUUUGGAUGAUUUAUCAUAAGAUUUAGUGAAUUUGAUGCUCCUAAUCCUUUAAUUUUAUAUUUUAUAUCCAGAUGAGCAUAGGAAAGCAAAAAGUACAAAGAAAAAGGCAAAAAAGGGACAAAAUAGGUUUAUUUUAGUGCUACACAUGGCCCCGACACUUCCACAUGGGUAAUCCACACGCCCGUGUGAGACACACGAGUAGACCACACGCCCGUGUCUCAUGGCCGUGUCAACUUAAGACCAUAUUAGAAUUGUGCACGGGCUGAGCACUAUCACACGGGUGUAUCACAUGGUUGUGUCCCUGUCGAGACCUAUUUUAAUUCUACUCAAAAAAGGCUAAAUUUGGGCUAUUUUGGGCAUUCCAAAGUCUAGUUAAACACACGAGGAGAGGAUCUAAGGGGACACACAGAGUAGAAGGAAGAAAAUACUCGAAGACAGCCAUUGGAAUCCACUUGGAAGCAGGAUUUACUUCAAGACUAAAAAUCUCCAUUCAGUUUCUACUGAAGUUUUUGGGUUUCUUUAUGUUUUGUUGUUUUCCCAAUUUUGAGAUGUUUUCCCCUAUCGUUAUGAACUAAAUUCCCUAAAUACCUAGGGAAGAUGAAACCGAAGAAGAAUAUUAUUAUCUUUUGAAUUAUAUGAUAAAUACUUGUUCUUAUUCUUAAUUAUGAGUUUUAAUCCUUACUUUAAUAUUUCAAGAUAUUAAUUCAGGUUUUGAUGUGCUUAUUUAGUGGUGCAAAAAUCCCUGUUUAAGAGUAGAUCUUCCAUAAUUAAGUGGAGUUGAUUGCAAUCCUAGAGAUAGGACGACAUAAAUCUAUCGGAUUAGAGUCAAAUCUAAUAAGGGAAUCCAUAGAUUGAGUUAAUGCGACAAUAGGGGUUUUAAUUAGAAAGAGAUUUCAAUUAAUCAACCUAGAGUCAGUUGUUUUUAGUCUCGAGAGAGAUAUUAACAUAAGCUAGGAAUUUUUACGAAUUAAGUUGAGUGAAUAAAUCGUCUAAUUCAGAAGUAAUAAGUGAAGUCUAGGUGGAUUCUUCCUUGGGUAUUGUCUUCUCCAUCGGUUUUCCAAAAGUAUUUUCCAACUUUUAUCUCUUUCAUGUUCUUAGUUAGUUAGAUUGUUAAUCUUGGUUUAAAAAAUAUCCCUUUAAUUCUUAGGCUAGAUAAUAAAAAGAUAGUAAUUACUAGUACUUUUAGUCCUUGUGGAUUCGAUAUUUCCGGUCUCACCAUAACUAUACUACUGUUUGAUAGGUGCGCUUGCCUUACUCGAAUUUUUAGUCAGUUUAGCGACCAUCAAGUUUUUGGAGCCGUUGCCGGGGACUAAGAUAUUAGGAACGCAUGAAUUUUAUUACUUUAGCCAUUUUUUUAUUUUUUUAUUUUCAUUGCAAAUUAUUUUCUGUUUUAAUUUAAUUUUUACUUCUCUUCUAAUCUCCUUGUUAUUUGCUUCUGGCAGGAAUCUCUAGUUUAUGACUAGAAGGAACCCGUCAGGACCUUUGCUAUUUAACAGUGAGAUAGAAAGUACAACUCGUAGAAAUCGAAGAGAAAUAAGGUGAAGCCUAUAGUAUAUAGAAGAAGAGCAAGAGGAUGUGACCAAUAUACCUGAAGAGAUGGCGGACAUUCCGAAUUAUUUGCUACCUCCUGUAGUUGCUACAAAUCUAGUAAAUUAGAAUCCUGCUCCUCGUACUAUGUAUGAUUAUGCUAAGCCUACUUUAACAGGAAUUGAAUCGAGUAUUGUUAGACCUGCUGUUUCUGCAAAUAAUUUUGAACUAAAUCCUAACACGAUUCAAAUGAUGCAACAGUUUGUUCAGUUUGAUGGUUUGCAAGACGAGGAUCCAAACACUCAUUUAGCAAAUUUUCUGGAAUUCUGCGACACCUUUAAGAUCAAUGGCGUUUUUGACGAUGCCAUUCGCCUUCAGUUGUUUCCCUUUUCAUUACGGAAUAAGGCUAAAUAGUGGUUGAAGUCGUUACCACGAGGGUCAAUCACUACUUGGGAACAAAUGACUGAAAAAAUUUUGCUUAAAUAUUUUUCGUCAGCUAAAACGGCUAAGUUGAGGAAUGAUAUCUCUUAUUUUGUACAAAUGGAUUUAGAAACACUUUAUGAUGCAUGGGAGAGAUAAAAAGAUUUAUUGAGAAGAUGCCCUCACAUGGGUUACCUUUAUGGUUACAGGUUCAGACCUUCUACAAUUGUGUGAACCCCUUAACAAGGCAACUGAUUGAUGCAGCCACCGGUGGAACCUUGAAUAACAAAACACCUGAAGAGGCUUAUGAAUUUAUUGAAGAGAUGUCACUAAACAACUAUCAGUGGUAAGUCAUGAGAACGAAGCCAACAAAAGCAACUGGUGUUUUCAACUUCGACGCAGUCACUAUGCUAUCUAACCAGGUAAAACUAUUGAAUAAAAAAAUUUGAUGGUUUGUAUGGUUCUACUUAGGUACAUCCAGUGAUGAGGUGUGAUUCAAAUGAAGGAGGGAUGCACAACAUAGACUAUCCAUCCUUCAACCCCAGCACCGAAGGAGAACAAGUCCACUAUAUGGGUAACAAUUCUAGACCUCAGAAUAACCCUUAUAGUAACACUUACAAUGCAGGUUGGAGGAACCAUCCCAAUUUUUCGUGGGGUGGUCAAGGGAAUCAAAGGCAACAACACCCUCCAGGUUUUCAACAACCACCUUACCAACAUGAGAAAAAGUUGAAUCUUGAGGAGAUGCUUGCAAAAUUUAUCUCAAUGUCAGAAACUCAUUUUUUUCAGAAUAUUGAGAUAGCACUUAAAAAUCAGAAAGCGUCGAUUCAAGGGCUCGAAACUCAAAUAGGUCAGCUUCCUGAGUUGAUCUCUAAAAGACUGCAACAUGGCUUGCCCAGUAAUACAGUAACUAACCCAAGGGAGCAACUCCAUGCCAUCACUGUGCACGACAAAAAAGGGUUAGCUGAACCUAAAUCUGAAAUAAGGCAAGAAGUUGUGGUAAGCAAUGGUUAGGUUGAGGUGAGUCAUGGUACACAAAAGCCGGUAAGCAAAGAAUAUAGACCUCGUGUGCCAUACCCCAAUGCCACAAGGAAAGACCAUAAAGACAAACAAUUCGGUAAAUUCCUUAAACUCCUUAAAAAAUUAGACAAACAAUUCGGUAAAUUCCUUAAACUCAUUAAAAAAUUACAUAUUAACUUACCAUUUAUUGAAGCUCUUUUGCAUGCCAAAUGCAGUUAAAUUUUUAAAGGAGCUUUUAGCAAACAAAUAGAAUUUAGAUGAGUCAUCGCAUGUGGAGUUAAAUGCAGUUUGUUUAGCUAUUUUGCAAAAGAAGCUACCCAACAAACUGAAAGAUCCAAGGAGUUUUACCGUUUCUUGUUUAAUCGGUAGUUUAAAUGUUGAUAAUGCUUUAGCCGACUUAGGGGCAAGUAUAAAUGUCAUGCCCUAUAAAAUGUUUAAACAACUAGGUCUUGGGAAACCUAAACAAACUAGGAUGAGUGUACAACUGGCAGAUAAAACUAUUAGAUUUCCUACGGGUAUUAUUGAGGAUGUACUCGUUAAGAUUGAUAAAUUUAUAUUCCCAGUCGACUUUGUUGUUUUAGACAUGGAUGAGGAUAGUGACUUACCUUUAAUUCAAGGUCAGCCAUUUUUAGCAACUUCUAGAACUAUCAUAGAUGUUGGUACAGGUUAAUAACGCUUUGUCUAGGUGAUGAAACCAUCACUCUUCAAGCUCGAGAUUCGGUCAAGACAUCGAGUGAUGAAGGUAAUUGUCUAAAUCCUGAUAAUAUGCCUACUCAUGUGGUUCAACCCUCUUUGUAGGAAAUUUUUUUGAGUAAUACAAAUGAGCCACAUUCUAGUUCAUUCGACAACAUUAGAACAGUUCAUGAAGAAUGAAGGCUUCAGAUAGAAGAACUAGAUGAAUGGCGGACACAUGUCAAGGAGGAACCAAAAAUACACAAGGCCGAAUCAAAACAAAACCAUGACGAGCAUAAAGACGAGACAAACCAAUUCAAGGUAGGGACCAAGUCUAGUUAGAUAAAAAAGACCCUCGAAUUAUCAAUACAAAGCUCAAUGCAAACGGAGCGACUCCUUUUACGGUACUCAAAGUCUUUCUAUACGGUACAAUUGAGGUAAAUCAUUCAUAUUUUGGCACUUUUAAGGUAAACAACACUCUACUUAAACCUUAUUUAAAUAAAGGAAUUGACAAUAAGAAAGAGGAGUCUUGACUCUGCGAUCCACUGUGACCAUGUGAAUACGAGGUGAAGUCGAGCUUAGACUCUAAAUAAGCACUUCUCGGGAGGCAAUCCGAGCACUAACACCACUAACUAGUUUAUUUUUAUCUAUUUUUCAAUGUUAAAUGCAGGUUUUUUGACCCACACGGCUUGGAAACAUGGGUGUGUCCCAAGCCGUGUGCUCUAACAGGGAUUAAACAGUGUAUUACAUGGCCUGGCGACAUGGCCGUAUGGACACACAGGCGUGUCCUUGGCCGUAUUGACCCUGGGACUUAAUUUUCCCAAAUAUCGACAGAGACAUGGCCUAACAGAGAUCACACGGCCGUACGAUAUGGUCGUAUGAACCACACGGCCUAGACACACGAGCGUGUCCUAGGCCGUGUGACAACUGGUGCUAAAUUUUUAAAUUUCAAAUAAGUCAGAGAGCUCCACGGGCAAGGCACACGGUCGUGACACACGGGCAUGUGAGAGACCACACGGGCGUGGGAGAAGUGAACGAAGAAGCACACGGUCGUGCGAUAAUGCCGUGUGAACAACACGGCUUGGACACAAGGGCGUGUCCAAGGUCGUGUGAUGAGUGGCCUGUUAUCUCCCUCGACAAACACAGGCUGGGUUUCGCGCCACACGGGCGUGUGAUACGGCCGUGUGGCCCAACACAGACCAUUACAUGACCAUGUCCAUUUUAAAACCCCCCUAAACCCUAACAUUUUCUUUUUUCUUCUCCCCCAACCCUAGCCACCUCAAUAUUCCACCCCCACCGUCCAGCCACCCCCUAGUUCCCUCUCUCCCUUUUUUUUUUCCUUCCCCUUUCUCUUUCUUUUCUUUCUUUUCUUCCCCCACCCCUUUUUUCCCUUUCUUUCCCUUUCCUUCCCUCUUCUCCCUCUACCCCGACCCCUCUACGCCCCUUAACCUCCUUCACUUUUCUCCACCAAUGACCCCCACGCCAUCUGUCCCUCUGACCACUGGCAUCCGGUUCUCCUCUCAUUUCCCUUUAUUUCCAUCUAUGAACUUAUCCCCUAUUUUUAUUAUUUAUUUAUUUUCCCCUAUUAUUAUUGUGUUCUUAUUAUUUAUUUAAUCAUUCUUAUGAGUUUAUUUACUUACUGAUUUUGAUUGUUAAUUUCUAUUAUUUUCAUUCUUCAUAUCUGGCCAUGUGUUCACUUUCUUUCAUAUUUUCUCUAUUUUUAUAUGAUGAUAUUUUCGUCUAUUUUUGUAGUUAGAUAGCUACUGUUCUUAUAAUUAUUUUUGAUUGGCUGAAUUCUAUUAUUGGAGUCUUGCUGUUAGUUUUAAGUUGAUUUUUCUUGUACACAUGUUUCUUUCGAGUCCUAUUAUUAGUACUCCUUAGGUUUUAGCAUAUUGGUUCUUAGUUUGCUUAUUGUCUUCAUUCAAUUAUUAUUAUUAUUAUUAUUAUUAUUAUUAUUAUUAUUAUUACUAUUUUCUAUUUAUCCUUUUAGUUUAUUUCUUUAUUAUUUUUGUUCGCUCUUUUUCAGGUACAUUAUGACAAACACUCGAGGUAAAUCCAAGGUCGUCGUCUCCGCUUCAAAAAAGCGGAAGGGUCUUAGCGCAACAUCUUCGAGCGCCUCUACGAGGUUCGGCAUCCUCACCUUCGAUUCUCUGUGGACCCCCCUAAGGACUUAUUCCAGCUCCUGCGAGUGCGACCACUAGGUUUGGGCCGAUGCAUUGACUGGGUCGUGUUGGAGUAGGUCGGAUUAGCUGAUGAGGUCCGCACUUUUAUUGCCACAGCACCAUGGAACCGUUUCUUUGAUAUCAUCGAGCCCACAUAUAUGGAGCUUACUUUGGAGUUUUGCUCAAUGUUUUACCUUCAGCGCAUGAUGUCAUUGCAUGACAAGCACGGUACCAUUACAUUCCGACUUGGUGGCUUGGUGCGACAUAUGAGCAUCCCUAACUUUGGCGCAGCUUUGGGCAUCUACACCUAUGAGUUUAUGGGUGCUGAAAACUUUCCUCAUCUCCACCGUCACAUCCAUUACUCACCUUCAUACUGUUAGACCGAUCUCAUAGCUAGUCAGAUCCCUUAUGACGCGAGUCGCUUGAAGGCGACAUAUCUUUCUCCGGCUCUACGAUACAUCUACGCCUUAUUAGCUCACACUUUGACUAGUAAGAAAGAGAGAGCACAUGAGUUGUAAGUACUACUGACGCGUACUAUCUUUAGAGCAUGGCGACUGGCCACAUAUUCUACUUAGAUUAUUUCAUCGCUCUCACCUUUCGACAUCAGACAGAUUGCCACAGGAAGGGUCCCAUCUGUCUAGGCCCUUACGUAACUCACAUUGCUGACACUUCGGUCUUCUCAAUACACCAAAGCAGUCCUUGACACUUACUCUCAUUGGUUAGAUGUCCCCUCAGGGCAUCUUGAGCAUGAUCCACAUGAGGAUGAUCAAGCGGUGACAUGGAAUGGACCUAUCUCAGUACAGACUAGUCUAGUCUGACAUUCAGUAUGACCUAGAGGACUUCACUGAUGAUGUUUCUCCUUAUCACGAGGACUCACCACAACUUCCACCAUCGAGUCACUGACAUGCUCCCUCUGCUGCUAGCUCCCUAGGAGUAUCCUCUGAGGAGUUCGCUAGUUUCCGUCAAUACUAUACUCAGAGAUUCGAUAGUAUUGAUGUGACUUUACAGCAGAUCUGUCAGUAUCUUCAUAUCACUCCUCCAGCACCACCGACUCAUGACACUGAUCAGUCUGAUGAUGAGGACCAUUGAGUCCAUUUAUCUUUAUGUUUAUUUUUAUUUUUAUUUUUAUUUUUAUUUUUAUUUUUAUUUUGUUUUCCUGUUGUGAACUUUAUUUUAAUUAUUAUGGUUUUUUCUUAACGAGUAACCCUUUAAUUUUCUUUAGCAUUGUGUUUAUUUUCUUAUUAGUUACUCAAAAUUUUGCACUACCCCUACAUUUAUCUACAACUCCACUUUUCACUAGUAUGGGAAAUUUGCUGGAAUGCCGGUGCCCCCAAGGCGCAGCGGAAAAAUAAAAUUUCGGUAAUCCAAACCACGGAUCCAUGUACGAGGAACGGAUCGGGAAAAAAAUUAUGAUAAUGGUUUCGAAAUUACCAAAACUUCAAUCUAAUAAGACAGCGACGCCUGAGCAAUGAGAAUUCAAAACCAUUAUCAAACCAAGUCACAACUUUUUCAGAUGCCGACCUCUACGUAAUCCACCCAAUUGACAAUGAACGGAAGAAGUCCCCAAAAUUGUUUUAGAGAUUUUCUUUACUUGACGACUGCUAGACCACUCAAGCUAGGUUUUGGGUUUUAUUUAUAUAUAACUCCCCUUUUUAAUUGGUAUAUUUAUAACGAAUCUUAAUUCACAAAAUUUUAAAAUAAAUAAAUAUGAUAAUGUUUUAACCGAAAAUUAUAAUUACAUUAAUUAUAACAAAGAUUUUGGUAAACUAUAUUUAUUUAAAUUUAUAUACGAACCAAAAUCAUAUAUUAAUAGAAUUAUGUUCUCAUUAUUUGUACAACAUCCUUGUACAUAUAAUAUGUUCGAUAUUUGAUUGCCCAAUUAAAUUAAUUCUAUAAUUAAUUUAAUUCAUGUGACAACCAAAAACAAUACCAACUAUGUUUUAUUCCGAUCAUCUCAACCAUAUGGUGUGACCCUGUAGGCUCUUGUAACGUUAACAGUAAUACUAGAACGAUUCUAAUGUUACAUACAAAUACAAUGAGUGGCAUCUAGCAAUGCAUCAUUGCUACCUAAGUUACAAGAAGUCAUGAUACGACAUAACCUUUUGUGAUUUACCUUUCAUGCAUUAAUCCUUAAGUCCUUUAUCUCUAGAAUGAACACAAGUCAUCGAAUAGUCACACUUGCAUAGUCCAUCUCAUGUUUCUUGAUAUCUUGAGUAGACUAUGAUAUACAAAUAAGUAUGACAUCUCAAAUCAACUUAUUUGAGCAUGGCCAUGCAUUUCUAGUCUCACUCAAUCAAGUGGCCUAAGAUAUUACUCCCAUUAUGUAACAGGGACUUAUUCUAUAUUGAUCAACCAUAUCCCUCUACAUAGAUUGUGGUAUAUCCAACAUCAGCCUUUAUAGAACAACUAGUUACGAUGUACAUUUGACUGUAUCAAAAUAUACAACUCACGAUGUUGGGAUAAUGAUGAUCUCAAGUCUGAGGAUCAUAUACAUAUUAAUCACUAUGAGUAAUGUUGUGACAAUUACAUAAUAAUGCAAGAAACAUAUUCAUAGCGGGUCAGUCCAAUAUGUUGUUCUCUAACACAUAUAUUCAUGCAUUGAUUUUGACACUCCAUAUCAAUGACAACUCUUUAUCAUCAAUCAACUACAUGUUAGUCUUAAUGCAUUAUUGUUGUCCUAGUCAACAAUAAUACUUGACUAAGGAUCUUUUAAGAACAAUCAUAUUAUUCUCAGGACAUUAUUAUAAAACAGUUUAUUUAUACACACAGAAAAGAAACUGAAAUAAUAAUGGAAACGCCUUAUAUUAAUAAACAUGGUAAAUCAACUAUGUUAUUACAACCAUCUCAUGAUUGAUCUUUGGGCAUACUCUUACAAUAAAUUCAUCCACCAUUCAGGGCAGUCUCAAUCAUCUCCUUAUCUUAUGAUAUUUUGUCUUUAUUAUGAUUUAUAUUUGUUUGUACAUUAAGGACAAUGUACAUUUUAAGUGUGGGGAGGUAAUUUAUAUGAUGUUCAGAAAAUCCCUGAAUUAUAUUUUGUUCUCACAUAAUUUUCUCAUAUUACUAUUAGAAUGAAUUUUGAUUGAUUUAUGAUUUUUAUUGAUAUGUUUUGGAUUAAAGCAUAGGUAAUUGUGCAUUGAUUAUUUAAACUUAAGACAAUAGAGAAUCAAGCAUGAUAAGUUGAAUUUUUGAGAAUUAAAAUUGUUAGGUUGUUUCCCUGAAAUGAGGUAUUAUCGUGAAGUUUAAAUUUACAGGAUUGACAUCAAAAACCCAUAAUUUUUGUGAGAUUUUGAGCCUUUUAGAGUAUAUAUUUUUUGUGCUCACUUUAUUAUUGGUUAUGAGUGUGUCAAUAUUGAAUUGUUAUUCUAGAACUUGCUUCGAUUAUACAUAUCGAGACCACACCUUUGAUUUGAUAUACUGAGAUGAUAAAGGAACCUAGGUUUUAACCCACUUACCCCACAAAAAGCCUACCUUCAUAAUUAACCCUUAGUGAACCCCUUUGAGCUUAACAAACCAUUUCUUAAUUUACCCUAAAUUUUAACCCUUACAUCAUACUUUUUGAUUCGUUGAGAAUUUUUCCUAUUUUAUUGAUCCACUUUUUGUCGAGAUUUGAUUUGGCUAAUUGCCUAACUAUGUUCUUUUAUUUUAAUUGUAUAAUUUUCUCUCAUUAUUCAUUCAUUCAUUUAAAAAAAUGAAAAAAAGUAUACAUAUAUGUUGAUUAUUAUUAGUUCUUUAUUUUGAGCUUAAGUAUUUAAUUUCAUAUUUUGAGAAGAAGCUCAUGUUUAUCUUUAAUAUUGAUGUAAUUAUUUAUUGUUAGUUUAUUUUUCUAGUUAGGUAAUUUAUCAAUUCAAUCUUGAUUCUAACCUUCUUUUUUAGCUUUUUUCACCCCUUUAACCCAAGCCCCAUUACAACCCUGCUAAAGACCUUUUGAUUUGUGUAUCAUCUCAUUUAUAGUGGUGGAGAUUUGAUUUUCAUGCAAGCCUAUGGUAAUAACUUUUCAUGUUUGACUAAUGAGUGCUUCAUUUACCUUCAACACUUUGAGUGAUUUGAGUGAAUUUUUAGUGAGGAUGUCAACUAUUGUCGAUUUGGAAUUAAAGAUAAUUAUUUAGAUAAAGGGAAAUACUUAUGAUUUUAUGAUUAAAAUGCUCAACUGGAUUGUUUGAAACUUUGAUGUUCUUUUAGUUGAAUUCUCAAUGUAUGAUUAUUUGUGAAAUAUUUCGAAACAUUAUUGAUAAGAAUUAUAAGUUGAGAAGAAUGCAUUUUAAUUGUGAGUUGAGGAUUUUGCUUGAGGACAAGCAAAUGCUUAAGUGUGGGGAUAUUUGAUAAACCUCAAAAGUAACAUAUUUUAACCCCAUACUUGGCAUUUUUUGGAUGAUUUAUCAUAAGAUUUAGUGAAUUUGAUGCUCCUAAUCCUUUAAUUUCAUAUUUUAUAUCUAGAUGAGCAUAGGAAAGUGAAAAGUGCAAGAAAAAGACAAAAAAAGGGACAAAAUAGGUUUAUUUCAGUGCUACACACGGCCUCGACACUUCCACACGGGUAAUCCACACGUUUGUGUGAGACACACCAGCAGACCAUAUGCUCGUGUGUCAUGGCCAUGUCGACUUGAAACCAUAUCAGAAUUGCCCAUGGCCUGAGCACCAUCACACAGGUGUACCACACGGCCGUGUCCCUGUCGAGACCUAUUUUAAUUCUACUCGAAAAGGCUAAUUUUGGGCUAUUUUGGGCAUUCCAAAGUCUAUUUAAACACACGAGGAGAAGAUCUAAGGGGACACACAGAGUAGAAGGUUGAAAAUACUCGAAGACAGUCAUUGGAAUCAGCUCGGAAGUAGGAUUUACUUCAAGACUGAAGAUCUCCAUUCAGUUUCUACUGAAUUUUUUGGGUUUCUUUAUAUUUUGUUGUUUUCCCAAUUUUGAGAUGUUUUUCCCCAUCAUUAUGAACUAAAUUCCCUAAAUACCUAGGGAAGAUGAAACCAAAGAUGAAUCUUAUUAUCUUUUGAAUUAUAUGAUAAAUACUUGUUCUUAUUCUUAAUUAUGAGUUUUAAUCCUUGCUUUAAUAUUUCAAGAUAUUAAUUCAGGUUUUGAUGUGCUUAUUCACUAGUGCAAAAGUCCCUGUUUAAGAGUAGAUCUUCCAUAAUUAAGCGGAGUUGAUUGCAAUCCUAGAGAUAGGACGACAUAAAUCUGCCGAAUUAGAGUCAAAUCUAAUAAGGGAAUCCAUAGAUUGAGUUAAUGUGACAAUUGGGGUUUUAAUUAGAAAGAGAUUUCAAUAAAUCAACCUAGAGUCAGUUAUUUUUAGUCUCGAGAGAGAUAUUAACAUAAGCUAAGGAUUUCUACGAAUUAAGUUAAGUGAAUAAAUCGUCUAAUUCAAAAGUAAUAAGUGGAGUCUAGGUGGAUUCUUCCUUGGGUAUUGUCUUCUCCAUCGAUUUUCCAAAAGUAUUUUCCAACUUUUAUCUCUGUCGUGUUCUUAGUUAAUUAGAUCAUUAAUCUUAGUUUAAAAAACAUCAUUUUAAUUCUUAGGCUAGAUAAUAAAAAGAUAGUAGUUACUAGUACUUUUAGUCCUUGUGGAUACGAUAUUUCCGGUCUCACCAUAACUAUACUACUUUCAAUAGGUGCACUUGCCUUAGUUGAAUUUUUAGUCAGUUUAACGACUAUCAAUUGGCAUAUCACGAUAAAACAUGUUAUUCUGAAUGAAAAUGAUAUGAGGUGUUAAGGGGGUAAAUGUAUGAAAAUGAAAAUUUAUGAUAUGCUUUUAAUUCUACAUUUUGGGUACGUGGGUGCCAUGAAGAUAGUUUAUCUAAGUUAUGUUAAGUUGGGUACAGUAUACACUCAUGUGUUAUGAUAAGUUGGUGUGCUCAAUUUGUCUGUGUUCUGCAUACACCGUCGGGUAUACUAUGUUCAUCGUGUGUAAGUGUUCCUAAAAGGUUCGGAUGUAUUGUAACACCCCUUACCCGUACCCGAGGCCGGGAUAAGGUACGAGGCAUUACCGGACAAACAUACAAACAUUAAACUAAAAUACGGGCCAUAAAAUUUCAUUCAUAUUUCAAAACGUUCAUUCACUUACACAUAGUCCCUUAUUUGAGUCUACAAAGCCCAAAACAUACUUUAGAAAGGGUUUGGGACUAAACCGAGAACUUACGAAAAUCUAGGAAAUUUCAUGCUUUAAGGCUCCACAUGCCCGUGUCCCAAAGUCGUGUUCCAUACACGGCUGAGACACAUGGUCGUGUCUCUGCCUAUAUGGAAUAUACCUAGGCUAUUUUCCAAGCUUUUGCACUUAUACAAAAUCAAAAGCAUAUAACAUGGUAUUCAUUUAAUGAUUAAAUAUUCUCAAUUAAACCACCAACAUAGCAUUUGUAUGUCAUCAUACAUGUGUCUCUCAUACUCAUUUUACCUUGUUUAUUAUAGUACCACUUAUACAUUUAUACCAAGAUUAUCAUCUUACAAAAUAUCUUCAGCUUAAUCAUCAAGCAUUCAUAUUUAAAACUAGAUCAUAUCUUUAUAAAAUACCACAAUUCAGAUACGCAAAAUAACAUGUUUGCCUGAAACAUUUCAAUUCAACUCCAUACCCAACAAGCAUUACAUUGAGACUAGUCAUAUAUAUAUACAUGUCAUGAUACAUAUCAUUCUCUUUUUGUUUUCUUGUAAACACAUAUCAUUUAUUUCAUUAUAUCAAUAUUUCAUAUACCAUAGUUUCCAUGUAUUCCACAUAUAUUUAUUUUCCUCCUCCUCCUCUCCAUUCCACAUCCUUAAUGUAUAUAACAUUCUUGUAAGUACGAUUUCACAAUUUACUAGUAAAUGCUCACAUCAAACUUUCCACACGAGUCAUAGUCACUUACUUAUUUAUAAUUCGAGCUACAGAGCUCCAAAUUAAGAUCCGUAAAUUUCCCCUAAAACUAGACUCACAUAUAUUUCCACCAUAAAAUUUUCAUAAUUUUUGGUUUAUCCAAUUAGUACAGUUUAUUCAUUAAAAUUUCCCCUGUUUCACUUUCUGACAGUUCUGACCUCUCUUCACUAAAAUUUAAUUAUCUCACAGUACAGAACUCGGAUAAUGUUCUUGUUGAUUUAUCUUGAAAAUAGACUCAUUAAGGAUUUUAAAAACAUAAGUUUAAGACUCUAAUUAUUUUUAUCCAAAAUUUUGUGAUUUUCCAAAGUCAAAACAGGGGAUCACGUAAUCAUUCUGAACCAGUCUCACAAAAACAGAAAUAUCUCAAAAUAUAGAACUCCUUUUCUUGCUCUGUAUCUUUUAUAUGAAAAUAGACUCAUUAAGUCUCUGAUUCAAUUUCUACUAUUUUUGGUGAUUUUUCAAAAUCACGUCACUGCUACUGUCCAAAACAGUUUUAUUGCUAAUUCACUCUUUCACACUUUCUUUGUAUUAGCCUCAUUUUAACAUACAUAUCACAAAUCAUUUUCACCAUAUUUCAUACAUCACAAGUAUAGGCCCAUGAUCACAAGGUCACCUUAAAAUCAUCCUCAUGUAUAACUUACUUGUUUAUAACCUCACCACAUCCUGGUCACUUAAUGAACACAUCAUUCAGAUAAUCAAGUUCCUGCACUUAUUCAUCGCAAAACUCACAAAGCAAUACAUAGAGAGUCUCCCGUUGAACACUUCGGAUCAAUCCUCGAUACUUGGUGGUUUCAGCACAUAGCUCCACCCAUCAUAUAGUUCGGGUCUCUUGUACACAUGGUGAACACUCAGUACCACCAAUGUGACCUAGCCAAUUUAUCUCAUAGCUCUCUUGUCUACAUGGUGUCCUUCACCUGGAACCACGCAUGCAACCUAGCUACAUAUAUCCCGUAGCUCUCUUGUCUACAUGGUGUACACAUAGUAUCACCCAUACGACCUAGCUACAUCAUAAUGUCUUGUAGCUCUCUUGUACACAUGAUGUGCACUCAGCACCAUACAUGUGACCUAGCUACAUACUAUCUGUAUCAUCCAAUCUUUCCGAAGGUUCAACCGGGAUUUCUCUCUCUUUCCAACAAUUUCACCAAUCAAGUUAUUAUCCACAAACAUAUUUCUAAUAUUAUUAUAAAAUAUCAAAAUACAAGUAAUAUUGAUAAAUUACUUACAUAUAAACUUACAUCUCAUUUAAUAUCAAGGCAAUAACAUUAAAUUACACAUUGCCUUAUUAAAAAUCAUAUGAACUUACAAUUUCCCAUAAUAUCCAUAAUCAUAGAAAUCACAUUUAUGUAUGAUAAUUCAAUGCACUUCAUGUACCAUAGACAUAUUUUUAAAUCAAUUCAUAAACUUGGCACCAUAAUCAUUUAAUUUAAUAUAAUUCAAUUAAUUCACUAAAUUUAACUUUCAAAUAUAAAUUACAGCAUUAUUGUUGUAUUAUUAUCAUACCAACUUACAUACUUUCAACACCUCGGAAAUCAUAAUGAAUAUAUCAAUUUUACAUUGAAACAUGCAUAAAUUAAUGCUUAUUAUACAUAUGAACUUACCUCGAUACUAAAACGACCAUUUUACCAACUUUCCCAAUUUUCGAUUUUUCUCUCAUUCUAGGUUCAAAUCUCGUUUUCCGAGAUCUAAAACAUUAUAUUUUACUUAUUUAAUUAAUGUAAUAUUCAAAACAUUCCUUAACUCAAACUUUGGAAAAAUUACAAUUUUGCCCCUAAACUUUUGCAUAUUUACACUUUUGCCCCUAGGCUCGGGAAUUAAACUUCAUCCCUUAUUAUUAUGUUUUAUGACAUGCUGAUCACUUUUCCCUUCUAUGGAAACAUCAAAUUCUCACUCUAACAUAUACUUAUGACUAUUAGGUAUUUUUACCGAUUAAGCCCUUUUACUCGUUUUCACUCAAAACCGAGUAGCACAAGUUGUCUAACAUAAUUUAAAACCUCAUAUUCUAUUAUAAAACAGAAAAAUAAACACAUUUCACCUAUGGGUAUUUUUCCAAAUAUGAACCCUAGCUUAAAUUAUUGUUAGAAUAAGCUUAAUCAAAUUACCGGGAUUCCAAAAACGUAAAGAACUUGAAAAACAGGGUUAUAAUGGGCUUACUAUUGAGCUUGGAAAGCUUGAAAACCCUAGCCAUGGCUUCCCCCAUGCUAAUUUUGGCCUCCAUAAGAAAGAUGAGUCAAUUUUGGCUUUAUUUUCCCUUUUUAUUUCUUUUAAUUACCAAAUGACCAAAAUGCCCUUCCUUAUUAAACUUUCAAAAAUUCCAUCUAUGUCCAAUUUUUUUCCAUCACUUAGAAAUUGGUCAAAUUUCUAUUUAAGACCCCCUAAUUAAUAUUUCAAAGCAAUUUCAUACUAGAAACUUCUAGAAUGCAAGUUUUGCAACUUAUUCAAUUUAGUCCCUAACUUCAAAUUGAGCACUUUAUGCAUAGAAUUUCUUCACGAAAUUUUCACACAAUCAUGAAAUCAUAUCAUAGACCUCAAAAUAAUCAUAAAAUAAUUAUUUCUAUCUCGUAUUUUGUGGUCCCGAAACCUUUGUUCCAACUAGACCCAAUUUUGGGCUAUUACAUGUAUUGUAAGUAAUGAUAUGUAUGGUUUCUUUCUCGAAACUCACUAUGUUCAUAUGAACUUACUACGUUACCUCUUCAUUUUCAGGCUUGCUGACUAAAGGAAGACUUUAUUAGAAAAACUACGCUAGAGCGUUACUGUUAUUGUGAGCUGAUUUUUUUGUUCUGCAUCGUGCAUAACUCCUGGGGCGGCAUAUAAAUGUGUUUUGGAAAUUAUCUGUAUAAAGAACUUCUACUUUGACAAGACUUUAUUUUUGCAGGAUUUCUAUUAAGUAUCAAUGUCUAGAUUUAAAUUAUUGUAUUCUGUUUAAUGAAAUUAUUAGAUUUGAACUUGUAUGCCAAAUGGCUUAAACAUUAUUUCAAACUGUUAAUAAUUUCAUUCAAACUUCAAUAGAACCACAACUAUCAUAUUUUUAUAUAUAUAACCUUGUAAUAAUUUUUUAGAGCUUCCACCAAAUUGUUUUGCUUUAAGCUAGUCUAAUUUUGAUUAGUGACACAUCAAACUCGAAUCCUAUCAUAGGGUUGAGCUUAUCAUAUUACACUUCAAGUGCAUUUAUACAUUUAUAUAUAUUAAGGAAAGUACAAAAAUGCUCGAAUUCUAUUUUGGUCACUGAACUCUUAAUUUUUUCUAUUUUGGUUACUAAGCUAUUUGAAAUCAGUUUUAUUUUGCUACCGAACGUUAACAAUCAUUGAAAUUUAACAAAAGUGCCAACAUGAACUUGUUUAUUAGUCUAAAAACAAAUUUAGCCCUCUAAAUUUAAAUAGAAUAUCUAUUUAUAUUAAAAAUUUAUACAAAAAUAUUAAAAUUUAUUAAAAUUCCUAAAAGAGUAAAAUAAUAUUUUUUAUGAGCUAAUAUUCCACUAAUUUUUUUGGAACACAUUGUUUUUAUUUAAUUUCUCAAAUUUUUUUAAAGUUUUAAUUCCUCAAUUAUUAAUGUCAUUACUUUGCUUUAUUAUCAGGUCCAUCACCUAAAAAAACUUGAUAGACGAACAAUAAAAAAAAUCAAACCUUCAAAUGAUAAAUGAAAAUUGAAACUAAAAUUUAAAAUAAACAAAAUAUUUUGUUUGAAAAUACAUUGAAAAUUUUAAACAAACAACAUUCUUCUUUAAUAAAUUAAUGAACGAAAACUGAAAAUUGUUUCAGUCUUAAUCUCAGUUAAAAUCAAUAAAAAAUGAAUAAAACCAAGAAAUAUCUAAUCCCAAAAUUGAUCAACACAAUUAAACCUCAAUUUCAAUUUUUGCUCAUCAAUCUCAAAACCUCACAAACCAAAAACACUGAAAAUAGAAAGUCUAACUCAACUGUUCAAAAAUUUCACUCAACAAAAAGAAAUAAUCUAAUAUUCCAACCAAAAUAUAUUAACUCUUACUUCUAUAAAUAGAAGUUUCUAUCAAUAAAUGAAAUUUCUAUUAUCUUAAAUUACAGUCGAUAGUUGAAAUGUUCCUUUCCAACGUAAUAGAAAUAAAAGAGUUAAUUCAAUGAUACUUAAAUAAUUUAAUAUAAUGUAAAAUUUAAAUUUAAAUUUAAAUUUUUUUAAAUAAUUAAUAUAAAUUAUUUGUUAAAUUAAUAAUAAUAAAAAAGUUAAAUAUAGUAACAAAUAAGAUUGAAAUAAUUUAAAAUAAAUAAUAUUUAAAUUAUUUAAUAUGAUAAUGUAUAAAAUAUAAAUUUUAUAUUUUUAAAUAAUUAAAUAAAUAAAAACAUUUGAUAAUUUUCACUUCUAAACUUAAAAAUCAAAAAAUCUAAUUCUCAAGUUUUAGGUUGGAAUAAAAAGUCACAUGUUUUGAUUGUUUUUCUAAUGAAAAUCACUUUUAACCAAAAGUAUUUUUCCACCCAAUGGAUAAAACACCCUGACAAAAGAAAAAGUGUAGGUGUUGCUAUCCGUACUCAAAUUACAUAAAUACCACUCGAACUUAACUUGGUUAAUACAAUCGUUCUAAAAGGUGAUCUUCGACAUUAUAUUCAUUACUCGAGUACUUAAAUAGAUUAUCUAAUCCCUUGUAAAAGAGCAGAAGUCUCAAUAUCACGUAGGUUUAUGCACUCCACAACAUGCAACAUACCCAACGGUAUAUGAUCCACCUCUUAAAACAAAAGAGAUUAAAGUUUGAGAACCUCAAGAUUAUUUUCCGUGUUAUUUCUCAACACCGUUUCCAUUUUUAAACACAAUGGGAAUAACCAAGCACAGAGAUCAUAGAGUUUGCCUAAUGGAACUGCACAGAGACCGAUAUCAUCGGCAUCUUAAUAACGGUGUAUAAGUUGCUUGUAUGCAUCCUUGUUCUUUGAAUAGUACUGAAUCUCUGCCUGUAUAUAAGUAUUAAUUUCAUCGGCAUCAGUUUAUGCAUUGAAACUUUAUCUAAAAUAUUAACAUUUUGGAAACCAUGGUCGGAACUUACAUUUCGACCUCCUUUUAUAGCCGUGAAAAGCUUUUCACCAAUCAUCUCCCUCAACACAUUGUUGUUCUCAAGAGCUUCUAUGGAUUCAGAAAGCGAUGCUGGGAGUCUUAGUAGUUUCUGGUCGAGUGUAGCCGGAUUUUCAUCUUUUUCAUUGAUAAAAGACAACAAGACACUAUUGUCAGGGACUUCUGUAUAAAAAUUUAUACAGUGAACAUUUAGUCAAAGGAACCAUUACCAUAACUUUUUAGCCGAUUUAUUCAAUGCGUUGGAAAGAAAAUAAGAAUCUUAACUUCAAUCUUUGCAGUACUAAGAGCUUAACAGCUUACGGUGUUUAAGAGAACUGCUUAUCAUCUGAGAAUUCAUAAUAUCCUACAUAUGACCUUUGGAUGAGAAAUUUUCAUAUAUAUGAAGAUCUUGUUAUGAGUUAUGGCCACAACAGUCUCUAGUAUUCUUUGCGGACGAGUGCAUUUUGUUCAGUCUCAGAGAUAUUAUAGGUAUUUGUGAGUUAUGCCUAUAAAUUUCAAGGUGCAAAACAUUUGGUAGCCCAAGUGGUAAUACAGAAAAAUGCAAAUAGUUCUUACUAAUAGGUUCAGGCAGAGGAAGGUGGUUCCGCAGGCCAUCAAUUCCAGCAGCAACUAUAGCAGCCAAUCCCAAGUGUGGAUUUGCACAUCCAUCAAAAGAUUUGAUCUCAAAGUUGCUCACAAAACCAUUUGGAACUGCCGGUGGACAUGCAGUUCUUACAGGUGCCUCUCGGUUUUCAUUUCCCCAGCACUGAUACGCUCCACUCCAUGUAUUAGGCUGAAUCCGGUCAUAACUGAAGACAAAUAAAAGUUGAAGUAGGACCUAAGUAGAUGAAAGUGAGGCCAGAAAUUGAAUAGGUAGUCCCUCCAAUAUAUGCUAGGGGGGAGAAUCCAUCAUAUCAGUCAGGUUAAGUCCGAUCUUAAAUUUAUUACAAAAAUAUAAUAAUAUUUAGAAGAAUAGAAUAAACCUAUUUGGAAGUGGUGCCGUGAACGCCAAAAUUGAAGGAAGAUGGGCCAAAACCCCAGCCAUGAACUCCUCCCCAACUUUCGACAUUCCGUACUAACUAGAUCUAUUGGACGCUGUAAAAACAUUUCGUCCAUUCUGCCAUAAACUGACAUGCACAUGGGAUCCCGAACCUAUGUCAUUCAAAGCGUACCUAGGCAGAGGAAUAGGUCAAAAGUGUUAGGCAUUCUAGAAUUCCAAAAAGCUGGACAUGCAAGAAAGCCUCAUGGUUGCGAUUUAGACAUUUGACAUAGACUUUAGCUCAAAUGAUUAGCAAAAGAGUGUUCCCAUAAUCAUCUAUUUUGAAAUAUUUAUAUAUUUUAAAUUUAUUUAGGUGAUAAAUCUUAUUUAGAAAGAUAAAUUUUAUUCAUAUUUUAAGAAUAUUUUUAUUUUAUGUUUUAGUAGUUUAUUAGAAUAGGGGAAUUAUUUUCCCAAUUAGAAUUAGGAUUGUUUUCUCUAUUUAAGUUCAGUUUUUUAGUUAAUAAUUAUAUAACAGUUUUAUUAAAAGCUCUCUUGGGAACUUUCAUGGCAUCUGAGAUAGGUUAAAUCUCUAGUAACAUCAUGGUUAAACCUUGGUGCAAUUACUGCAAAAAAUAUUGGCACACUCGAGAAACGUGUUGGAAGCUCCAUGAGAAACUGACAAAUAGAAGGAAAAAGAGUGACAAUGGUCGUGGUUCACAAUCAGGAGAUAGCAAAGCUUUCCAAACAACUAAUGGAAAUUAUGAGGGCCAAAGUUCUCUGGAAGGGUCUUCAUUCACUAAGGAACAAUUAGAGCAUUUACACGAGUUUUUUCAAUCACCACAAUUUCGGAUGAAUUCUUCUAUUCCUAACUCAUCCAACAAUCCUUCUUCCUCUUUUGCCCAAUCAGGUACUGAUUUUUCUGUUUUUCUCAGUGUCAAGCCUUGUAAAACAAACACGUGGAUCGUUGAUUCUGGAGCUAGUGAUCACAUGACUAGUAGUCAUUUUCUUUUUUCAACUUACACACCUUGCGCAGGAAACAAAAAGAUCAAAGUAGCAGAUGGGUCCUUCUCGGCAAUAGCCGGAAAAGGCAUUGUUAAAAUUUCGUCUUCCUUGGUUUUACAUGAUGUUUUACAUGUGCCAAAUCUAGCUUAUAAUCUCAUAUCGGUCAGUAAAUUAUCCCAGCUCUCAAAUUGUCAUGUAAUAUUUGACUCCUUUAUGUGUAAGUUUCAGGACAUGGUCUCGGGGAGGAUGAUUGGCAAUGCUAAAGAAUUUGGGGGAAUUUACUUUCUUGAAGACGACCAUCUAAGUCAACCAACUACUACUUUAUGUUUAAAUUCUAUUUCUGAUUUUGAUAAGGUUAUGAUUUGGCAUUAUAGGCUUGGACAUCCUAAUUUUUACUAUUUAAGAUAUUUGUUACCUAAUUUAUUUAAAAACAAAUAUCCUUCUUCAUAUCAUUGUGAUUUUUCUGAAUUAGCUAAACAUCAUCAGUCAUUCUUUCCACCUCAAAAAUAUAAAGCCUCCAAACCUUUUUCGUUAAUUUAUAGUGAUGUUUGGGGACCUUCAAGAGUCUCAACUUUUUCAGGAAAACAUUGGUUUGUCACAUUUAUUGAUGAUCAUACUCAAAUUUGUUGGGUGUUUUUAUUAAAAGAUAAGUCUGAAGUUAAAAAUGUUUUUAGUCUUUUUAUGCUAUGGUGGAAACACAAUUUGGUGUGAAAUAGAAGUAUUUCGGACUGACAAUGGUAGGGAAUUUUUUAGCGACCAAUUAGGUGCUUUCUUAACCAAACAUGGAAUAGUCCACCAAAGUUCUUGUACAAAUACACCACAAAAAAAUGGGAUUGCAGAAAGAAAAAACCGACAUCUUUUGGAAGUAACUAGAGCCUUGAUGUUCACUAGUCAAGUACCACGUUAUUUUUGGGGCGAAGCCUUGUUAAUAGCUACAUAUCUUAUUAAUAGAAUGCCCAGUAAAACUCUAAACUAUAAAACUCAUUUUCGUCUCUUUAAAGAUAACUUUCCUAACUCUAAAUUGAUCACAGAUUUAUCCCUCCGAGUUUUUGGGUGUAGUGUUUUUGUUCAUCUUCACAACCAAGGUAAACUAGAUCCUAGAGCAAAAAAAUGUGUCUUUGUUGGCUAUGUUUCUAAUAAAAAGGGUUACAAAUGUUAUGAUCCAAUUGAUAGGAAGAUUAUUGUUACCAUGGAUGUCACAUUUGUUAAAACACAAUCUUAUUUUGAUUCUAAUCUUCAGAGAGGGAAUUAUACUAAGGAAGAUUCUAUAAUUGAUCAAGAAAAGACUAGGAAUAUACAACAUAGGGAUUCUAAUAAUGGGGAAGGUGAAUUUAUGAUUAAUACAGAAAUUACUGAUGUUAAUGUUAAUGAAAAUGAGUAUGUAGGUGUAGAGUCUGAUCAUGAGAAUAAAGAACAAACAAACGAGUUAAUUGUUUACUCAAGAAAAAAUCGAAAUCAAGAAAGUGGAAUCCACCGGAUUCAUCACCAAGAAUCCGACCUGCAAGAUCCUGUCAAAAGUCCAGGUAAAGCUUAUAAUCCAGCCAAUGAAUUUUCUAAUUUAGAUAUUCCAAUUGCCAAAAGAAAAGGUGUUAGAAAUAUCGUCAAAUAUCCCAUGUCUAACUUUGUAUCCUAUAAAGCCUUGUCUUCGACAUUCUCAACCUUUGUUUCGUGUCUCGAUACUGUAAAAAUACCCAAAAAUGUGAAAGAUGCUUUACAGGUUCCUGAGUAGAAGUAGGCUAUUUUAGAGGAAAUGCGCGCUCUUGAAAAAACAGGUACAUGGGAAACAAUAGAAUUACCUGUAGGAAAAAAAACAGUGGGCUGUAAAUGGGUGUUCACAACCAAAUUCAAAUCAGAUAGAUCUUUAGAUAGAUACAAAGCCCGGUUGGUGGCUAAAGGGUACACUCAAACAUACGGGAUAGAUUAUCUUGAAACAUUUGCUCCUGUAGCCAAACUAAAUUCCAUUCAGAGUUCUUUUAUCGAUUGCUGUUAAUCUUGAUUGGACUUUAUAGCAGCUAGAUGUGAAGAAUGCUUUCCUAAAUGGGAAACUUGAAGAAGAAGUUUGAAGAAUGCUUUCCUAAAUGGGAAACUUGAAGAAAAAGUUUACAUGUAUCCUCCUCUAGGUUUUGAAGAAAAAUUUGGAACUCAAGUAUGUAAACUCAAGAAAUCUUUAUAUGGUCUCAAUCAGUCUCCUCGAGCUUAGUUUGAAUGGUUCACUCAAGUUGUUAAAAAACAAUGUUACUUAUAAGGGCAAGCUAAUCACAUAAUGUUCUAUCGACAUACACAAAAAGGUAAAAUACCAGUUAUUAUAGUUUAUGUCGAUGAUAUCAUUCUUACAGGAGAUGAGGUGGAUGAAAUAAGGCGUCUCAAAGAGCAUCUAGCAUUGGAGUUUGUGAUCAAAGACCUGGGUCCUUUGAAAUACUUUCUUGGAAUGGAAGUUGCUCGAUCAAAGAAGGGUCUUGUGGUCUCUCAGAGAAAAUAUGUGAUUGAUCUUUUAAAAGAGGCUAGGAUGAGUGGUUGCUGCCCAGUUGACACACCAAUUGAUCCAAAUGUAAAAUUCGGAAAUAAAGAAGGUCGAUAGUUGAUAAAGGGCAGUACCAAAGAUUAGUUGGUAAGUAAUUUACUUAUCACGUAUAAGGCCAGACAUAGCUUUUGCAGUGAGCUUAGUGAGUCAAUUUAUGCACUCUCCAAUGGAGGAACAUGAAGAAGCAAUGUUUCGAAUUCUAAGAUACUUGAAGAGUUCCCCUGGAAAGGGCUUAUUCUUCAAGAAAUCUGAGCAAAGAGGAAUUGAAGCUUAUACAGAUGCAGAUUGGGCAGGCUCAAUAAUAGACAGAAGAUCUACAUCAGGAUACUGUACAUUUGUUGGAGGAAACCUUGUGACUUGGCGAAGCAAAAACAAAGUGUUGUAGCAAGAAGUAGUGCAGAGGCUGAGUUUAGAUCAAUGGCUCAAGGCAUUUGUGAAAUGAUGUGGUUAAAAAGAAUUAUGGAAGAGCUGAGGAAACCAAUAACUUCACCAAUGAAGUUGUACUGUGAUAGCAAAGCUGCCAUUAGUAUUGCUCACAACCCAGUCUAACAUGACAGAACUAAACAUGUUGAGAUUGAUAGACACUUUAUCAAGGAGAAGAUUGAAGAAGGCCAAGUGUGCAUGCCGUUUGUUCCUUUAAAACAACAGAUUGCUGACAUACUCACCAAAGGACUCUCUAAGACAAGCUUUGAUUUUCUUGUAAGCAAGUUGGGCACGAUUGAUAUAUAUGCACCAACUUGAGGGUGUUGAAAUAUGUAUAUAUUUUAAAUUUAUUUAGGUAGAUAAAUCUUAUUUAGGAAGAUAAAUUUUAUUUAUAAUCUAGGAAUAUUUUUAUUUUAUUUUUAGUAGUUUAUUAGAAUAAGAAAAUUAUUUUCCCAAUUAGGAUUAGGACUGUUUUCUCUAUUUAAGUUCAGUUUUUUAGUUAAUAAUAACAGAACAGUUUUAGUAAAAGCUCUCUUGUAAACUUUCAAUCUAUACAUUGUUAUAUUAACCACUUAGUUUUAAUUUGGAAGUUUGAAUAUUUUAGAAUAAAUUAGUAUUAUUCGUAUAGAAAUUGAAUGAAUCCUUCGUCAGCAAACACAAAUUUGAACGAACCAUUUAAACUAUAUUCAAAAAAUAAUAAUCAUAAUGAUCAACCAUGUUCGGACAACUAUUCAUCAUUCUUAAAUCCCUAUGUCUUUCUAUCUGCAUCUGCUUAUCCCAAAAUAUUGGAAACUAUAGAUGUAGACCAUGAGGGCAGCGAUGCAAGCAUUGAUUGAAAUAAGAGAAACAACUGCAACUUACUUCGGGACAAAAGUUGCCAACAGUCCCUGCUUAUUUGCAGCCGCCCUAACAGCUUCGCGCGCAAAAAUCAAACUGUCAGCAGCAUAUGUACAAGCAGUGUGCGCCAGAGCUAUUUCAGACUGACCUUUUCCAGCUUCUGCAUGCAACUGCAAAAUUUUAAAGCUAAAGUAAACAGAAGCAGCUAAUAAUCACACUUGCACUUCAAAAGAAACACAAUGCAGCAUACACAGGAAGGUAAAAAGAGAGAAAAAAAAUGAUUUCUGUCUCUACUACGAGUUAAAUAGGAACUAAACUUAUGCUGUCAUCAGUAGAUUAACUAAUAAAAAGGAACAUAGUUUCAUGGAUAAUUAUUACAUUAUAUCAUAUGCAAGCAAUUAUUUGUCAUUGGUGAUGCAUUACUGAUCAAAAACUGUACUAGACCUUUGUCUCUAGCCACUUACACGAAAAGCAAGAAACUUAACCAUCUUCAAAUUCUAUUUCAUUUUAGAAAGUAAUGCAUAAAGAAAAGAUCUUCAUUACAUGCACUCAUGCUCGAUGCUUUCACUACUACUGGUGUUGAUCCAGGCAAACUCAAAGUUGAUCACGAUAUAUUCUUAUAUUGGAUUAUUUCAUGUCUUGAUGGAGAUGCUCAACUAAAUAAAUUGCACAAUGAAGACAAAUUAGUUGUCAGUUAAAUAUGAUCAUAAAGGAUAUGACUGGGCCACACGCAUGAUCAGUUUGAUAGAAAGUUAUGUUGCGCCAACCCUUACAUUUUUCUUCAAGUGUUGGGGUCUAACACUCAUUUCUGCUACAUUUUUUUCGCAAAUGGGUAUGAGAAUACAACCCUAUAAUGACCCUUCAAAUACAUGAAAAACUUUCAAAGAAUUGAAAAUACCCACGUCGGGCACAUACAGUAUCUAACACUCAAACCCAAGUCCAAAUAACACCGAAAGUGCCUCCAACAAAUGAAGAUAUCAAGCAUAUAUGACUUCUAAUCUGUAUCUGUUCAACAACAACAUUCAAGGAAUUGAGAGCAACAAUAAUUUCUUGAAAUAAAGUGGAGACAGCAUCAAAUCCAGAAGAGGAGCAGUAAGGUUUUGAGUCAAUUGGCACCCAGCACUCUUCCAUCUCCUUUCUGCAAAAUUUCAAUGUAAAAUUUUCUUAAAUUGUGCAGAACCUCAGAUUGGUAAAAUAAAUGGAACAAAUCCACAUAUAUAACCACCUUAUGAUCUUUUUCAAGAGAUAAAAUUCAUUUUCAAAUCCUGCAUUCAUUUCCUGUGCAUGUACCAUUUAUUAAUUCAUCAUGAAAUACAAUCCCCUAUGACAAGUAUGACAAACAACCUGACAUACCAAGUUAAACUCAUCUUUUAAAACUUUUGAAACCCUUCUUAAUGCCUCUCUAGGGCAGUAUUCCCAUGGUUCACCAGGUCUAAGGUGCAUAUCAGCCAAAACCAUAUCCUCUUGUUUUUUCCUAUGACAUUGUUUUGAAGAAAUAAUGAAAAUUAGCUUGUACCAAUGAUGAUCACGGUCAUGGCAAUAUGAUUACCAUCAAAGAUCAUACAGCACAAUAAGAAAUUGGAAUGAUAUAAUUGCAUGUAAAAUAUGUGAAGGUGUUAAAAGGUCAGAUAUAAAUGCUUCACAUUGUAAAAACCAUUUAUUUAUUCCUUGAAUAUAUGGUACCAUGGAAUUUUCCUCAUAGUCAAUAGAUCAGGCAUCAGCCUGAUCUCACCCGUUGCAGUCAGAUUAGUCUCAUCAGCUGGACUGUCAAUAGACGAACUCAUAGCCAUACAUGCAAAAGUCAAACCAACACCAUUUUUCUUCACAACAUCAUCAAAGCGUUUCUUUGGAACAACCUGAAAUGUUAAAAGAUAAUUAGGGAGAUGGAACUAAAAUGUAUUUUUAUUCUUUCUGACAUGAAUAAUGCUAAAUAAAUUAGGGAGAAACAGAAAAAAAGUAUAGUUUACCCUUUCAGAUAUCAAUAGAAGGAAGAGGGGAUCAACUCACUUCUGAAAAUUAAAGAUUUGCUUAUACAAACUGUUGAGAAUAUUUGAUUUUUUAAAUAGUAUCGUUAGAAAUUACAGCUGAUAUUUUUAGAAAUUCUAAUUAAGAGAGAUUAUUUCCUUAAUUUUUAAAUCCUACAUGUAUAUAUAAUUGUACAUAUUUCCAAGAAAUAUAUAAUUUGAGAGAGUUUUUUUUUCCUCAAUACAUUGAAGUAUUCAUCUCUAAUUUCAUCAUGGUAUCGAAUUUUUUAUUCGAUUUUUGAGAUCUUUUUUCUGAUUUAAAUUUUUUUUCCCACAAACCCUAUAAACACAAAUUUGGUACUUUCAACCCUAGUCUCAUUUUUUCUUCUCACCGCCCCUACCAUUGGAGUCAGAAUCCACUCGCCGGCAAAAUCCUAGACUCCAGUGACCAAAAGACCCACGCAUGGGCCCCAUGCGCUGUCGCAAGCUUCUGCUGCUCCGUUUCACGCACCGCGCGUGGACUCCACCUGCUGCUGCCGUGUGUUUUCCAACUCCGUCGCUGUGCUCUCUACUCUAUUCCGGUCAUUCUCCUCUAAGUGGCGGUGUGUUUUUGGCUAAGUUUUUUGGGAAGGAUAUAUUUGGUGUUUUUUUUGGGGGUAUUUUUGUUCUAAUUGUGCAAGCAGUUUUUUUGGGGGGUUAGUUGUUUUUUUCCAGCAUUAUGUCCAUAGACGAGAAUCUCGUGAUUCCAACCGAUAAUCCUUCGUUGCAAAUUAGUCUUGUGAAGCUUGAUGGACAUAAUUACUUAGCUUGGUCAAUGUCCCCCUCGUUGUUUAUCAAGGCUCGUGGCUUGCAGGGGUGUCUCACCGGUAAAUUGUCGAAACCUGAACUCACUGAUUCAACUUUUAGCCAGUGGGAUUCAACGAACUCUCUUGUUAUGACAUGACUUAUCAACUCUAUGCAACCCCAUAUUUCCAAAACCUAUGUGCUGCUUGAUACUGCGGAAAAGAUUUGGAAUGCUGCUACUCUCACCUGCACUCAUGUUGGGAAUGAUGUGCAAAUUUUUGAAAUUCUUAAUAAGGUCCAUGUUACAAAACAGGGGGAGCUAACGAUUUCUCAAUAUUUUUCUAAAUUAAAUGGGUUGUUGCAGGAACUUGAUUCUUAAGAUUUCAAGUGAGUUGUGCCAAUGAUGCCGAAAAUUUUUAAAAGAUUGUAGAAAAGGCGUGUUUUUUAUUUCUUAGCUGGGUAGAAUACUAGGUAUGAUUAGAUUUGGUUCAAGUUCUUAAGAAGACUCUGUUUCUUUCUCUUCAUAUGGCAUACUCUUAUGUACAACAGGUGGAGAGUCGUCGUGGUGUUACAAUCUAUAAUCCACCUUUAGAGAAAGCUAACCUUAUUGCUAAUCAGGAUGGCCCAUCGGGUGGUUAGUUUACCAAGGAUCACUUGGCAUGUGACUACUGUGGUAAGGCUCGGCACACUAAAGAUUCGUGCUGGAAGUUGCAUGGUCGCCCCACUCAUGGUCGUAGUGGAAAACGAGGGGGUAAUUCUCAGCCUUAGGCAAAUUUGUCAACCUCUGUGACAACAGAGAAUAAAUCCACUUUUACUAGAAGUUUUACCUUGGACGAGAUUCAACAUCUUCGAUGCUUCUUGUCUCAAUUGGACUCUACAUCGAUUGCCAAGUCUAAUCAUUUGAACUCAGGUAUUGUUCUAAUUGCUCCAUCUACUUCUGACUCUUGGAUUAUUGAUUCCGGUGCGAAUAGACAUAUGAUAAGGUCAAAUAAAAGUUUAUUUAACUAUACUACUUGUCCAUCUAAAGAUAGUGUGCGAUUAGCCGAUGGCUCCCUUACUUUCAUCUCUGGAGCAGGUUCUGUUGUUUGUACUCCUAAUAUCACUUUAUCCUCUAUCCUCCCUGUCCUUCAAUUCUCGAUUAACCUUUUAUCUAUUAGCACUAUCACUAAAGCCUUAAAUUGUAAACUUGAACUUUUUCCCGAUCAUGUGUCUUUCAACACCUCCAGACAGGAAGACGAUUGGCAGUGGUGGAUUGUGUGAUGGCUUAUCUUCUAGAUCGAUCGUCCAAUAUGUCUCGAGCAUUAUUUGGAGACAAUGAAGAUGUCAACUGGGAGAUAAUUCAGCGGCAUAAACAGUUAGGAUAUUCAUCAUUUACUGUUCUUGCCAAGAUGUUUCCUAUUUGUUUUCAAGAACUCAGUUGACUCAUUAGUUUGUGAUGCCUGCGAGUUUGCUAAGCAUAAAAGAAACAGUUAUCCUUUGCGUAAUAAUAGAAGUACUGUUCCUUUUGAGAUUAUUCAUUCGAAUGUUUGGGUCCCUACUUGCCUUACUUCUUUAUCUGGUUAUCGUUGGCUUAUUACUUCUAUUGACUGUUGCACUCAGAUGACAUGAGUACUUUUAUUAAAAUCCAAAAGUGAUGUUUUCUCGUGUUUUCGUUCUUUUCAUAAAUUGAUUACUACUCAAUUUGAUGCUAAGGUUAAAAUUUUGCGAACUGAUAAUGGAACCGAGUAUAACUUUAAUAAUUAUUUGGAAUUAUAUGGGAUUUUUCAUCAGACUAUUUGUCUAGGUACAAGUGCUCAAAAUGGUGUUGCCGAAAAAAAAUCGGCAUCUUUGGAGGUUGGUAGAUCACUUACAUUCACUAUGAAUCUCCCAAAGCCUUAUUUUGGGGGGGGGAUGCGAUUUUGGUUGCGGUUUAUCUCAUUAAUCGGAUGCCUCUUCGGGUCCUUGAUUUUAAAAGCCCCAUAGAAACCUUACAAGGCAAGACGGAUUACCCAAUCUCACCAAAGGUCUUUGGUUGUGUUUGCUUCAUUCAUCUUCGACAUGAGAGCAAACUGGAUCCUCGCGUAGUGAAAUGUGUUUUCAUUGGAUACUCUCCCACGCAGAAGGGUUACAAAUGUUAUCAUCCGCCAUUUAGAAAGUAUUAUGUAAGUAUAGAUGUAACAUUUCGCGAGAAUGAACCCUAUUUUUCUUCAUCACAACCAUCUCUUCAGGGGGAAGUUGUUGAAAAUGAAGAGAUGACGCAUUGUUCUGUUAAUCUUUUGAGGGAGAAUUUAGUUCCAACAGAGACUUUGGUUCAAGAGAAGACUAGUGGACGAUUGUUGGAAAAGCCUGAUUUAUAGACAAAUACUAGAAAAGGCAAGUGUAAAUGGGCAAAUUUGCCUGGGCCCACUAGAAACCCAAAUAUACAACAAUAAAUAAAUAUAUAUAUUAAACCCAACAGAUAUUAUAAACAGUCCUAUUUUACAGUCCAGUACCCAAAACUAAAUACAAUGGGCCCGAUGCCCUAAGUACCAUAUACAAACCCAAAACAUAACCCAAGACCCAAUUAAAAUCUAAUAGCUAAAACCUAACCCAAACCCCAGAGGCCCAAACGAUAGCCCAACUACAAGAACAGGCCCAAUAAACCCAUAUCCUUAACAGGUUUCAGAAACCCUAAGUCGUCCCCUUUCCUUUCGCCGCAACAACCCCUGGCCUCCGUACCUCCCAGCGCCAUACGCUCAAUACCCUCUAGUAGCCACGCCUAUGCCUCCGUAUGGCCCCCUGCGCACCUCCGUACGACCUUCACGCACCACCCGUACCCGAGCGCCAGCACACCCACACCUACAAAGAGACAAACAAGCAACAACAGCAAAGGGAAACAAAAAAAGAAAAACAUUGUAUUUUUUAUUUUUCGUAAAUUUUUCCUCUUUCUUUUUUGGCUAUAAAGCCAGAAUUUCAGUCUUUGUAAAGGGUUACGCAACAAAAAAACAAAAUAUCAACGCAUAUUGUAUGAAUACAGAGAUAAUAGAAAGCAAUCGAAAAAACUAAGAAGGUGAUUUCAUUUCCCUUUUGAGCUCUCUGUUCUUCACUUAUUUCAGUGGGCUUUUCUUCAUCGUUUUAUACUAAAAAAAAGAAAGGGAGAAGCGAAGCUUACCUGCGUUUGAUGCCUUCGAACCCUCGCUUGCUUCGCCAUGAUCAAAACCAAGUGGCGAUUCAAGGUUUAUGAGUAAGAUGCGUGAGUCUUUAGGUUCAAUGAAGCCUUGAUUGACUCUCGAAUGAGUCAAAAGGAGAGGCAGGAGAACAGGCCUUCGAAAGACCAGUGAACGGCGAAGGGUGAGGGCACCCUAGUUCUUUUUUUCUUUCUCACCCUUUGAAGAUGGCUGCAGACCCUUUUAGGGUUUCUUUCGGUGGUCAUAAAGGGCUUCCAGACGUCAUCGUUUUAAGCCAAACUACUAGCUCCAAAACGACUGUGUUCAAAGCUAGACCCGACCGACUCGAUUCCUGACCCCGAUGACCUGCGCGUUUUGGCGGUGAGGGUUUAUUUUCAAUGUUGGUCCCUCCCUUUUGCGAUGUAUUCAGAUCAGCUGUAUUCUUGUUUCUUUUUUUUUAAUUUACCUCUGUGAUUUACACCUGUUUGCAAUUGGAUCCGCGCCCAAGCACAUCAUUUUGGGAUCUGGUAUAUUACCAGUUUUAAUCCCUAGCUGUUUUCACGUAUAGAUUAUUAGUCUUUUUACUGCUAUUGUUUUAUUUUUAAAUUGUCCCUGCUAUUUUAGUUUAAUUAUUAUUAAGUUUUCCUUUGUUCCAUCCCCUUUUCUAUUCUUAAUAAACUAUUUUGCCUUUUUUUAAUCACUUUAAUAAUUGUUUCUUCAUCAUUUUAAACGUUUUUUUAUAUUAUUAUCACAUUUUGUAAGUUUAAAUUAUUUUAUACUUAUUUAUAUUAGUACACAUAUUCUAUAUAUAUAUAUUUCUAAAUCUAUACAUUUUAUAUAUACAUUUUCUUUACACAAAAGCAUGUUUUUUUAAUCUAUUGUUUAAUUUUUUAUAAAAUUAAUUUGGCCCUAUGAGUAUUAUCUUUUCUAUGUAAUUUUACUUGUAAUUAUUUUCAAAAGUCAUAUGUACAUAUAUAUAUUGAUAUUAUUACUUUAAUAGGUUUUCCUACUUACAACAUUUUGCUAUAUGAGUUAUCAAGUAUUUUCUUUAUGCAUGUAUAUGGAAGAAUUUUAGAAACCUCAUUUUUUUGUAAUCAUAAAAUUAUUAUUUUUGGAUGUUCCUUUGUAUUACAUUACUUUGUGUUUUAUAUAGUCCCUUAUUUAGACGUUUUGAUAUAAACGCAUGUAUAUACUUUUUAGACUAAGUUAAAGCCUUUUAUUAAUCUAAUGAUUAUUUUCAAAGCUAUCUAUAUGUACAUUUGUUUUAUGAACGUACUUUGUGUAUUAUAUUUUUGCCAUAUAUCUUCAUUACUCCUUUCCAUAUUAGACAUAUUAUUUAAAAUCGUCAUGUAGUUUGUCAACUUUAAAAUAUGUUUGUGUUUAAAAUUUUUUACUUGCAACUUGAUUCAAAUUCUCAUUCUUUAAUAUCCAUUUCAAAAUAUAUACACAUAUCCCUAUUUUUUAAGCUUGUCAACCUAUAUAUGUCUAGCUUAUUGAUCUUAUACCAUUUUGAUUUCUACAUUUCAUUUGCUUCACGCAUAUCUUGUUGUUUUCUUUAUAUUUUAUGGCAUGAAUAUAUAUAAUCAUUGCAUGGUAUUCGUCUUAAUGAUUUGUUAAUUGUUCUUCGUAUGUGAUUGAGAUUUGAUUAUAAUCUUUAGAUUAAUUAUAUUUAAUCGCAUAUUCUGCUAGUGGAUUAAUAUUAUUAUUCAUCAAGCAUCGUACCAUUAUACGUGCCUGUCACCCUAUAUCAAUGUUUCCCACUUAAUUUUUGAAAUGUGGUUUUAUAAAAUUCAAAUUUUCAUGAUUAAUUUCACCUUAUUUCGAAUCGAAUUAAUACGUCUUAAGCUAGCUUUAUAAUCAUUCAUUCAAAAAUUCUUCAAAACGAAGACGAGAUUCGAUGUUUGGUAAUUCGCGGAAUUGUGCCCUAACGUGUUGGGUUGCAAUUUCGCGUUUGCUCGAAAUAAUCGAAUAUCACUUCAAAAUUUCACUCAUGUCUUUUAAAAUUCUUCAAAACGAAGACGAGAUUCGAUAUUUAGCAAUUCGCGGAAUCGUGCCCUAACGUGUUGGGUUGCAAUUUCACGUUUGCUUAAAAUAAUCGAGUAUCCCUUCAAAAUUUCAUUCAUAUCUCCUAAAAAUUAUUUAAAACGAAGGCAAGAUUUGGCAUUUGGCAAUUCGAGAAUCAUGCCCUAUCGUGCUGGGUUGUGAUUUCCCGUUUGCUCAAAACGAUCGAACAUUCCUUUAUAUUCUCACUCAUGUUUAUAAAAAAAAUACUUAAAAACGAAGACGAUGUUCAAUGUUUGGUGAUUUGAGAAUCGUGCCCUAUCGUGCUGGGUUGUGCUUUUUCAUUAGUUCGAAACAAUUGAACAUCCCUUCGGAAUUUCACUCACAUUUUCUAAAAUCUUUCAAAAUGAAGGUGAUGUUCGAUGUUUGGCAAAUUGAGAAUCGAACCCUAUCGUGUUGGGUUGCGCUUUUUCAUUUGUCCAAAAUAAUCGAAUAUUUCCUCAGAAUUUCACAUGUAUCUUAUAAGGUAAGGCAAUGGUCAAUGUUUGGAAAUUUGAGGAAUCGUACCCUACUAUGCUGGGUUUCGAUUUUUCGUUGGACCAAAUAGAUAGGCAUCUUUUUGAAAUUCUCGAAUUAUAAGCUUUCGGACAUCGAAACAAGAAGAUUUUGGCAACCAACUCGGGUUACUCAAACGUUAUAAAAAAGAACCACAUUUCAAAAACUUUUUAAUUUUAGACAUAAGGACAGUAUUUAAUCGAUUCGGUACCAAUUUUGGGCGUAGUGAGGGUGCUAAUCCUUCCUCAUGCGUAACCGACUCCCGAACCCGUUUUCUCAAAAGUUCGUAGACCAAAAUUGUUGUUUUAUUAAACUAACCUCAUUUUUAGGUGAUCCGAUCACACACAACUUCACACGUCUUAUUUUCAAAAGUCGAUUCCCCCCGUAUUUUCAUUAAAUUUAAAAAUUUUAAAAAUUUUAAAAAGGGUGGUUUCGACAGCUUGGCGACUCCACUGGGGACUGGUUGUGAGUCGAGCCAUAAAAAUCGAUUAUCUGCUAUCCUUUUGUCAAAAAUCAAAAUUUGUUUUAAAAAUCAUGUAUCUUUCGAUUGCAUUUGAUUGUAUGUUUGUGCGGGUCUUGUAGAAUAGCACUGCAUUUCAUUGCAUGACCACUGUGGUCACGCCUCCUAAGUGGGAGUAAGAAACUACGCUUUCGUGAGGUUUUCACCUCCGCAUGGGCUAGUGGAUUGCUUCCGGGGUACAUCCGUACCUAUGAUUUCGUGAGAUUUUCAUCUCCGCAUGGUCAUAGGGAAAUGUAUCCCCUCGAACUGAACUCGAUCUAUAUGAGCCUAUAAUGGGUGAGGAUUGAGGAACCUGCUGGUUCGGGUACCUUAUCCCUAGAACUAAACCACAUAUAGUGAACCUUAGGAGCUAUCCUUCGGUGGAGCCGCGUCGAGCCUUAGUACUUACCCGUAUAUGCACUAUAAUUAUUGUUUAUGUGCUUGCAUUUUAUCGCUAUUAUUUGAUACUAACCGGUGUUUUGUUUUGAUUGUCUUUUUUGCAUGACAUUACAUAUUAAAGGAGGCGUUACUCCGCAUUCAAUUACUAAGUUAGAAAAUUUGAAAUGGAGAAUGAAUUUCUUAGUAAAGUCGAGGAUAAUGCGGCCGUUCGUGCAUGGUCGGAGAGGCUACAACUAGAGAGAGGGAAUAGCUUUGCAGAAGAGCAUGUAUCAGAGCUGCAGGAUUUCACUCGUGUUAAUGUAGUACAAAAUGAGCUGCAAGAGUUGAGAGACAUUUGGGCUAGUUGGGAUGAAGGGAUCAAGCAGUUGUUUUACCAAAACUACGGCGACAUAUCCUACCUGCUAGACAUUAGAGUGGAUAAGCAUUUGUUCCGGGCCUUGGUGCAGUUUUGGAAUUCUGCGUACAAGUGCUUCACUUUUGGAGAAGUGGAUUUGGUACCUACCAUGGAGGAAUACACUACGCUACUUAGGUGUCCAAAGAUUCAGGUCCGGAAGACUUAUGCUCGGGUUUUUAGUAAUCAGGCUUUCGUGAAGAAGCUGAUGGGCAUUUCUGGGAUGAGCGAGCCUUGGGUCACUGCUCGGAUUUAGCAAAAAGGAGAUAGCAAAUGUAUCCCUUGGGAGAAUUUGCGAGAUUUGGUCUUGACGCAUCCAGACGAAAGAAAGAGGGUCGAUAUAUUUUCCUUAAGCAUCUACGGAUUAGUGAUCUUUCCUAAGGCUUUGAGGCACGUGGACGAGGCGGUCAUCGACUUGUUCGAUCGCCUUGAAAAGGGAAUCACACCAGUACCGGCAAUAUUGGCAGAAACGUUCAGGUCUUUGAGCUCAUGUCGGAAGACAGGCGAGGGGUGGUUUAUUGGAUGUGCUCAACUAUUGAUGGUAUGGUUUCAUGGGCACUUUUGGAAGGUAGACAAGGUUUCCUAUCGAGUCUUUUCCGAAGGUUAUUCCCCUUUGAAAGAAGAGGCAGCUAUACAGAGGAGAGAAGAUAUCUCAGAGGAGAAGUGGAUGGAUAUUCUUUAACACCUUAGGGAUGGGGAUAUCGAGUGGAGAGCUUAUUGGAUGGUCCUUGACGAGAUCAUGUAUCGAUGUGGUAACUUCAAUUGGGUGCCACUGUUAGGAAUCUGGGGAGCUACCGGGUAUACUUCGUUGAUAGCCUUGAGGUAAUACAAGUCUAGGCAGUUUGUGCCCAUGACCUACGGACUUGUUCAGAGUGAAUUCUCAUUUAAAGGUGCUCACUAUAAGAAGAGAGUUCGGGAGUUAUCGGAUGCUUGGAAGCAAACUUGUUGGAUGAAGAGGUUAGCCGUCAGUUCCAUAGUAAUGCCCGAGUAUAACGAAUGGUUUAAGAAAAGGAUUAAUGAUAAUAUUCCUAGGCCAAGCUUGGAGAAUGCUAGACCUAUCGGGGAACAAUUGCAAGUCGCCCCAUCAGAAUUGGAAAUUAUAAGGCAAGAUUUCGAGAAGAAAAGUUUGGAGUUUGGGAAGAAGAUCGAACAAUUGGAGGAAGAGAAGAUGCACCUAAGAUUAGACGCUGAUGUUCAGAGGUUAGAGGCUGAGAAGUGGAGAAAAGGAAAAACUAAGGCCGAAGAAGAUCUAGACAACUUGAAGACGGACUACAAGAAGCUAUGCCUAUCCAUGAGGACUGCGGGUUUAGGUAAGACUUCCGAACAAUGGCGCCAUGAAAUUCGGGAAGAAAAGGCCAAUACCGAACGAUGGGAAAGGAAAUUCUGAGAAACUCAGGCACGAAACGAAGAUUUGGAGAGGAGUUUAUCGGAAAGCAGAAAUGAGCGAGGGGAAUUAAGGGCUAGAGUGGCAGAACUCGAGAAGUCUCUGCAACACUUCGAGAUGCGGAUCCAGUUUUUUGAAGCAAACGAGGAUCGUUGGAAAGAGCAGCUUCACCAUGCACAAGACCAAGUCAGAAAUAGAGAUUACCUCAUGGGGUAAGCCAUAACCCAGAUUCGGGAGGUAGUAGAUUAUUUGCAAACUUUAGCGGUUCAGGCGCACACACUGAGCGUGAAGUAUGAGUUGGAGUCAGAGCGCGGACAAGAGCUGUCCUCGUUGUUUAGAAAAAUUAGGACUCUAAGUGUUAGAGCAAAAUUUUAUUUGUAACUCGACUUUUUGUAAAAGAUUUUAUUUUCAAGUGAAAUUUUCUAAGGGCAGUUGAAUCAAAAUUGAUGCCUCCUUUACAUUCAUGCAUUUGCAUUACAUCACAUCAUUAUGCAUUAAAGGCCAUAAGAGUUUUCUAAUUAAUUAAUUAAAAAUUAUUUCAGUAACCUGGAAACCAACGAAAACCAACCAACCACGCACCCCUACGGUACAAGAAAAAAAUCAAUAGAUAAGAGACUCGAGAAAUUGGAGCAAAUGCAAAAGGACAUGCAAGAUCAAAUGCAGUCUCAGAUGCAAGAGCAGCUAGCCAAGAUUCAACGAGAAAUGAAGGAGCAAAUGAUGAAGUCUCAGAGAGAAAUGAUGUCUUAGUUAUCCAAAUUGCUGCUGAUAGGAACGGAUAAGGGAAAGGGCCCCAUGGACAAAGUUGAAGAAGCUAAUGAGGAUCCUCAAUACCCCCUGGCUUCACUCCGACACAUGUACCAAUGAAGCCCGAGAUUAAUCUACCGAAACCAUCUGUCAUGAUCAUGCCCCAGCAGAUUCAGGCCGAAGCUUCAAUACCGAUGAAUUUCCAAACCAGCUCAGGCUCUAACUUUGUCAACAACCCGAACUAUCCGCUCGUUCCCGACUUGGAUGAAAUUGCUGAAGAAGAAAAGGAGAGGAUGGAAUCGCAAAAACAAUUGGAAGAACGGUGUAGAUGGCUUGAGAAGAAAUUCAAACCCAUGGAGAGCGCGGAUCAUCAUCAAGGGAUUGAUGCCAAGGACUUGAGUUUGGUCCCAGAUUUAGUCCUCCCCCCCAAAUUCAAAAUACCCGAAUUCGAGAAAUACAAUGGAACGAGCUGCCCUGAAGCCCACAUCACUAUGUUCUACAGACGAAUGACGGGAUAUGUUAAUAACGACCAGCUAUUAAUCCAUUGCUUUCAAGAUAGUCUGGUCGCGGCGGCGUCUAAGUGGUAUAACCAAUUAAGCCGAGCUAAAAUCAACUCAUGGAAGGACCUGGCUCAGGCCUUUAUGAAGUAAUACAGUCAUGUGAUGGACAUGACCCCCGACAGAAUCACUCCCCAGAAUAUGGAGAAAAAGCCAAAUGAAAGCUUCAGACAGUACGCACAAAGGUGGAGAGAAGUGGCCAUACAAGUUCAGCCGCCACUUCUAGAAAAAGAGACGACAAUGCUCUUUAUUAACACCUUGAAAGCCCCUUUUAUCACUCAUAUGUUGGGAAGCGCCACCAAGAGCUUCUCCGACAUAGUGAUAACAGGGGAAAUGAUCGAAAAUGCCAUGAGAAGCGGUAAGAUAGAAACCGGAGAAAGUCCAGGAAGUCAGCCCCGAGGAAAAGAGACAAUGAAGUGAACAACACGAGCACAUCCAACAAAGGUCAGUCCAAGUCAUUCACCGUAAAUCAACCCAAGACGGUGACCACCAAUCAGCAAAGCUCUGUAAGACAAGAAUCCAAUGCAAGGGAGAACAUAGAAAGGCCACAAUUCACCCUUAUACCCAUGAGGUAUAGGGAGUUGUACAAGAACCUGUUCAACGCUCAUGUGGUGUCCCCUUUCUACCUGAAGCCACUACAGCCCCCGUAUCCUAAAUGGUAUGACACAAAAGCCCAAUGUGAAUACCACGCGAGAAUCACCGGGCGCUCUAUCGAAAACUGCGUUGCGUUUAAAAAAUUCGUCGAAAGACUCAUUAAGAUGGGGAUUGUGAGAUUUGACGACCUAGCCACACCCAAUGUAGCAGGAAACCCACUCCCCAAUCAUACUGACCAAGGAGUGAAUGGGAUAAGUGAAGGCUUGAACAAGAAGACCAAGUAUGAAGUGGCAGAAGUCAGAACCCCGUUGAGGUGGGUAUGGAAGGAGAUGGCCAAGAGAGGAUUGAUCGCGUUGGAUUUGAGGGAAGAAUCCGAUAAGAGAGAAACUACUGUGAGUUUCACGACGAGGUGGGGCAUGAAAUCCAAGAUUGCGUGGAGUUCAGGGCCCUAGUACAAAACAUGAUGAACAAUAAGGAAAUGGAAUUCUAUGAAGAGAUCGAAGACCCUGUAGAGGGAGAUAUAUGAGCAUCGGAGGGAGAAUCGAAGGCGCAGAAUCAAACGACUAACUACCCUAUGGUUAUCAUAUCGAGACCUAAAAAUAAUGAAGCUGGAGUACAAAUGCCACCGAGGGUCAUAAUCCAAAGACCUGCAGUCUUCCCUUACAAGGAGAGCAAAAAGGUCCCAUGGAAUUAUGAUUGCAGUGUGAUGAUGCUGGGGAAGGAAAGCCUCGUGGAUGCUUCAAAAGAGGGUCAAGACAAGGGCUCUUGUACACGUAGCGGGAGAGAUUCAAAUGCAGCAAAUAAGGAGGUACAACCCGUAAAAGGAAAAGCCCUAAUGGCCGAGGAAAUGAAAGAAAAAGCAACCAAACCUGUUAACGAGCCAGUUAACGAAGAGGAGGCCAAGGAGUUUUUAAAAUUCCUAAAGCAUAGCGAAUACAGUGUGGUGGAACAGCUACAUAAACAACCAGUCCGCAUUUCAGUGCUGGCCUUGCUUCUAAGCUCGGAAGUUCAUCGUAGCGUGCUAAUGAAGGUCUUAAACGAGACAUAUGUUGCCAACGAUAUCUCCGUUAACAAGCUAGACCAUUUGGUGAGCAACAUAAGUGCCGACAAUUAUAUCUUCUUUAGUGACGACGAGAUACCACCUGGGGGCAUGGGGUCGACUAAAGCUCUGCAUAUCACCACACACUGUAAAGGGUAUACGCUGCCUGGCGUACUGAUCGACAAUGGAUCAGCCUUGAACGUCCUGCCAUUGACUACGCUGAACAGAUUACCUAUAGACAGCUCUCACAUGAAGGAGUGCCAGAACAUCGUGAAGGCAUUCGAUGGCACGGAGAGAAAGGUGAUGGGCAGAAUCGAGGUACCUCUUCAGAUUGGGCCAAACACAUAUGAGGUGGAUUUUCUCGUGAUGGAUAUCAAACCCUCAUAUAAUUGCUUAUUGGGGAGGCCCUAGAUACAUUCAGCUGGGGCAGUGCCUUCCUCGUUGCAUCAAAAAUUGAAGCCGGUAUCGGAAGGGAGGUUGAUAACGAUCAAGGCCGAAGAAGAUAUUAUUGCAACUGUGAGCAAUAAUGCACCCUAUUUGGAGUCGGAUGACGAAGCAAUCGAAUGCUCAUUUCGAUCUUUGGAAUUUGUUAAUGUGGCGUUCAUCACUGAGGGAAGCAAAAUUCUAGUGCCGAAAUUGUCCAAAACCACGAGGAUGAGCCUCCAGUUGACAAUUGGAAAAGGAGCCCUACCCGGAAAGGGACUUGGGAAACAUCUAUAAGGAAGGACUGAAACUCCAAUGCUGAAAGACAAGAGAGACCGCUUCGAUUUAGGAUUUAAGCCGGAUGCGAAACAAAGGAGGAGGGAGCUGGAAAAGAAGCAAGAAAGAAGGAGAGCUCGAUUAACGGGGGAGGAAAUCAAGUGGGAACCAAUGAUAUUCCCCCAUAUAUCAAAAACAUUUGUGUCUGGGGGAAUCAUUCAUCCCGAGAGAGACACGCCAAUGACGGGAGCUAUAGAAGAAAGGCUGGAAAGCUUGGACAUCAACGUCAUGUACGAAGAGGAGACUGGAAGAGAAAGUUUAUCAGACAUUGGCCCCUACGCACCUGGAAGUGUUCUGGACAACUGGACUGCGGAAGAGAUCCCUUUAGUUUUUAGAACGAAUUCAGAGUAAUGUCCAAAACACACUUAUUACUCUAGGCCUAGGAGUGAUAAGGUUCUUUUUUGAAAUAGGCUGAUGUUUAAAAAUGUUGUUUCAAUAAAAUGCACGGUUAUUAUCAUUUUUGAGCAAAUGUUCUCUCGUCCUCUCUAUUUCAUUCAUAACCAUACAAAUGAUUACUUUUGGAUUCUUUCAUCCUUGAAACAUUCUUCUAAAUAUUCUUUCAUUCGUCAUUCAUAAUCAUACCACGCAAAUAAAUGUUUCGAAUUCUUUUGAUUCUUUGUAUGUGCCUUCAUCCUCAUAACAGGUCCCCAGAUAUUAAUGAUACGAGUGACACUGUUAGCGACUCAGAAUUUCCUUUCGAGCAAGAUGUGUAUAUGGAUGAUUCUCAGGAUUUUGAAGAUGACCAUGGCUAUAACCUAUCUCCUGAUUUAUUGAGGAGGGUAGAACAAGACGAGAAACAAAUCCUACCUCACAAAGAAUCAGUUGAAAUUGUGAGCUUAGGAGAAGGACAAGAGGUGAAGAUCGGAACAUGUAUCACUAUGAAAAUGAAGCGAGACCUCAUUGAACUACUUCAAGAAUUCAAAGAUGUCUUCGCAUGGUCAUACCAAGAUAUGCCCGGGUUGGACACUGAUAUCGUGGUGCAUCGACUUCCCAUAAAAGAAGAGUGUAAGCCAGUUCAGCAAAAAACUCCGAAGAAACAUAACCCAGAUGAAUGGGAUGAAGAAUGCCAAAGGGCUUUCGACAAGGUCAAAUAGUACUUAUCCAACGCCUCGGUGCUGAUGCCACCUAACCCCGAUAAGCCGUUGAUACUGUACUUGGCAGUAUUCGAGAAUUCUAUGGGAUGCGUAUUAGGUCAGCAUGAUGAGUCAGGAAGGAAAGAGAAGGCCAUUUACUAUCAUAGUAAAAAGUUCACAGAAUGUGAGACAAGGUACCCGCCGAUAGAGAAGUUGUGUUGUGCCCUAAUUUGGACAAUGCGAAGGCUGAGGCAGUAUAUGUUGUAUCACACCACUUGGCUCAUACCAAAAUUGGACCCUUUAAAGUACAUGAUGGAGUCAACUGCUUUGAAUGGAAGGAUGGCCCGAUGGCAGAUUCUACUUUCUGAAUUCGACAUAGUCUAUGUGAACCAGAAAGUAGUAAAAGGAAGUGCAAUAGCAGAUUUUUUGGCCAGUAGAGCUUUGGAAGACUACGAGCCUUUGAACUUCGACUUCCCGAAUGAAGACCUAAUGUGUGUUGCUACCACUAAAGAGGGGGCUCUGGCAGAACUUCCUUGGAAACUAAACUUCGAUGGGGCGUCAAACGCUAUGGGUAAUGGAAUCGGGGCCGUCUUGGUAUCCCCAAAUGGAGAUCAUUAUCCAUUCACUAGUAAAUUGGAUUUUGAUUGUAUGAAUAACAUGGCAGAAUACGAAGCGUGCAUCAUGGGUAUCCGCGCAGCCAUAGAUCACAAUAUUAAAGUGCUAGAGGUGUUCGAGGAUUCUGCGCUAGUGAUUUUUCAACUCAAGGGAGAAUGGGAGACUAGAAACCCCAAGUUAAUCGAUUAUCGGAAGCUGGUCCUUGAAUUGAUUAAAGAGUUUGAUGACAUUACCUUCCACUACCUUCCACGAAACGAAAAUCAGAUGGCUGAUGCUUUGGCUACCUUAGCCUCCAUGAUCAAGGUGAACAAACAAGAAGAUGUCAAACCCAUCCAGAUGAGCAUUUAUGAAGUUCUGGCCCACUGUUACAAUAUUGAAGAAGACGAAGAGAAAGAUGAUCACCCUUGGUAUCAUGAUAUAUUUCAAUACGUGAAGAAUCGUAAGUACCCGGACCAGGCAAGCGAGAAUGACAAAAGAACACUAAAAAGAUUGGCCAUCGACUAUGUCCUAGAUGGGGAUAUCCUGUACAAAAGAAGAAAGGAUCAAGUGCUACUAAGAUGUGUAGACGCUGUAGAAGCUAAGAAAAUCUUGGAAGAAGUCCACGAAGGUGUCUGUGGGACACACGCUAAUGCCUUUACAAUGGCUAGGCAAAUUAUGAGAUUCGGGUACUAUUGGUCCACCAUAGAAGGAGACUGUGUCAAUUACGCUAAGAGAUGCCAUAAGUGCCAAAUCUACGGAGACAAAAUUCAUGUACCUCCUUCAUCGCUGCAUGUCAUGGUUUCUCCAUGGCCAUUCUCUAUGUGGGGCAUGGAUGUGAUUGGACCAAUAUCGCCGAAAGCUUCCAAUGGGCAUCGGUUCCUCUUUGUGGUUAUUGACUACUUUACCAAAUGGGUAGAGGCCGCUUCGUAUGCUAGUGUUACAAAGUCAGCGAUCAGCAGGUUAUUGAAAAAAUAGAUCAUAUGUCGAUACGGAAUGCCAGAGAGGAUCAUAUCUGACAAUGCAUUAAACUUGAACAAUAGUACGAUAGCGGAGGUCUGCAGUCAAUUUAAGAUCAGACAUCGCAACUCGUCACCAUAUCGCCCGAAGAUGAAUGGGGCAGUGGAAGCAGCCAAUAAAAAAUUAAGAAGAUUGUGGGGAAGAUGACCGAGACCUAUAAAGAUUGGCAUGAAAAAUUACCGUUUGCCCUCUUUGCUUAUCGAGCGUCAAUCAGAACCUCAACCCGGGCAACCCCUUUCUCUUUGGUCUACGGAAUGGAAGCAGUGCUGCCGAUCGAAGCUGAGAUUCUAUCCCUCCGAGUGUUGUCGGAACUAAAAUUGGACGAAGUAGAGUGGGUCCAGUCUCGAUAUGACCAAUUGAACUUGAUCGAGGAAAAGAGGCUAAAAGCUAUUCCUCAUGGUCAGAUGUACCAAAAACGAAUGAUGCGGGCUUAUGACAAAAAGGUUCGCCCUAGAGAAUUCCACGAGGGAGACCUGGUUUUGAAAAAGAUCCUUCCCAUACAGAAGGAUUUUUGAGGGAAAUGGAUGCCUAAUUGGGAAGGGCCUUACGUGGUGAAGAAAGCUUUCUCUGGAGGAGCAUUGAUCCUAGCCGAGAUGGACGGUAGAAAUUUGCCCAAUCUUGUAAACUCGGAUUCGGUCAAGAAGUAUUUUACCUGAAAAAAGAGGGGCCAGAGUGAAAACCCGCAAAGGGCGCUCUGAGAUUAUCAAAAAAAAAUGGAGAGGCCAAGGUGAAAACCCGCAAAGGGCACUUUGGAACCAAAGGGGCUUUUGAGUUGAAAACCCGAACACGGGUAGCUCAAAUUUUGAAUAUGGUGCAUAUGGUAGUCUUGUCCUUCCAAAAUCAAUAAGACAGAAGAACAGUACACAUUGAAGCAUCAACAAGAUACGCAGGAUCUCCUGAAUACACAUUUGGUUCAAAGGAGCCUUUGAGAAAUUAGAAUAGUGAAACUCGUGCUACGAUAUCUGGGGCACCUUUUUCUCAUUUUUUGCACCUUAUCAGAUUCGUAUUCUUAUGUAUUCACAUCAAAUUUUGCUUAAUAAAACUCCACUGGUCCAUUAUGAUAAUCUCUUUCGAGCAUUUUUGUUGAAAUCAUGAUUUUUGAACAUGUAAUAUUCACACAAAAGAUGUUAUGCAUAUUACUCUGGAAAGUCUCUAAAUGGUACAAGGACCUGAAAUAGGGCCACUAGUUAGGACUAACCAGGUUCAAAGUUGGAAAACAAUGAGAAAAGAGUAGUCCAAAUUAUGACUAUUUCUUCAAAUUUUCUGUCAGAGAUAACAGCUAAGCAAGAAGACAUGAUAGCUUAUCAGUGAUAGAGCCCGGACGAAUUAUGAGCAAUGACACCUUAAGCGUUUAAAAAGGAAUCACUCUCAUGACAUUUCUACAUCCAUAAUCAUUCAUUUAAUUAGGAGCACUUGAGUCAUUUCGAUCAUAACUUUCUGAUUAUUUGACAUAAACACCACAUCUAGUUAGGGACAUUUGAUUCAUCUCGAUCAUAGCAUCCUAGUUAUUUGACAUACACAGAUACAGGAAACCUAUUCUACACAUCAUGUCUUUAGAAGACAGUGUAGCGAAAUUGGCAAAUCCUGCAGAUUUGGCAUCUCUAUAUUGGCGGAGAGCAGAUCGAAGAUAGCAGAUUUGGUGUCUCUGUAUUGGCGGAGAGUAGAUCGAAGGUAGCAGAUUUGGCGUCUCUGUAUUGUCAGAGGGCAGAUCGAAGAUAGCAGAUUUGGCGUCUCUGUAUUGUCAGAGGACAGAUCGAAGGUAGAAGAUUUGGCGUCUCUGUAUUGUCAAAGGGCAGAUCGAAGAUAACAGAUUUGGCAUCUCUGUAUCGGCAGAGAGCAGAUCAAAGAUAGCAGAUUUGGCAUCUCUGUAUUGGCGGAAAGCAGAUCGAAGAUAGCAGAUUUGGUGUCUCUGUAUUGUCAGAGAGCAGAUCGAAGAUAGCAGAUUUGGUGUCUCUGUAUUGGCGGAGAGCAGAUCGAAGAUAGCAGAUUUGGCAUCUCUGUAUUAUCAGAGAGCGGAUCGAACAUAGCAGAUUUGGCAUCUCAGUGUUGGCAGAGAGCAGAUCGGAAAUAACAGAUGGGUGCUCCUGAGUUCUCAAGAAACGAGUUGAGGAUAGCCAAUUUGACACUCCUGAAGACAUCAGAAUACCUUUGCGGAAGAAGAGGAUCAAGAUUUUGAGACUUAGCCAGACCGUUCAAAUUUGGUCCUUUUUAUAGUCUUUGCUCUAUUUUUGUUACACGACAAUAAGCAAAGAGGGGCAGCUGUAAAUGGGCAAAUUUGCCCGGGCCCACUAGAAACCCAAAUAUACAACAAUAAAUAAAUAUAUAUAUAUUAAAAACCCAACAGAUAUUAUAAACAGUCCUUUUUUACAGCCCAGUACCCAAAACUAAAUACAAUGGGCCCGAUGCCCCAAGUACCAUAUACAAACCCAAAACAUAACCCAAGACCCAAUUAAAAUCUAAUAGCUAAAACCUAACCCAAUACCCCAGAGGCCCAAACGAUAGCCCAACUACAAGAACAGGUCCAAUAAACCCAUAUCCUUAACAGGUUUCAGAAACCCUAAGUCAUCCCCUUCCUUGCAUCACAGCAACCCCUGGCCUUCGUACCCCCUUGCGCCAUACGCUCAGUACCCUCCAGCAGCCACGCCCACGCCUCCGUACGGCUCCCUGCACACCUCCGUACGGCCUUCACAUACCACCCGUACCCGAGCGCCAGCACACCCACACCUACAAAGAGACAAACAAGCAACAACAGCAAAGGGAAAUAAAAAAAGAAAAACAUUGUAUUUUUUAUUUUUCGUAAAUUUUUCCUCUUUCUUUUUCGGCUAUAAAGCUAGAAUUUUAGUCUUUGUAAAGGGUUACGCAACAAAAAAAUGAAAUAUCAACGCAUAUUGUAUGAAUACAGAGACAAUAGAAAGCAAUCGAAAAAACUGAGAAGGUGAUUUCCCUUCCCUUUUGAACUCUCUGUUCUUCACUUAUUUCAGUGGGCUUUUCUUCAUCGUUUUAUACUAAAAAAAAGGGAGAAGCGAAGCUUACCUACGUUUGAUGCCUUCAAACCCUCGCUUGCUUCGCUAUGAUUGAAACCAAGUGGCGAUUCGGGGUUUAUGAGCAAGACGCGUGAGUCUUUCGAUUCGAUGAAGCCUUGAUUGACUCUCGAAUGAGUCAAAAGGAGAGGCAGGAGAACAGGCCUUCGAAAGACCAGUGAACGACGAAGGGUGAGGGCACCCUAGUUCUUUUUUUCUUUCUCACCCUUUGAAGAUGGCUGCAGACCCUUUUAGGGUUUCUUUCGGUGGUCAUAAAGGGCUUCUAGACGUCAUCAUUUUAAGCCAAACUAAUGGCUCCAAAACGACUGCGUUCAAAGCUAGACCCGACCGACCCGAUUCCUGACCCUGAUGACCCGGGCGUUUUGGUGGUGAGGGUUUAUUUUCAAUGUUGGUCCCUCCCUUUUGUGAUGUAUUCAGAUCAGCCUGUAUUCUUGUUUCAUUUUUUUUAAUUUACCCCUGUGAUUUACACCCGUUUGCAAUUGGAUCCGCGCCCAAACGCAGCAUUUUAGGAUCUAUUAUAUUACCAGUUUUAAUCCCUAGCUGUUUUCCCGUAUAGAUUAUUAGUCCUUUUACUGCUAUUGUUUUAUUUUCAAAUUGUCCCUGCUAUUUUAGUUUAAUUAUUAUUAGGUUUUCCUUUGUUUCAUCCCCUUUUCUAUUCUUAAUCAACUAUUUUGCCUUUUUUAAUCACUUUAAUAAUUGUUUCUUCAUCAUUUUAAACGUUUUUUUAUAUUAUUAUCACAUUUUGUAAGUUUAAAUUAUUUUAUACUUAUUUAUAUUAGUAUACAUAUUCUAUAUAUAUAUUUCUAAAUCUAUACAUUUUAUAUAUACAUUUUCUUUACACAAAAGCAUGUUUUUUUAAUCUAUUGUUUAAUUUUUUAUAAAAUUAAUUUGGCCCUAUGAGUAUUAUCUUUUCUAUGUAAUUUUACUUGUAAUUAUUUUCAAAAGUCAUAUGUACAUAUAUAUAUUGAUAUUAUUACUUUAAUAGGUUUUCCUACUUACAACAUUUUGCUAUAUGAGUUAUCAAGUAUUUUCUUUAUGCAUGUAUAUGGAAGAAUUUUAGAAACCUCAUUCUUUUUGUAAUCAUAAAAUUAUUAUUUUUGGAUGUUCCUUUGUAUUACAUUACUUUGUGUUUUAUAUAGUCCCUUAUUUAGACGUUUUGAUAUAAACGCAUGUAUAUACUUUUUAGACUAAGUUAAAGCCUUUUAUUAAUCUAAUGAUUAUUUUCAAAGCUAUCUAUAUGUACAUUUGUUUUAUGAACGUACUUUGUGUAUUAUAUUUUUGCCAUAUAUCUUCAUUACUCCUUUCCAUAUUAGACAUAUUAUUUAAAAUCGUCAUGUAGUUUGUCAACUUUAAAAUAUGUUUGUGUUUAAAAUUUUUUACUUGCAACUUGAUUCAAAUUCUCAUUCUUUAAUAUCCAUUUCAAAAUAUAUACACAUAUCCCUAUUUUUUAAGCUUGUCAACCUAUAUAUAUCUAGCUUAUUGAUCUUAUACCAUUUUGAUUUCUACAUUUCAUUUGCUUCACGCAUAUCUUGUUGUUUUCUUUAUAUUUUAUGGCAUGAAUAUAUAUAAUCAUUGCAUGGUAUUCGUCUUAAUGAUUUGUUAAUUGUUCUUCGUAUGUGAUUGAGAUUUGAUUAUGAUCUUUAGAUUAAUUAUAUUUAAUCGUAUAUUCUGCUAGUGGAUUAAUAUUAUUAUUCAUCAAGCAUCGUACCAUUAUACGUGCCUGUCACCCCAUAUCAAUGUUUCCCACUUAAUUUUUGAAAUGUGGUUUUAUAAAAUUCAAAUUUUCAUGAUUAAUUUCACCUUAUUUCGAAUCGAAUUAAUACGUCUUAAGCUAGCUUUAUAAUCAUUCAUUCAAAAAUUCUUCAAAACGAAGACGAGAUUCGAUGUUUGGCAAUUCGCAGAAUCGUGCCCUAACGUGUUGGGUUGCAAUUUCGCUUUUGCUCGAAAUAGUUGAAUAUCACUUCAAAAUUUCACUCAUGUCUUUUAAAAUUCUUCAAAACGAAGACGAGAUUCAAUAUUUAGCAAUUUGCGGAAUCGUGCUGUAAUGUGUUGGGUUGCAAUUUUGCGUUUGCUCAAAAUAAUCGAGUAUCCCUUGAAAAUUUCAUUCAUAUCUCCUAAAAAUUAUUUAAAACAAAGGCAAUAUUUGGCGUUUGACAAUUCGAGAAUCAUGCCCUAUCGUGCUGGGUUGUGAUUUUCCGUUUGCUCAAAACGAUCGAACAUUCCUUUCUAUUCUCACUCAUGUUUAUAAAAAAAUACUUAAAAACGAAGAUGAUGUUCAAUUUUUGGCGAUUUGAGAAUCGUACCCUAUCGUGCUGGGUUGCGCUUUUUCAUUGGUUCGAAACAAUUGAACAUCCCUUCGGAAUUUCACUCACAUUUUCUAAAAUCUUUCAAAAUGAAGGCGAUGUUCGAUGUUUUGCAAUUUGAGAAUCGAGCCCUAUCGUGUUGGGUUGCGCUUUUUCAUUUGUCCAAAAUAAUCGAAUAUCUCCUUGGAAUUUCACAUGUAUCUUAUAAGGUAAGGCAAUGGUCAAUGUUUGGAAAUUCGAGGAAUCGUACCCUACUGAUACGAGUCACAAAAGCCCAAAUUCUUGAAGGCGAGGCCCAAUAAGCAAAUUCCCAGCCCAAUCAAGAAAUCCAUCCAUACUUAGUUGAAAAUCAGGCCAAAUUGUCAAAGUGACCCAAGUUGUAAAGUUUUAUUUUUAUUUUUAUUUAUUUAUUUAUUUAUUUACUUAGUUUAAAUUUUUAUGUCAAUAUUCAGUCCAAGAGUCCCAGAUAAAAUGACCUUUGACCGAAUUUCCAUAUUAAAAUAAUUAGGAGUUUUUUUAUUUUAGUUUUCUAAUUAGAUUAGGACUAGUUAUAAGGCCUAUUUAAAGGCAUGGCUAUCCACCUUGUUAAACACUUAUCAUUAUUAUUAAAAUUUCAGAUUUGUUGAGAGCAGAAUUUUCUUUGAGUUUUCUCCAAGAUUUUUCUCUUGAGUUUUCUUUAGAAGUUGUUUUAACAAUCUUGUGAUUGUGGGAGCCAUCUUCAACCUUCUUCUUGCCAUUGAUAUUCUUUGGAGGGGAGAUUAGAGCCGUUUGAAGGGAGUUGUGAGAUCUUUCGAGAUUUCAAGGCUUCUUAGGACUUAUCUUUUAAUUUCUUACUGUCAAUUCUUUCUUUAUUUCUACUUGUGCUGAAUCAUUAUCUAAUAUAUUUUCUGUUCUUAUUGUGUUUUCAGCCUUUUUCUAUCUUAAGGAAUCAGCCCAAAAAUCCCCAAUUUCUAGGGUUUUUCCAUACUCUUUUUGGGUGAAAUUAGAUUGUCGAAAUUUGGGGAAAACUAUCUUGGUGUUCAAUUGGGCAGAAUCACAAUCUCCUUGAGGGUUUCAAGAACCCUAACACUUAUUUCUAUUCUCAAUUUGAUUCUUUGCUGAUUUGGGGAUUUUAUUUCAGAUCUGAAAAUUCAAAAAUCUAAUCUUUUAAUUUUCUGUUUCGUUUCAGAUCUAAUUGUUUAGGGUUUUCGUAGGAGUUUCUCGUGACUUGGCAACUCGAUCUUGGUCCGCGCGCAACCCCGUAUCAUUUGGUAUCAGAUUUUGGGCGUUUUGGGUGUUCUUGGUUGAUUUCUAAACUGAUCUCUAUUUUUUAAAGCAUAAACGGCAGUUUUACCCAGAAAAAUUGUUUAAAAAAAUUCAUUUGAGUGGGUAAACGUUGUCUGAUUGAUCUGAAAUUUUACAUACAUAUUUUUGGCACUGUGAUUGAAUAUAAAAAAAUUAUUCCCGCAAAAAAAUCAGUCAAAAAAGUCAAAAAAAUCAAAAUAUACGAAAUUCAGUAAAAAUUUAAAAAAAGAUUUAGCGGGUUGAAUUUGGUGCCCAAAAUUUCCAGAUAAAAAAUUCAAUAUAUAAGGACACUCCAGAUUUAAUUUCGUGAUUUUUGGAGAUCGGGAACACCUCGAACGAAGUUGUCAAGUUACUCCGCAGUUUUUCGGGUUUUCUGUUUUCAGCAAUUUUUAUUGAUUCUUAGCUGUAGGUUUUCAUUUGUUUCCCUUUAUUCUUCCUUUACGUUAUCUAACACCUUCUUGUUUCUUGUGUUAGUAGGAUUUAAACGUGUGCACAACUUCUUCCUCGGUGCAACACGAAUCAAUUGGUGUCUCGUCAGUUUUUAGCAUCCUAGUGCAAAUUAGGAUUCUUUGGUAGUUUGGUUCACACUCUCUAAUUGGUUGAUAUAAACUCUGAUAAAGAACUCACAAGAUUGAAUUCGACCUCAUUGAGAAUUUGAUUUUUUCUUUUUGAGUGAUUAACAGUGAGGUUUGAUAACUUUUAUUUUUGAGUGUUGAGUGUUUUGCAGGUUUUAAAAAAAAAUGUCUACAGGUGAUAAUACUAGUGACAUAUUUAAAAAAUUCCAACAACAGUUGGACGAACAGGCUGCUGCACUUCGAGCGUUGACUGCUACUAUCAAUGAGGUGCGGUUGAAUCAAGAGCCUCAAUAUCGAGAUCAAAUUAAAGACGAUGUGGAUAACCAGCCUCCUGCUCAUAGGCGCGCUCCUCGGCGUGUCCCUAGAACUGAUUAUGAUCUUCAUGAUCGUGGACAACCCUCUUUGGCAAAACCAAAGAGCGAGCAGCAACGAGAACAUCUCUUUCAUACUCGCUGCCAUGUACAAGGUAAGCUUUGUAGAGUUAUUAUUGAUGGUGAAAGUUGCUCGAACGUAGCCAGCACGACGAUGGUGGAAAAGCUUUGCUUAACCACUACCAAGCAUCCACGACCUUAUCAACUACAAGGGCUUAGCAACGAAAGCCAAUUUAAGGUCACUCAACAAGUGCGCAUCGCCUUUUCUAUCGGUAAAUAUCAAGACGAAGUCGUGUGCGACGUAGUACCUAUUCAAGCCUGCCAUUUAUUGCUAGGAGAACCAUGGCAACUGGAUCGAAAAGUCACUCACGAUGGUCGUACCAAUAGGUAUUCUUUCAAGCAUCAAGGAAAGAAACUUACCUUAGUGCCGCUCACUCCGGAACAAGUCCAUGAGGACCAAAUCAAACUGAGAAAUUCUGUUAAAACAAGUGAGGAAAAAGAAAAAGAGAAUGAAAAAGAGCAAAAAGAGAUUGAGAGUGAAAAGGAAUGUGAAACAGAAAAGAAAUUUGAAAAAGAAGUUGAAGAAAGAAGAGAAAAUGAGUUAGAAAAAGAAACAAAAGAAAAAGACGAGGAAAGGCUAGUGAGGAAUGUUUCCACUAACCAAGAUAUGAAUUUUUCUUGUGUUGCUACUUUUCAGGUUCCUGAAAGAUCGAAAGAUAACUUUCAACUUCAAUACCUCUCAAAUGAAAGACGCUUUCAUACGAUCAACUUAGGCAAAGAUGAAAUCACACUACAUGAUCCCGAAGGUAAGCGAGGUAAGGAAAUUUUAGAAACCGAGUCCAUUGCAGAUUUGAAAAUUAUUGAUAAAACUUUUGGUGACUUAGUUCUUAAAAGAUCCCCUCAUUUUGAUCCGAUUAAUUGUUACUCUUCGAUUGUGGUUGAUAAAGUCAUUACGAAAAGAAGCGUGAUUUGUUAUUCUCUUGAUUUACCUUGUGUAAAAUCCUCGAAUUUGUCCAAAUCUGUUUUGGAGAAUAAGGUAACGAAAUUUUCCAAAUUUGUUUUCAAUUUAUAUUCGUGCCUUAAACAGUUUAUGUGGUUGUACAUGAAGUUUGAGUUCCAUUUGACAAAGGUUAACUCAACAACGGAGAUUCAACUACACUAUGCCCCCGAUGAGCGAAGGUUUGUUUUAAAUGAAAAAGGUAAAAUCGACCCUUAUUCUUCUGCUUAUCGAGGUAAGAUGCUUGAAACCUUUGAAACACUUUUGUACUCCUCGGAUAGUGAUAAAGAUCGUGUUGAUGAACACUUAGAUCGAAACGUGCUUGACUGUCCUAUUUUAUUUAUUGAUGAUAUAUCUGUUUUGAUGGUUGAUAAAAAGAUUCUUGUGUUUGAUAAUGCAUGUGUGAGUGAAUCUAUAGACCGUCGAUUAAUGCAUGGUAUGAUUAUGCAACUCUGUGAACCAUGUGAAUCUUUUCAAAUACCUACUUGUGACGAUUAUGUUUACCAUUUGAUUUAUUACUCGCAAUUUAUUCAUGGUUUGUGGGAACAAUGUGAGACGACUGAAUGCCUUAAAACAUGUCCAUCUUUGUUUCAAAUAUUUGACGAGGCAGUGGUGAGUAAAUUAGAUUGUUUGCAUGGUAAUCUGAAUCUGUCCAUUCACAUGCGUUAUACCUGUUCUGUUAUGCUUAUGAUUGGACUACAAGCUUGUUUCCGUUGCUAUUUACUAUCUCAUGGCUAUUCUUUUCAGUGGACUCAAUUGCCAUUAGUCCCGUUCGAUAGAGGAAAGUCGAGUUCAUUUGAUUUUUUAGAUUCGAGGACGAAUCUUUUUGAGGAAGGGGGAAUGAUACGAGUCACAAAAGCCCAAAUUCUUGAAGGCGAGGCCCAAUAAGCAAAUUCCCAGCCCAAUCAAGAAAUCCAUCCAUACUUAGUUGAAAAUCAGGCCAAAUUGUCAAAGUGGCCCAAGUUCUAAAGUUUUAUUUUUAUUUUUAUUUAUUUAUUUAUUUAUUUACUUAGUUUAAAUUUUUAUGUCAAUAUUCAGUCCAAGAGUCCCAGAUAAAAUGACCUUUGACCGAAUUUCCAUAUUAAAAUAAUUAGGAGUUUUUUUUAUUUUAGUUUUCUAAUUAGAUUAGGACUAGUUAUAAGGCCUAUUUAAAGGCAUGGCUAUCCACCUUGUUAAACACUUAUCAUUAUUAUUAAAAUUUCAGAUUUGUUGAGAGCAGAAUUUUCUUUGAGUUUUCUCCAAGAUUUUUCUCUUGAGUUUUCUUUAGAAGUUGUUUUAACAAUCUUGUGAUUGUGGGAGCCAUCUUCAACCUUCUUCUUGCCAUUGAUAUUCUUUGGAGGGGAGAUUAGAGCCGUUUGAAGGGAGUUGUGAGAUCUUUCGAGAUUUCAAGGCUUCUUAGGACUUAUCUUUUAAUUUCUUACUGUCAAUUCUUUCUUUAUUUCUACUUGUGCUGAAUCAUUAUCUAAUCUAUUUUCUGUUCUUAUUGUGUUUUCAGCCUUUUUCUAUCUUAAGGAAUCAGCCCAAAAAUCCCCAAUUUCUAGGGUUUUUCCAUACUCUUUUUGGGUGAAAUUAGAUUGUCGAAAUUUGGGGAAAACUAUCUUGGUGUUCAAUUGGGCAGAAUCACAAUCUCCUUGAGGGUUUCAAGAACCCUAACACUUAUUUCUAUUCUCAAUUUGAUUCUUUGCUGAUUUGGGGAUUUUAUUUCAGAUCUGAAAAUUCAAAAAUCUAAUCUUUUAAUUUUCUGUUUCGUUUCAGAUCUAAUUGUUUAGGGUUUUCGUAGGAGUUUCUCGUGACUUGGCAACUCGAUCUUGGUCCGCGCGCAACCCCGUAUCACCUACUGUGCUGGGUUUCGAUUUUUUGUUGGACUAAAUAGAUGGGCAUCCUUUUGAAAUUCUCGAAUUAUAAGCUUUCGGACAUCGAAACAAGAAGAUUUUGGCAACCAACUCGAGUUACUCAAACGUUAUGAAAAAGAACCACAUUUCAAAACUUUUUAAUUUUAGACAUAAGGACAGUAUUUAAUUGAUUCAGUACCAAUUUUGGGCAUAGUGAGGGUGCUAAUCCUUCCUCAUGCGUAACCGACUCCCGAACCUAUUUUCUCAAUAUUUCGUAGACCAAAAUCGUUGUUUUAAUAAACCAAAAUAUUUUAUUAAACUAACCUCAUUUUUAGGUGAUCCGAUCACACCAAAACAAAAAGAUCGGUGGCGACUCCACACGUCUUAUUUUCAAAAGUCGAUUCCCCUCGUAUUUUUAUUAAAUUUAAAAAUUUUAGAAAUUUUAAAAAGGGUGGUUUCGUCAGCAAGAAAGAAGAUGUCAUCAUACAAUCUACUUUAUGCCCUGACUCUUCACUGUCAGGUGAGUCUUCUUUACCUCAAACUACUACUGAUUUGGAUUUACCAAUAGCCCAACGAAUAGGUGUUAGAACUUGCACUUUACAUUCUAUCUUUGACUUCGUCUCUUAUGAUUCCUUAUCCCCAUCCUAUAGAGCUUUUGCUUUGUCUUUGUUCUCUAUGUCUGUUCCACAAGAUUGGAGAGAGGCUAUCACUAAUCCAAGAUGGAAGAAGGCUAUGAUUGAAGAAAUGAGGGCUUUAGCAAAAAAUUAGACGCGGGGAUUGGUUAAUCCUCCUGAGGGGCAAAAAUUGGGUAGCUGCAAAUGGGUGUUCACUAUCAAGUAUAAGACUGAUGAUUCAAUUAAAAGACUCAAAGCCAUAUUAGUAUCACAAAGAAUCACUCAGACAUAUGGAGUGGAUUAUCAAGAAACAUUUACUCCAGUCGUUAAAUUGAACACGAUUAUGAUCCUUUUAUCAUAUGUAGCAAAUCUUGACUGGGACUUACAGCAGUUUGAUGUAAAGAAUGCCUUCUUACAUGGAGACUUAGAAGAAGGUGUAUAUGAAAGUUCUUCCAAGAUUCGAGGAUAAAGAUACUCAAGGAAAGGUAUGUAAACUGAAAAAAGCCUUAUAUGGACUAAAGCAAUCUCCUAGAGCCUGGUUUGACAGAUUUAGUAAGGCCGUGGUGUCGUUUGGAUAUCUACAAAGUAAUGCUGAUCAUACUUUCUUUAUAAAACAUCACAAAGGUAAGAUUACUCUCUUUAUAGUUUAUGUUGAUGACAAAAUUAUGAUAGGAGAUUACAAGGAAGAAAUGACCCAGUUUAAGAAACAAUUGGCUCAGGAAUUCAAAUCAAAGAUUUGGGAAAGUUAUAAUAUUUCCUCAGAAUAGAAGUGGCCAGAUCGAAAGAGGGAAUUUUUGUUUCCUAAAGAAAAUAUGUUUAGAUCUUCUGACAAAGACUGACAUGUUAGGUUGCAAACCAGCAGAAUCACCUAUUAAGUGUAAUCACAAGUUAUAAGAAAAGAUUGGCAAAAUGAUGGAUAAAGGGAGAUAUCAAAGACUCAACGGACGUUUAAUUUAUCUCGCUCAUACUUGACAUGAUAUAGCCUAUGUUGUUAGUUUGGUAAGCCAGUUUAUGCAUGAUCCUCACGAAGCUCAUAUGCAGGAAAUAUUGUGAAUUUUGUGCUAUUUGAAGUCUGCACCGAGCAAAGGUAUUCUCUUCUCAAAAAAUAGUCAUCUCAAGAUAGAAGUAUUUAUUGAUGCAGAUUGGGCUGGUUUUCUUGAUGACAGAAGGUAUACAACGGGUCAUUAUAUUCUUGUGGGAGGAAACUGAGUCAUUUAGAGGAGUAAGAAACAAAGUGUUGUGUCUCGAUCAAGUACAGAGGCUAAAUAUAGGGCCAUGGCUGAAGGAGUUUGUGAGCUUUUAUGGCUACAAAAAGUAUUGGAAUAGCUGCAAUUGUUGAACGAAAACGGAUCAACCUUGUACUGUGACAAAAAGGCGACCAUCAACAUAGCUCAAAAUCCAGUACAGCAUGAUAGAACCAAACACAUAAAAAAUAGAUCGUCAUUCUAUCAAGGAAAAAGUAGCUAGUGGUGACUCAAGUCUAUAUUACCUAGCAUCUGAAAAACAGUUGGCUGAUAUUUUUACUAAAGGGCUCAACUGUAAGACUUAUCAUAAUCUGCCUUGCAAGUUAGGCAUGCGAGACAUCUAUGCACUAAAUUGAGGGGGAGUGUUGAGAAUAUUUGAUUAUUUGAUAUUAUUAAAUAGUAUCUUUAGAGAUUACAACUGAUAUUUUUAGAUAUUCUAAUUAAGAGAUAUUAUUUCCUUAGUUGUUAAAUCCUACAUGUAUAUAUAGUUGUACAUAUUUCUAAGAAAUAUAUACUUUUGAGAGAGUUUUUCCUCAAUACAUUAGAGUAUUCAUCUCUAAUUUCAUCAUAAAUUGGAAAUUACAUCCAGUAAUUUUUUUCGUUUUCCUCAUUUCUAAGAUAUUGACAAAGGAAAGUCAAAGAAUAAUUGAUUUAUAUCUAUAGUAAGGCAAGGAAACCUUACACAGCAUCUAUGUUGUCCAGAAGUGUUAACCAACACUAAACAAACAAGGGAAAGACCAUGCUCUGGAACAUUUGUCCCUAUCAUAUAGCUAGGAGAUUCACUAGCCUUUGAAUAAAAAAGUUCCCUGCCAAUAUUGAUCUUGUAUAACUGAAUUGCAUUCUGAGCAAAUAUAUCAUUAGAUGCUUCAAUAGCUUCAAAAAUGGAGAGAUCACAGUCGAUGUAUGCAUCAAGUAAGACAGAAAAGACAACCUCAUGAGCUCUUUUGGCACCUGAAAGAGGAAUAGGUCAAACAUUUCGCACUAUUGUUAUAAAGAAUGUACUCAAGCAAGCUAUGGGAUCUAAAACUUGAAGAAUCAAUUGCUUUCUAAUGAAUACUUCCUUUUUAUGCUUCACAAGUUUUAUCACAUAAAUAGACUGAUAUGUCAAGGCUUUAUACUUUUCCAAUGCUUUAACAAAUUAGUCUCUUUUCUCACAUGGUGAAUGAAAGGUUCAGGCCAAACUCAUGCAUGUGGCCAGGCACAUACUCGAUCAAAAAAGAAAUAAGCUUUACAUUUGUGCAUAGUUCAUAAACAACCAACAUAAACACAGAUCCACAUAGCAAAAUGUCUACAUGUUUUACAUUAAUAAACAUUCGAGGGGAAAAUUGUAACACCCCGAAUUUGGGCCUAUAAGUAUUGGGCCUUGAGUGCGGGUCCGUAAGGAGGUUGUAUAUAGGUAUUUAAUUGUGCAAUAAAAUAACACAAUUAAAUGUCUGCUUUGGUGGUUAAUGGCCCUAAGAAGUGUUAGAGAAAUCUUGGGUUCAAACUUGGGCUUUAGCAAAAAUUUUGGUAUUAAGUGAAAAAAAACCUGGAUGCUUGGAUGAGGGUUUUUAAAUUAUUGUGUUAAAUAAAUGACACAAGGAAGCUUGUAGUCUAGAGGUUGUGGCGUCAUUAAGGUUGUCUAGGAGCCUGGGUUCAAGCCUUGGCUCUUGCAAUUUAUUUUGGUUUUUUUUUAAGGGAACCUGGACUUUGGCCUUUAGACCUUAUAAUUAAUUGGGGAUAAAAUAUGACACAAAAAGCUUUGUGGCUUAAUGGCAAGUACCGUGUGGAGCAUCUAAGGGGAGGCAUGGGUUCGAAUCCCAUGGCAAGAAAGAAGCAUUUAUUUUGCUAACAGGGGGCGGCAAGAGUUGGUGUUGAAUUUAAACUCUGAUGUUGGAGGGAUCCCAUAUCGGGAAGCUAACAUAAGAGUGGUUGCGAAGCUGGCUUUAAAUAGAGGGAACCAUGAGGAGAGUAAAUGCACCUUUUCUUGGCUGAUCCCUUUCGCUGUAUGGCGUGCUCGUUUGGGUUGGGCGUCGGCUAAGAGUGCUCGGAGCAUGGAUUAACUCUAGUCUCCUAUCAGGUGUGUAUUUUCUCACUACUCUAGUUGUAGGAUGGCUACUUCGGGCCGCGAUGGGCCGAAAGGGGUCAUGUGGGCCUAAUGGGCCUACGAGCCCAAUUGGAUAAGUUGUUUGAUUGUGUAGUAAAUAUUGGACUAGGGUAGGUGAAUCUCAUAUUUGUGGCUAGAUUUGGGCUAAAAGGGCCACACGAGCGUGUGGGCCCAUUUGGGCUCAGAAUAGUCUUUAGGCCUAUUUGUAUUGUUAUCCCUGUUUAGAAUACUUUAGUUUACCAAAUUACUGAAAUGCCCUCGAUUUAUAGAAUUACUGUUUUACCUCGAUUUACAAAAUUACCAUUUUACCCUCAAUUUACAAAAUUACCGUUUUACCCUCGAUUGUGAAAUUAUUGAAAUACCCCUAUAGGAUAGAAUUACCAAAAUACCCCUAGUUUUUAAAAUUACCAAAAUACCCCUAAUUUGUAAAAUUACCGAAAUACCACUGGUUUGUGAAAUUACUGAAAUACCCUCAAUUUGUAAAAUUACCAAAAUACCCUUAAUUUAUAAAAUUACAAAAAUACACUUGACUUUCUAAAAAUUAUAGAAAUACCAUUGGUUUACUAAAUUACUGAAAUACCCUUGGUUUGUAGAUUUACCAAAACACCCUUGUAGGAUGAAAUGACUAAAAUACCCCUAAUAGGUAAAAAGACCGUAAAGCCCCGUAGGGUAAAGUGACCGUAAUACCCUUGUAUGGUAAAAUGACGAAUAUGCCCUUAUGUUCCGUAUAAUUGAUGUGCUUAGGAUUUACAUUUAUUGAUAUUGGAUUAGUUAAGUUUGAGUGACAGGUGGUGGUUAUUGUAGGUGAUUGAUUAUGAAAACGUUUCAACUUCAACCCAUAACAGGUGUGUACUAACCCUCGUAGUAGCUUAGAUUAAUAUCUCCUGAGAAGCCGAAAUGCUAAAAUACCAGUAUUUCGAGAACUUGUAAUGUUGCGUGUGGGUAUAGAUGCGACAAAUACGAUAAGAUUGGUGUUUGGAUCGAUGGAACGGGUAAGAACUCAAUUUUGUGCACGAUGAUAAGUUGGGCCUCAAUGGGCAGGAAUUGGGCCAAAUGGGCUUUUAGGCCCAUUUGGGUAAAAUUGAUAGAAAAUGGAAUUUGAAAAAGUUACAUGUUAACACGAUUAUUGUUGUUGUAAAAUUUGGGUUAAGCAGGCUUAGUGGGCUAAAUCAGCAUUCGUAGGGCCCAUUAGGGUUUUUGGGCCCAAAAGCCCGAAUUUGAUAAGUGGGUUAAAGAUCAUUGUUUAAACAGUCGAAAAUAUUGACAAUUGUAAUGAACAUGGAAAAACCUGAUUUUUGGUAAAUUUACAAAAAUACCCUUAUAAUAUGAAAAAUGACUGUUUUGCCCUUGUGGGCAAGUGACUGACUUGGACUGUGUGGUUGACGGAUUUGAUUGUGAAUAUAUGUUGGUGAUAUGAAUGACUUGACUAUGGUUGUUUGAUUCAAAUAUGGGCAUGACAUUCUGCAUACAUGACAUAUUGCAUGGGAUAUGGGUUAUAUUGAUGGAGAAAGUGCUAAAAGGGCUCUGCCCCAAUUUACCGAAAACGGCUUUGGCCCAGUUUAUCAGAAAGGGCUUUGCCCCAGUUAUUAAAAGAGGCUAGGCCUCCAGUUAUAUGAUAAAGCAGCUAUGCUUCCAGUGGAGCGUUUGGUUGGGUGGGUUGAGUUAUUUCCCACAUGGUGUGUUGGUUGGUACGGGUGGAGAGUAGCGGAUGGUGGGUCGAGUAGUCUCCCCAAAUGGGCUUGCAUACAUCCAUUGAUAUUACAUGUGAUAUUGAAAUAGGCCUAAGGGCCAUACCGUUUACAGUAAAGGCUUCAGCCCAGUGAUAUGAUUUAAGAAAAGGCUUCGGCCCAGUGAUAUGAUUUAUGAAAAUGCUUCGGCCCAGUGAUAUGAUUUAUGGAAAGGCUUCGGCCCAAUAUAUGUCAAGACAAAAUAGGGCUUUGGCCCAGAUUGUACUGAUACCGUGUUAUUUACUGUUUGUUUGUUAUUGGGGUUACACACUGAGUUUCCAAACUCACCCCUUCUUUAACCUUGCAAGUGGGCCUUGAUGUGAGUGUCUUGGAGCCGGAGGGGAUUCAGAGUGGCCAUGGUGAACGCUUUUGGGUUUGAAAAAGAGACUAGUUUUCUUAAGCUAUUUUUAAUUACUAUUUAAUUUUUGGGUUGUAAUAAGGCCAUUUUAACUUUAUUUUCUUCUUUGAUUUUCUGGGAUUAUAUUAUUUUUAAUAACUUUAUUCUGGUGGAUAAUAAUUCAAAUGGGCUAGACUUAGGGCACGAUUUCAAAACGAUACUUGUUUUUAAAAUAACACGACGUCACGAAUAUUCGAUUUAUCAAAGAUUACCACUCAAAGAAGUUUCAAUCCGUUAUAACCAAGUGUGGCAAUGGAUGUGGGCAUGUCUAGGAUUGGAUCCAAUCGAAUAGCUUGGUACUUAAGCAGCCUUCAUGGCUCACCUCCUCUGUUAUGGAUACCUACCUGGUGCCCAGCUUCCAUUCACUUGGUUAGCUUAACAAAAGUCGGCUUUUAAAACACUAAAAAGGGAACAUGGGUUUUUUUUUAAUUUCAAUGUGGCAUGUCGGAUUCGGCCAUAACGUCUGGGCCGGGUUUGGGGUGCUACAAAAGUAGCAUCUAAUUGAGUAGUUUCUGGUUUCAUCAAUCAUCAUAUUGAAGGGUUAUUUUUGAAGAGUAAUUCUGUGUUGUGGAGUCAGAAUCUUCAAUAAAUACCAAAAAUUUUCAACUUGAAAAUUGAUCAUUUCUUGCAAUACCAAGAAUUUGUUUGACUAUCUAGGUCAAGAAUCUGGAUCUCUCACAAAGCACACACAAAAGUGAAAGCGAGAGCCAUCAAUAAAAAUUAUAUUCAAGGCAUUAUGAGUGAUCGGACAGCGACAUGAGAAUUUUAACAAUGAAUGCAUUAAAAACUAGAUGCAAGUUGAGAAGAACAAUCAUUCUUAAGCUAUUUGAUGAUAUGUUUGUGGAUGAUAACUUACAGACCUAUGUAGUAUGUUUCAAGAGUUGCAUACGCAUCAGUGCUGAACAUCACCUGCAAUUUUGUGUUUGAGAUCAAUUACAGUAAAAUAAACAUAGCAUACAUAUAAAAGGAAAAAUUAGACCUUUUAUAUCAAAUAUUAACAGCUUCCCCUGUGUAAAAUGCAACAGAAACUUAUUCCGGGAACAACUCAGGGUAAAUUUGGUGGGAAUAAAGAAGGAAAGGAAAAAAAAUCGCAUAUGACAAAGUGACAAAGGAAAUCAUAAUUUUUCCUUCUAUACACUAUCAAGUGAAGCAUAUUCUACGAACAACGAGAAGCAUAUGCAAUUGAUGAGGUUACAAAUUAACUACAGUAAGGGAAAAGCUAAGUAUAUUGACCAAGGAGAAACAUAGAUGUGGUAGUUAAAAUUGUAAUCAUAUCACAACUGCCCUUGUAAGAGAGGUUGGUUGGAUAUUGUGGACAAACACUCAUAUUUUAUCACUGUGCUGAAGAACUGGGACAAAACUCUUUAGAAAAAAAAGAGUACAAGGCUCUCAAUAUUUCCUUCGAGUAUUUUCACCUUCUUUAAGGGGGCCAUCUCCAAAAGUUCUUUGACUGAGGUUAUCAUCCCACGUACACUGAGCUUGGGAAUUGCCAACCCAAAGUCAAGGAAAACCUGAAAGAGCAAACAACUACAUGGAUAGGAACAUAACAUGGCAAACUGAAUACCAAGUGCAACAAAUGAAGUGAUCCACUGGCGCUAGAAUUUUCACCUGGGCAUAAACAGAGGCCAAAUAUGAAGCUUCUUGCGAGAAUAGGUACGAUGCAUGUAAAAGAAAUAUACGAGACCCAGAAAAUCAUUUAUCUUCUAAAAGUGUCCGGAGAUGAAGUGGAUUGGAUAAUCGUAAAUCCAAAUAUUUGUCUCCAAAACUAAUUGGGAAGAAAAGAAAGAAAUGAGAAAUGAGGGCGAAAACAAAUACUGAAAGAGCAUAUAGGUUGCUUUAGUGUUGUUGAUGAUAGCUCAUAGAUAAGGACUAGGAGCUGUCUGUAUCUGGUGCUUCUAGAAGGGAACCAGACAAGCUAAACAUACUUUAGAAAGGGGUUGAGACUAAACCGAUUGCAUACAAAAUUUUUCGAAACUUAAACAAUUUUUAAAGUUAUAAAGGUCACAUGCCCGUGUGAGUAGGCCAUGUGCCCUACAUGGCAAUAGACACGCUUGUGUGUCUAGGCUGUGGCGAAACGGGGCAUACAUACUGACUUUUCCACACGACCACAAGACACGCCCGUGUGCCAGGCCAUGUGAAAAUUAGGGAGGCUACUGACUUGGGUCACAUGGCCAGUCACAUGCCCGUGUGUCUAGCCCGUGCUCGAAAUUGACUUGGCCACACGAACUAGCACAUGUGUGCGACCGUGUGGUUACUCAGGCUCAUUUUGAAAUACUCAGGCUCAUUUUGAAAUGACCCUCGAGCAACACGGCUGAGACACACGCCCGUGUCCCUGCUCGAGUGGGCAAAAAUAUACCAUUUACAAGGCCAACAUGCCACCCAUAAAGGGUCUUCCCUACAAGCAUCAAAACCAAUUCAUUUUAUACUAAAUUUUCAAUCAAUUCACAACCAAAUCAUACACCAAUCAUGCCAUAUUAUAAUUAACCAAUUUCAUGCUAUUAAUCCAUACUAAAACAUACCAAAACAUAAGCCAAAGUCAUACCUAAACAUAAAAUUCAUAACCUUAAUUUACUUAUUCAAUCUCAUGCCAUAAUCUUACCAAAUCUCAAAAUAGGUACACACUAAAAACUUACCAACUUGACCAAUUCUCUUGGCCAUAUAUGAACACAUCAUAUUAGCAAUAUUUCAUCACAUAGUUUAUACUCAAAAGUCAUAUAUAAACACAUCCAAAACUAAUCCAUAUCACAUGGCUAAAUUUACACUUCACAACUUAAAACAUAUCUCAAAUAAUUUUAGCUUAUACAUGCCAUAUUUCAAAUUUACAUUAUCAAAAGGUAACCAAAUAGAGGUGGAUAAUGUGGUGAUGAUCCUCGACGAUCCCCGAGCUCCCAGUAGCUUCAAUAUCUAUAAAACAUUUGAAAAUACAAUGUAACCAUUCCAAAGCUUAGUAAGCCAUAUACAAAUAAACUUGUCACAUAAACAAUUCUAAACCAUUUCAUCCAUAUAAUGUAACACCCCGAACCCGAGGCCGUCGCCGGAGUCGAACACGAGGUGUUAACAGACUUCAAACCACUUAUUAAAAUUUUUCCAGACAAGCUGUCAAUCUGUGUACUAGUCGCUUUAAAAAUCAUAUCUUGAGCUCUGGAACUCAAAAUCCAGUUCCGUGAAUUUUCCCUGAAACUACACUCAUAUUACCAUCUACAUAUUUUUUUCUAGAAUUUUUGGUCGGGCCAAUUAGUACAGUUUAUUAGUCAAAGUCUCCCAUGUUACUGGGGUCGACUACACUGACCUUUGCGCAUUACGACCUGGAUAUCUCCCUGUACAGAACUUCCAUACUGAUGCCGUUUGUUUCUAUAGAAACUAGACUCAGAGAGGAAUCUAUACAUAUAUGUUAUGACUCCUAAUUAUCUCUGGUUAAUUUAUAAUGAAUUUCCAAAGUCGGAGCAGGGAAUCCAGAAACCGUUCUGGCCCUGUCCCACGAGAACCUGAUUAUCUCUUAACAUACUGUCCAUAUGAUUCUUUCGUUACUUCUAUAUGAAAAUAGACUCAUCGAACUUCGAUUACAUAAUUUAUUUAUCAAUUAAAUCCACUCCUACUAUUUUUAGUGAUUUUUCAAUCUCAUGUCACUGCUGCUGCCAGCAUCUGUUACGAAAGCAACUAUGCCCACUUUGUGUUUACUCCUUGAUCUAACUAAUAAUUCAUCAUGCAUAUCACAAAUUAUGAUCAUGACUAACCAUGCCAAAGGCUAAUCAUUGUCAAACUUCCCCCUACUACACUAUUGCCAUAUCAUGAAUUUUAACACCAAAAUAAUCAACCAUGACGUAUGGCAUAAAAAGGUCAAAUUAUCAAGAUUUGCGACCUAACGUAUGAAUCCAAACCCAACCGAACAUUUAUGCCAUUUUCGCAUGGCUAAAAGCUUACAUACCAAAGUUCAAACACAACAUAAUAGCCUAUACAUGCCGAAAUGUUCUCCUAAGCCAACUAAGAAGAAAGUACCAAAACUUGCUAUCCGGUGUGAUGACUUCGAUGACGGCCCGACCACGCAAAAAGAGACGAGUCCAAGAAACCUAGUAUGGGUGACAAGGAAACACCGAGUGAGUUUAUAACUCAGUAAGUCAUAAGCAAUACACUACCAUCCAUUAAUAACAUUAUCACAAGAGGAAACAAAAUGGAACGAGGCUAGUUACUCCAUCCAUACCGAACCAUACCAUAGUUCCUCCGACCUAUCGGUUCAAUCUCAUACCAAAUCAUGCAUUCACAUUCCAUAUACUCAUCAAUAGAAUAUUCGAGGCAUUUUCAUAAGUCAUUUUAUUUUCGUUACAAUCAUACAACUAAACGGCCUUUCACCCAUUCCACGAUAAAUCUUAUGUACGUGACUUCAAGUAUAUUUGUCACAUAGGUUCAACUUACCAAGCUCAACUCCAAAUAUAAACAUAGCACCUAUUAGCCAUGAACUCAAGAUACUUACCCGAUCCGCUAUCCGUGAUCGACUCAAUAGUGUCGCACACUUAGUGUCCAUAAUGAUUCAAGAAUAUUUAUUAAGUCCGCACACUCAGUGCUAUAUAAUCAACUCGCACACUUAGUGCUACAUAAUCAUACUCGCACACUUAGUGCUACAUAGUCAACUCGCACACUUAGUGCUACAUAGUCAAACUCGCACACUUAGUGCUACAUAUUCAAUUCGCACACUUAGUGCUGCACAAUUUAAACCCGCACACUUAGCGCCAAUCUCAUGGUCAUAAAUGUUUAUACCCGCACAUUUAGUGCCAAGAUCAACAACUCAAUACAUCUCACCUCUUUUCUUUUCAUUCAACACUUUCAUCACCACAUACGUACAUUCAUAUAUAUAUAUUUAUUCAUUCCAUUCAGCAUCAUUACAUAAAUGUUAUGACCAUUUGAAUUAAUACCAACUAUAUGCUUAAUGACUUACUUUAUGUUGGGUAAAAUAAAUUCCGAGUCGGCUACUCGAUGACCUUCGAUUUCCCCUUGUUGGACGCCUCUCCUUUAGGUUCUUGAGCUUAAAUAAUACAAAUAAGAGUAUUCAAUAUUUAACCCAAUAACAUGAAUUUAUUUAUCACAUUCGGCAAUCACAUAUCAUUAAAUUUUCAAACCAAAAUGUCAUUAUAUGACCACAUAUACACAUAUCCAUAUACUUAAGCUCAAUAAUUAUAAUGUAAUAUCAUGUACCCACUUUAAGUAUAUUGCCGAAUAUACUUAAUCAUACAUACACCUAACCAAAACAAAUUCCCUAAAAUCUUUAUAUCAUUUAUACACUAAGCCGAAUACUCUCACCAAGUUCACCUAUAUUCUUCAACAAUUCCUUCAUUGAUCAAACACAUAUUCGGCUAAAGAAAUGGCAAUUUUAGCAACCUUCGAUUUAGUACUUAACUUUUACCACAUAUCAAAUAACUCAUUUCCUUACUCAUGUGACCACGUAUAUUCGGUCAUGCAUACACACAUAAAAUCAAUUUGGAGACUCUAUCAAUCCAACAUACAUUCGGCACCUUCAUCCACCAUUCUACCAAGCAUGUAAUAUUCAAACACAACCAAACUCACAUUCGGCCCUAGCUCAUAACAAGGUAGCCGAUUCUUUUUAUAGUUCAAACACUCCUCUAUCAUCAUUCACCUAACUUUAACAUGAAACAACAAAACUCACCAUUUCUCAUCCAAAUAACAUGAACAACAACCAUUUCUUGAACACUUUCUCAUGACCAAUUGCUCAUGUUACCAACAAGAUUCAAGAUUUGAACACGGGCUAUUUAGAACUCAAGUCAAUUACUAAAACAUGCAUGCAUCUCAAGGACAACAUCAAACAUACCUUAGUCUAGCAAACCACCAUAGCCGAUUUUCUCAAGCUUUUCCCCUUCCUUUCUUUCCUCUAUUCGGCCAAAGAUGUUCAAGAAUGAACACUUUUUUUUUUUGUUUUCUUUCUUCAAUUCACGGCAACAAGGCGGUAUGGAUGAGACCAUAUUAUUUUUUUUUUCAUCACCCUUCCUUUCAUUAUUUAAUCACCAUGCUCAUUAUUUUAUUUUUCUUAACAUACAUCACUAGCAUAACAUGUUGGAGACAUGUUUCCACCCAUAGCAUGGCCGGCCACUAUGCUUUAGUUUGGCUAAUUUGACAUGCAAGGACAACACUUUCCCACUUUAAUACUAUUUGGUCCUUACUUAUUUAUCUAUCAUAAUUUUCCAAGUCUUUCAACUAGAUCCUUUCAAGCAAAAUUCACAUUCCUAAUAUAAAAUUAAAACAUCAAAUUUUUGUACAAGUACUAUCACACAUAUAAGAUAUGCAAAUAAAAUUUUAACUAAAUCUUAUGACUCGGUUUUGUGGUCCCGAAACCACAUUCCGACUAGGGUCAAAUUAGGGCUAUUACAACUCUCCCCCACUUAAGAAUUUUCAUCCCCGAAAAUCUUACCGGUAAAUAGGUUUGGGUAUCGUUCUUUCAUCGAGCUCUCGGUUUCCCAAGUAGCUUCCUCGAUCCCAUGUUUGAGCCAUAACACCUUCACUAACGGAACCCUUUUGUUUCGCAACUCCUUCACUUCACGAGCUAGGAUACGUAUCGGUUCUUCUUCAUAACUCAUAUCGGCUUGAAUUUCAACCUCUGAUGGGCUAAUUAUGUGCGAUGGAUCAGAUCGAUAGCGUCGAAGCAUCGAAACAUGAAAGACAUCGUGAAUCUUUUCAAGCUCAGGGGGCAAAAUCAAUCUAUACGCAACUGGUCCAACUCGUUCGGAUACUUCGUACGGGCCGAUGAAUCUCGGACUCAAUUUGCCCUUACGACCAAAUCUAAGCACCUUCUUCCAGGGUGAAACUUUGAGAAAUACUUUAUCUCCAACCUGAUAUUCAAUGUCUUUUCUUUUCAAAUCCGCAUACGACUUUUGACGAUCCGAAGCGGCUUUCAAACUUUCGCGAAUUACUCGGACUUUCUGCUCGGCAUCCUUAAUCAAAUCAACCCCAAAGAUUUUAAUUUCACUAAGUUCAGUCCAAAAUAAUGGGGUACGACACUUGCGACCGUAUAAAGCCUCGUAAGGUGCCAUCUUAAUGCUUGAUUGAAAGCUAUUGUUAUAAGCAAAUUCAAUCAAAGGCAAAUAUCUUUCCCAUGAACCACAGAACUCUAAGACGCAACAUCUCAACAUAUCCUCGAGUAUCUGAAUUGUUCGUUCAGAUUGACCAUCGGUUUGGGGGUGAAAAGCAGUGCUAAAAUACAGCUUGGUACCCAAAGCUUCUUGCAAUUUCUUCCAAAAUCGCGAUGUAAAUCUUGGGUCUCUAUCUGACAUAAUAGAAAUAGCUACUCCAUGUAAUCUCACAAUCUGAGAAACAUACAAUUCGGCUAGUUUAUCCAAUGAAAAAUCCGUACAUACAGGGAUAAAGUGAGCCGACUUAGUCAGUCUAUCGACAACAACCCAAAUCGCAUCUUUCUUACUCGUCGACAAUGGUAACCCAGAUACAAAAUCCAUCGUGACUCGAUCCCAUUUCCAUUCAGGUAUCAUGAUUGGCUGUAGUAAUCCCGAAGGCACUUGAUGUUCCGCUUUCACUUGUUGACAUAUUAAACACCUUAAAACAAAUUCCGAAAUGUCUCGUUUCAUGCCCGACCACCAAAGUUGACGUUUCAGAUCAUUGUACAUUUUAGUACUACCCGGGUGGAUAGACAUUCGGCCACUAUGAGCCUCAUUCAAAAUCAUCGAAAUAAGUUCCGAAUUCCUUGGAACACACAAACGACUUCUAAACCUCAAACAAUCAUCAUCAUCCAUUCGAAACUCCGAUUCCUUGUUCGGAACACACUCAGCCCGUUUUGCAACCAAUUCAUCAUCAACUUUCUGGGCUUCACGAAUUUGAUGAAUCAAUAAUGGUUUGGCUUUUAAUUCAGCUAUUAACACAUUGUCGGGUAGAACAGACAAGUGCACAUUCAUCGCUCGUAAAGCAAACAGCGAUUUCCGGCUUAAGGCGUCCGCAACCACAUUAGCCUUUCCCGGGUGGUAAUCAAUGGCAAGCUCGUAAUCUUUCAACAACUCAAGCCAACGUCUUUGUCGUAGAUUUAGGUCUCUUUGAGUCAUCAAAUAUUUGAGACUUUUGUGAUCCGAAAAUACAUGGCACUUUUCGCCAAACAAAUAAUGUCGCCAUAUUUUCAAAGCAAAUACGAUGGCGGCUAGCUCGAGAUCAUGGGUGGGAUAAUUUCUCUCGUGUGGCUUCAAUUGUCUCGACGCAUAGGCCACAACUCGACCUUCUUGCAUCAAUACGCAACCCAACCCGAGUAGGGAUGCGUCACUAUAAAUGACAAACUCUUUGCCUGAUUCAGGUUGCACUAAAAUUGGAGCUUCAGUCAAAUAAGUUUUCAGUUGAUCGAAACUUUUCUGACAUUUCUCCGUCCAUUCGAACUUAACAUCCUUUUGAAGUAGCUUCGUCAUUGGUGUGGCUAUCAUCGAGAAACCUUUGACAAAUCGUCGGUAAUAACCGGCGAGUCCCAAAAAGCUCCGAACCUCAGUAAUAUUUCUCGGAGGUUUCCAGUUAAGUAUGGCUGAGAUUUUGUUCGGGUCAACUCGAAUACCCGAUGCGGAUACCACAUGACCCAAGAAGCUAACCUCUCUUAACCAGAACUCACACUUACUGAACUUAGCAUAUAACUGCUUAUCCCGCAAAAUUUGCAACACUAGCCUCAGAUGCUCAGUAUGUUCGGUCUCGUCUCUUGAAUAGACCAAGAUGUCAUCAAUGAACACAACUACGAACCGAUCCAAAUAUGGUCUGAAGAUCCGAUUCAUCAAAUCCAUAAACACUGCAGGGGCAUUAGUGAGCCCAAACGGCAUCACUAAGAACUCGUAGUGACCGUACCUCGUUCUGAAAGCAGUUUUGGGUACGUCCGAAUCUCGAAUCCGCAACUGAUAAUAACCCGAUCUCAAAUCUAUCUUUGAAAACACUGAUGCUCCCUUUAAUUGAUCAAACAAAUCAUCAAUACGCGGUAACGGAUACUUAUUCUUUAUCGUCACUUUAUUUAGUUGAUGAUAGUCAAUGCACAACCUCAUGGUUCCGUCCUUCUUUUUCACGAACAAUACUGGUGCACCCCAAGGUGAGAAACUUGGUCGAGCGAAACCUCUAUCCGUCAAUUCUUGCAACUGAGCUUUCAACUCUUUUAACUCGGUUAGUGCCAUACGAUACGGAGCUAUCGAAAUUGGCGCAGUUCCAGGUACAAGCUCAAUACCAAACUCUAUCUCCCGAACAGGUGGCAAACCCGGCAAUUCUUCAGGAAAAACAUCCGGGUAUUCACAAACCACCGGCACAGAUUCGGGUUUCUUUUCUAACUCUUUGUCAUCAAGUACAUACGCAAGGUAUGCUUCGCACGCUUUUCUCACAUAUUUCUGGGCCAACAUUGCUGAUAUUACAGCUGGCAACCCCCUUAAGUCCGCAGACUCAACUCGGAUUAUCUCGUUAUUUGCGCACCUCAAAUCAAUAGUCUUGCUUUUGCAAUUCACAACCGCAUCAUGCGCGGUCAACCAAUCCAAACCAAGAAUAACAUCAAAUUCGUCAAACGGCAAAAGCAUCAAAUCGGCCGGAAAAUAAGAUUCUCGGAUUAUUAGAGGGCAUCUCUUACACACUUUAUCAACAAAUACGCAUUGACCCAAAGGGUUUGACACUCGAAUUACGAACUCAGUAGACUCAACAGGUAGAGUCUUACUGGAUGCUAAGGUUUCGCAUACAUAUGAAUGAGUAGAGCCAGGGUCAAUCAAUGCAAUCAAAUUAGUAUCAAAGAGAGUGAAGGUACCAGUGAUGAUGUCAGGGGAGGAUGCCUCCUCUCGUGCGCGGAUGGCAUAAGCUCUAGCAGGAGUGCGGUUCUCGGCUCGAACAGCCGUAUCAGAGGCCCCUCUCUGACUACCACCCAUACCUCCUAAAAUUCUCGGUGGUCUACCUCUAGUUGUCACUCCACUAGGUCUUACACCUUGAAUCUUAUUCUUCUCAUCAAGCUCCGUGCAAUCUCUAAUGAAGUGGUCCUUCGAACCGCAUCCGUAACAGGCCCUGUUAAUAGACUUACCCCAACAUUCACCUAUGUGUCGUCUUCCACAUUGGGGACAUUUAGGUUUCUCUAGACGAUUAUUGCCCACACUAGCUACCGAAGUAGCUCGGGAGUCCGUCGAUGGUCUUGCUCUGAUGGAAAUUCCCGCAGUCGUCCUCGACUUAUUAGUGUCCUCCCUGAACUUCUUUACGGCUGAGAACGGGGCUUUACCCGUCGAUCUUUUACAGUAGUCUCUAGCUUCAAAUUCAGCCUUCUUCUUCUCCUUUCCAAGUUCUUCCGCCUUGCAGGCUCGUUCGACUAGUGUUACGAAUUCUUUUAUUUCCAAAAUACCCAUUAGUAGCUUUAAAUCCUCAUUCAAUCCUUCUUCGAAUCUUUUGCACAUAGCAACCUCAUCAGCUACACACUCCCGGGCAUACGUACUGAGUCUUACGAAUUCAUGUUCGUAUUCAGAUACUGUCAUACGGCCUUGCUUGAGUUCCAAGAAUUCCGUACGCUUUUGAUCAAUGAACCGUUGACUAAUAUAUUUCUUUCGAAAUUCCGUCUGAAAGAAGUCCCAAGUUACUCGUUCGUUUGGGACUAUGGAAAUCAGGGUCCUCCACCAAUAGUAGGCUGAGUCCCGCAACAAGGAUAUAGCACACUUUAGACAUUCAUCGGGUGUGCAUGACAGUUCAUCAAACACCCGAAUGGUGUUAUCAAGCCAGAACUCGGCCCUUUCAGCAUCAUCAGUAACUAUGGCCCUGAACUCAUCAGCCCCGCGCUUCCUAAUCAAGUCUACAGGUGGCUUACUCAGCCUCACAGGAUCAGUAACUGAUGGCAUUACUGGCUCCGGCGGUGGAUUAUUCAAAUUCGGGAAUUGUUGGACAGCCGGAUUGGUUCGGGCAUACUGCGCGACCCAUUCAUUCAUCAUGGUAAAGAAGGCUUGUUUAGCCCCCUCACCUUGAUUAUUCGCAGAUGACUGAGGUUCAACAGGCGGCGUCCCUUGUGCAGGAGCAGCCGCUACGCCCUCAACGUCAUCCGCUAAGGUUCCUUCUACACCGGGGUCCAUUUACUAAUCAAAACAAAAACAUUUUAACCGUCAGAAGUCAUCACACAUUUAAACAUUAACAUUAAGGCAUGUAUAGCUAGACUCAUACGCGCUAUGGUAGUCCUAGAACCGACUAAACCAUAGCUCUGAUACCAAUCAAAUGUAACACCCCGAACCCGAGGCCGUCGCCGGAGUCGAACACGAGGUGUUAACAGACUUCAAACCACUUAUUAAAAUUUUUCCAGACAAGCUGUCAAUCUGCGUACUAGUCGCUUUAAAAAUCAUAUCUUGAGCUCUGGAAGUCAAAAUCCAGUUCCGUGAAUUUUCCCUGAAACUAGACUCAUAUUCCCAUCUACAUAUUUUUUUCUAGAAUUUUUGGUCGGGCCAAUUAGUACAGUUUAUUAGUCAAAAUCUCCCAUGUUACUGGGGUCGACUACACUGACCUUUGCGCAUUAUGACCUGGAUAUCUCCCUGUACAGAACUUCCAUACUGAUGCCGUUUGUUUCUAUAGAAACUAGACUCAGAGAUGAAUCUAUACAUAUAUGGUAUGACUCCUAAUUAUCUCUGGUUAAUUUAUAAUGAAUUUUCAAAGUCGGAUCAGGGAAUCCAGAAACCGUUCUGGCCCUGUCCCACGAGAACCUGAUUAUCUCUUAACAUACUGUCCAUAUGAUCCUUUCGUUACUUCUAUAUGAAAAUAGACUCAUCGAACUUCGAUUACAUAAUUUAUUCAUCAAUUAAAUCCACUCCUACUAUUUUUAGUGAUUUUUCAAUCUCAUGUCACUGCUGCUGCCAGCAUCUGUUACGAAAGCAACUAUGCCCACUUCGUGUUUACUCCUUGAUCUAACUAAUAAUUCAUCAUGCAUAUCACAAAUUAUGAUCAUGACUAACCAUGCCAAAGGCUAAUCAUUGUCAAACUUCCCCCUACUACACUAUUGCCAUAUCAUGAAUUUUAACACCAAAAUAAUCAACCAUGACGUAUGGCAUAAAAAGGUCGAAUUAUCAAGAUUUGCGACCUAACGUAUGAAUCCAAACCCAACCGAACAUUUAUGCCAUUUUCGCAUGGCUAAAAGCUUACAUACCAAAGUUCAAACACAACAUAAUAGCCUAUACAAGCCGAAAUGUUCUCCUAAGCCAACUAAGAAGAAAGUACCAAAACUUGCUAUCCGGUGUGAUGACUUCGAUGACGGCCCGACCAUGCAAAAAGAGACGAGUCCAAGAAACCUAGUAUGGGUGACAAGGAAACACCGAGUGAGUUUAUAACUCAGUAAGUCAUAAGCAAUACACUACCAUCCAUUAAUAACAUUAUCACAAGAGGAAACAAAAUGGAACGAGGCUAGUUACUCCAUCCAUACCGAACCAUACCAUAGUUCCUCCGACCUAUCGGUUCAAUCUCAUACCAAAUCAUGCAUUCACAUUCCAUAUACUCAUCAAUAGAAUAUUCGAGGCAUUUUCAUAAGUCAUUUUAUUUUCGUUACAAUCAUUCAACUAAACGGCCUUUCACCCAUUCCACGAUAAAUCUUAUGUACGUGACUUCAAGUAUAUUUGUCACAUAGGUUCAACUUACCAAGCUCAACUCCAAAUAUAAACAUAGCACCUAUUAGCCAUGAACUCAAGAUACUUACCCGAUCCGCUAUCCGUGAUCGACUCAAUAGUGUCGCACACUUAGUGUCCAUAAUGAUUCAAGAAUAUUUAUUAAGUCCGCACACUCAAUGCUAUAUAAUCAACUCGCACACUUAGUGCUACAUAAUCAUACUCGCACACUUAGUGCUACAUAGUCAACUCGCACACUUAGUGCUACAUAGUCAAACUCGCACACUUAGUGCUACAUAUUCAAUUCGCACACUUAGUGCUGCACAAUUUAAACCCGCACACUUAGCGCCAAUCUCAUGGUCAUAAAUGUUUAUACCCGCACAUUUAGUGCCGAGAUCAACAACUCAAUACAUCUCACCUCUUUUCUUUUCAUUCAACACUUUCAUCACCACAUACGUACAUUCAUAUAUAUAUAUUUAUUCAUUCCAUUCAGCAUCAUUACAUAAAUUUUAUGACCAUUUGAAUUAAUACCAACUAUAUGCUUAAUGACUUACUUUAUGUUGGGUAAAAUAAAUUCCGAGUCGGCUACUCGAUGACCUUCGAUUUCCCCUUGUUGGACGCCUCUCCUUUAGGUUCUUGAGCUUAAAUAAUACAAAUAAGAGUAUUCAAUAUUUAACCCAAUAACAUGAAUUUAUUUAUCACAUUCGGCAAUCACAUAUCAUUAAAUUUUCAAACCAAAAUGUCAUUAUAUGACCACAUAUACACAUAUCCAUAUACUUAAGCUCAAUAAUUAUAAUGUAAUAUCAUGUACCCACUUUAAGUAUAUUGCCGAAUAUACUUAAUCAUACAUACACCUAACCAAAACAAAUUCCCUAAAAUCUUUAUAUCAUUUAUACACUAAGCCGAAUACUCUCACCAAGUUCACCUAUAUUCUUCAACAAUUCCUUCAUUGAUCAAACACAUAUUCGGCUAAAGAAAUGGCAAUUUUAGCAACCUUCGAUUUAGUACUUAACUUUUACCACAUAUCAAAUAACUCAUUUCCUUACUCAUGUGACCACGUAUAUUCGGUCAUGCAUACACACAUAAAAUCAAUUUGGAGACUCUAUCAAUCCAACAUACAUUCGGCACCUUCAUCCACCAUUCUACCAAGCAUGUAAUAUUCAAACACAACCAAACUCACAUUCGGCCCUAGCUCAUAACAAGGUAGCCGAUUCUUUUUAUAGUUCAAACACUCCUCUAUCAUCAUUCACCUAACUUUAACAUGAAACAACAAAACUCACCAUUUCUCAUCCAAAUAACAUGAACAACAACCAUUUCUUGAACACUUUCUCAUGACCGAUUGCUCAUGUUACCAACAAGAUUCAAGAUUUGAACACGGGCUAUUUAGAACUCAAGUCAAUUACUAAAACAUGCAUGCAUCUCAAGGACAACAUCAAACAUACCUUAGUCUAGCAAACCACCAUAGCCAAUUUUCUCAAGCUUUUCCCCUUCCUUUCUUUCCUCUAUUCGGCCAAAGAUGUUCAAGAAUGAACACUUUUUUUUGUUUUCUUUCUUCAAUUCACGGCAACAAGGGGGUAUGGAUGAGACCAUAUUAUUUUUUUUUCAUCACCCUUCUUUUUAUUAUUUAAUCACCAUGCUCAUUAUUUUAUUUUUCUUAACAUACAUCACUAGCAUAACAUGUUGGAGACAUGUUUCCACCCAUAGCAUGGCCGGCCACUAUGCUUUAGUUUGGCUAAUUUGACAUGCAAGGACAACACUUUCCCACUUUAAUACUAUUUGGUCCUUACUUAUUUAUCUAUCAUAAUUUUCCAAGUCUUUCAACUAGAUCCUUUCAAGCAAAAUUCACAUUCCUAAUAUAAAAUUAAAACAUCAAAUUUUUGUACAAGUACUAUCACACAUAUAAGAUAUGCAAAUAAAAUUUUAACUAAAUCUUAUGACUCGGUUUUGUGGUCCCGAAACCACAUUCCGACUAGGGUCGAAUUAGGGCUGUUACAUAUAACUCAAGGCAAGAUAUAACCACAUAUCUAUAAAUCUCAUAUAGAUCAUUUGUUCAUAAAUCUCUUAUACAUAACACAUAACACAUUUCAUUUUCAUAUAACUCAUACAUACUUCAUAUAUCCACAUAUAAACAUAAGCUUACCUUUCAUUCUCUGUUAUAAUAUACCUUUCAAACAUACCUGAAUUUGGGUACACAUUCACGUAGUUACUCAUUUCUCGGAAUACCCGUUGAACCGUUCAGAAUCAAAUAGGAUAAGCGAAUAGCUCGAAAAGCUCGUACAAUGCCAACAUCCCUGAUGUGUUCUUACAUGUAACCAAAUAUCGAUGCCACUAUCCUAAACAGGGUCUUACAGGAAAUCAAAUACGAUGCCGAUGUCCCAGACAUGGUCUUACACAUAAAUCUCAAAUCGAUGCCAACGUCCCAGACGUGGUCUUACACAAAAUCAUAUAUCGAAAUUCUUAUGUCAUGACAUAUGUAUCCUAACUAUUUUUAUGGUUCGUACGAGACUUUUUCGAUGUAACACCCCUUACUCAUAUCCGUCGCCGGAACAGGGUACGAGGUAUUAACAAAUUAUAGUAUAUACUAUUAAACAAAACCCAACAAAAAUAUGACGUGCAAUUUGAUCAUUAUAACAUAUGCCAUUAACAAUACAAACCAACUUCAGAGGCUUCGUACAAAAUGAUUAGUUUGAUACUACAAGUAGUAAUUUGAACCUAGACAAUUAUGACACGUAACAAAAUAACUAAGUCUGCUAUACAUGCCAUAUUUCAAAAUGUUGAGUUCAGAUACCAAGAGUAUUGAUAGUGCGGGCGGAUCUUCUACGAUCUCUGAGUCCUGUGCUAGCUGGACGACACUAUAAGACAAAGGAGAGAAAAGAAAGUAAGCUUAUGGCUUAGUAAGUAAGUAUAUAAAUAACAAAUAAGAAAUCUAAUAUGUUUACAACAUAACUCAAUUAUAUCAUAUUUUUAAUUUUAUUGUUUACUCCAAUUUGAUCAAGCUGUCCCUCCUACGUCAUGAUCACUAAAUAAAUCAUAACUCGAGUUACGAAACUCGAAAUUCAAAUCUAUAAAAUUUCCCUGAAUCUAGACUCAUAAAAAUUCUUACUAAUUUUUUUCUAGAAUUUUUGGUUCAGCCAAUUAGUACAGUUUAUUAGUUAAAUUUCCCCUGUUACACAGCUCAACUGAUCUGACCUCUGUUCAUUAUGAAUUUAAUUUCUCUCAGUACACAAUUCAAAUAACCAUGAAACCAGUUUCAUUUAAAACUAGACUCAAUAAGGAAUUUAGGCAUAUAAACUAUAUUUCUUAAUUCGUUUUGUACAAAUUUUAAUUAUUUUUCAAAGUUGAAACAGGGGAUUACAUAGUCAUCCUGAGCAAGUCUCACACAAUUGUAAAUAUCUCAAAAUAUAGAAUUCCUUUGCUUGCUCUGUUUCUUUUAUAUGAAAAUAGACUCAUUAAUAUUUAAUUUCACAUCUCAUUCAACCUCUAAUUAAAUUCCUUCUAUUUUUGGUGAAUUUCCAAAAUCAUGUCACUGCUACUGUCCAAAACAGUUUUAAUGCUAAUUUCAUUCUUUCACACUCCUUUAUACUAACCUCAUUUUAACUUACAUAUAUAUAUACUACAAAUCAUUUUCAUCGCAUUUCAUACAUCACAAGUGUAGGUCUAUGACUACAAUGUCACCACAAAACCAUCCCGUUGAACAAUUCGGAAUAAUCCUCGAUACUUGAUAGUUUCAGCACACAGCCCCACCAUCAUAUCUCAUUUAAUUCGGCUCUCUUGUACACAUGGUGAACACUUAGUACCACUCAUGCGACCUAGCCGAUUUAUCUCGUAUCUCUCUUGUCUACAUGGUGUCCUUCACUUGGAAUCACUCAUGCGACCUAGCUACAUUUAUCUCUCACGUAGCUCUCUUGUCUACAUGGGAUACAUCCUGUAUCACACAUGUGACCUAGCUACAUUAUAGUAUCUCGUAGCCUUCUUGUACACAUGAUGUGCACUCGGCACCAUACAUGUGACCUAGCUACGCUCCCUCUAUUUUAUUCGAUUUUUCCGAAUGUUCAACCGGGAUCUCUCUCUUUAUUAUUUAUUUCCAUUCUUUCAAUAGUCGAUUUAUACUUCAACAUCAGCUAAUAUAUAUAAUAGGCUGAAAUAUAAAAAUGUAAAUGAAAUUAAUGUAUUAUUUAUAUACAAACUUACCUCGGUGCAAAAUAUAGGAAUUUUGCAAUUUAGUCCAAAACUUUCUCCUUUCCCCGUUCGAGGUCAAUUCCACGCCUUUCUUGAUUAUGAAGCUUGAAAGUUGAAGAAACCCUAGCUAUGGAGGAGAGCAAUUUUCGGCAGCAACUAAUAAAGAUGAUAACCAAUUUUGUGUUAUUUUUCCCAUUUUAUUUCAUUUAAUAUACAAAUGACCAAAAUGCCCUUACUACUAAACUUUCAAAAAAAAUUCCCUCCAUGUCCAACUUUUGUCCAUAACUUAAGAAUGGGUCAAAUUGCUAUUUAAGACCUCCUAACUAAUAUCCCAAAGCAAUUUCAUACUAAAAACUUCUAAAACACGAGUUUUACAAUUUAUUCGAUUUAGUCCCUAUUCUCAACUUAAGCGCGAAAUGCAUAGAAUUUCAUCACGAAAUUUUCAUGAAUCAUGAAAUCAUAUCAUAAACCCCAAAAUAAUUAUUAAAUCGAUUAUUUCUAUCUCGGAUUUGUGGUCAUGAAACCACUAUUCCGAUUAGGCCCUAAUUCGGGUUGUCACAUUCGAUGUCAUCGUAUUAUUGAAACUUUCUCGGAUUUCUUAUAUUUUUCUCUCAAAUCCAUUCAUCACAAUUCAAAUAUCAUAUAAACAAUUAAUAAUUCAAUUUAACACAUUUAUUUGUAUAUCGACUUACCUCGUAUGUAUUCAAACGAACGGAAUCGACUAUUCAAUGACUUUCGGCUUUUCCCGGUCUAAUUCUGUUUUCUUUGGUUCUUGAUCUAAACACAUUCAAAUUUGACUUAUUCAAUCUCACAUUCAUUCAAAACAAUCCAUAUACACACAUUUAGGGAAUUUUACCAAUCAUCACAUUUUCACAUUUUAACACUUUAGUCCCUAAUUCAUAAAAUCACAAAAUACACAAAAUUUUCUUAUACACGCUUAGCCGAAUUUUCAUGUAGUUCAUAUAAAUCCACAUAUUUCAUUUAUUUCACAUUUUAAUCCCUCAAUUUCUCAUUUUCACAAUUUAGUCCAAAAUACUCAAGUUCAUCAAAAAUCCCAAUACAAAACAUAGUAAUCUAACACAUAUCUUUCAUUUACUAUCAUCAAACUUCAUAAAACUCACAUUAUCAACAAUGGUGUAACGCCCCUAACCCGUAUCCGUCACCGGACUAGGGUUAAAGGCAUUACCAGACAAAUUAGAACAUUAACAUUUAUUUCAUAAGCAUCGAAGCAUUAAAGAUCAAUCAUCACUAUAGAGUCCCUUAUAUAGGUCAUCGAGACCUUAGACAUGCAUUAGAAAGGGGUCAGGACUACACCGAACACAUACAAAAUUUCUCCAAAAUAUAAAUAUUUUUCAAACAAGUAUAGGUCACACGCCCCUGUGAACAGGCUGUGUGCCUUACACAACAUUAGACACGCUCGUGUGUCUAGGCUGUGACAAAACAGGGCAUACAUACUGACUUGCUCACACAGCCACAAGACACGCCCGUGUGCUUUGGCCAUGGUCGAAUCUGACUUGGGCCACACGGUUAGCCACACGCCCAUGUGCCUUGGUUAUGCUCGAGCCUGACUUAAAAUUGUAGGGUACCCCAAGGGACACACGACCGUGCAACAAAGCCGUGUGUCGUACACAGCUAAGACACACGCCCGUGUCCCUGCCCGUGUGGACAACAAAUAGGCCAUUUGAAUAGCCAACUUGCCACCCCAAUUGGGUCAAACCUAGAAGCUCCAAACCAAGCAUAUUUGCACAACAUUAUAUGACCAAUUCACAACCAAAAAAUAAGCCAUUCAUGACAUAUCAUUGCCAAUCAAAUUUCCAUCUCAAUACAUCAACCAAAUUAUAACAUAUCUAAAAUAAAAUCAUACCAAACAUAAGUUUCAAUUUCAUGACCAAACCAUAUCAAUUACCAUAGCUAACACAUGCCAAAAGCUUACAUAUUUUACCAUUUCUUAUAUUCAUCCACAAACACACUAAAUAUAUCAUAUUGCCUCAUAAUUCAUAUACCAAAACAAUAUCAUAAUCACAUCCAUACCAAGCCAUAUCACAUGGCUAAAUAUAUACAAUCACAAAACAUAAUCUAAACACUUUUAGCCUAUACAUGUCAUACUUUAAUAUAUACAUUUUUAAAGUACCAAAAUGGGAUUUGAUAGUGUGGUGACGAUCCUCGACGAUCCCCAAGCUCACAGUAGCUUCGGUAUCAAUAAAACAAUGCAAACAUACACAGAGUAAGCUUUCAAAAGCUUAGUAAGCUCGUACCAAAAAUCAUCAACAGUUUAUAAAAUAUAAAACAUAAACACAUGAGUACUUGUUAAUUCUCAAUUCAUCUAUCAAUUCUAUGCCAACACAAUUCAUAUAUUUAUACCAAUUUAAUGAACUUCAUAUGCAUAACAUCAUCUAUCACAUAGGUAUCAUACAUACCUGAACCUUCCCGUAUUUAUUCAUUUUCAUUCUCACCUAUCGUUCAAAUAUUUUAAGACUCUCUGAAGAUUAAUCAUGAUUUAACAUCCGUAUACUUAGUGCUUUAAAGGUUAGCAGAAGCUAGAACAAUUUCGUACACUUAGUGCCAUCUCAAUUAACCGAAGCUAUCUUGGUAUCGCACACUUAGUGCCUCACAUAACCGAAGCUAUUUUGAAUUGCACACUUAGUGCCAAAUACACUUGAUUUAUCAUCAUAUUCAACCAUAAUCAAUUAUAUAUACAAUCUAUGUAUAAUUCAAGCAUCAAAAAUAUAUUUGUAACAUCAUGUUUUACGUGCAAACUUACCUCAUACUUAAAAUUGUCGACUCGGAUUGUUUACUCUAUAACCUUCGAUUCCCUCUGUCUAAAUCCGAAUUCCUCUUUUCUUGAUCUAUAUGUAUUCAAAAUUAACCAUUUAUUCACCAAAUAAUUCAAACCAAUCUAUAUACACACAAUUAAGGCAUAAUGCAAACUAGCCCUCACAUUUUCGCAUUUCGACACUUUAGUCCCUAAUUCAGAAAAUCACAAAAUACACAAAGUUUGCUUGUACACAAGCUUAGCUGAAUUUUCAUAGCUCUCAUACAAGUCCACACAUUUCAUUUAUUUCACAUUUUAGUCCCUCAAUUUAUAGAUUUCAUAAUUUAGCCUAUUUUACUCAAAAUCAUAAAAAAUUCAAAGACAAAACAUAUAAACCCAACAUUAAACUUUCAUAUUUCAUCAUAUAACAACAUAAAAAUCAUGAAUUUAUCCAUAGCACAUUUCAAAUUCAUUAUCAAAAUCAGAAAUUGAGGCAUGGGCUUGAUAAUUUAUGAAGCAACGAUUACAAAAACGUAGAAAUUAUCAAAAACUGAAGCAAAAACAUACCUAAAUCAAAGCUUGCAAGUGCCAAACCCUAGCAAAGCUUUUCUCUUUUCUUUUAUUUUGAUUUUUGGCAAUGAAGAACACCAAAUGACUUAUUUUCAUGCUAUUGUUUUAUUUUAAUUACUUUAAUAAACAUUUUACCAUUUUAUACAUGAAUUAUAACAUUAAUAUUCCACCAACUAAUGUCCACCAAUGUCAUUUAAUCAAAACCAUGGUCAAAUAACCACAUAAGGACCUCAAAAUUAUAAAGCUAAGCCAAAUAACCACUUUUACCAAGCAGUAGGCAACUUUUACAUUUUACGCGAUUAGGCCCUUUUAUCAAAUUGAGUACACAUAUGAUUAAAUUUUAAUACGAAACAUUCACACAUGCUAAUUCACACAUCAUAAGCACAGAAAAUAAUAUUUAACUAUUUUUUGACUCGGAUAUGUGGUCUCGAAACCAUUAUUCCGACUAGGGUCUAAACCGGACUAUUACAAAUGGCAUAACUCAAAAUCAUCAUCAAAAUCAGAAAUUGAGACAUGGGCUUGAUAGAUUACUAAGCAACGAUCACAAAAACAUAGAAAUUAUCAAAAACUGAAUCAAAACUAUACCUUAAUCAGUAGUCGAAUAUCAAAACACAGGAACCCUAGCUUUUUUUUCUUCAAUUUCUGCUGAAAUGAUAAAUAUAAUGCCUAAUUUGAUGUUUUGUUUUAAUUAUAUUAACAUAAUAUUGUAAUUAUUAAUUUAACCUUGGUUAAAACAUAAAAUCACAUAUAUUAAGACAAUUAAUGUCCACUCAUAAGUUCAAUGGUCUAAUUGCAACAUAAAGACCUCUAAUUUAAAAAGACAUAGCAAAUAGGCACACUUAACAUAUGGCAAGCAACUUUUACAUUUUAUGCGAUUAGGUCCUUUUAUCAAAUUGAGCACACAAACGAUUAAAUUUUCAUACGAAACUUUCACACAUGCUUAACCAAAUACUGUAAACACAAAAAAUAAUAUUUAAAUAUUUUUUUGACUCAAAUUUGUGGUCCUGAAACCACUCUUCCGACUAGGGUCUAAACCAGGCCGUUACAGCUAACCACACGCCUGUGUGACUAGCCCGUGUACCCUUUGAAAUAGCUUCACACGCCCGUGUGCCAGGCCAUGUGCUAGAUCGUGUGAAAAUUGGAGGGUAUACUGACUUAUGCCAUACGACCAAGUCACACGCCUUUUUGCUAGGCCUUAUGAAGCUACUGACUUGAUUUCAAAAUAAAUAUCAGGGGACGCACGACUGUGUCACCUAGCCAUGUGUCACACACGACUGAGACACAUGCCCGUGUCCCUGCCGGUGUGGAAUGAAAGUAGGCUAUUUUCUAAGCCAUUUUUCUUCCCUAAACUUUCAACAACCUAAACCCAUCAAAUAGCAUAUGACCAUAUCAUCGAUAGGUAUUCAAACCAAUCUCAACUAAGUCCAAAUCAUGCAAAAUCAAUACCAGCAACCACAAGGCUCAUAAACAUCACAAUUAAUCAUUCAAAAACAUUCCAAUAUGCCUCCAAAGUAUAACUAAAUGAUCAAACUCACUUAUUAGACUUUGUGCCUAAUUCAACAUGCAUACUACAUUCUCAAGUUCAACUAUUUUGUACUCAAAAUACCAAUACACAAUUAAAGCAUUUCCAUGAAAAUCCAAACACAUACCAAAAUGAGAAUAACCACAUAUAUACAUACAAAACCAGCAUAUGCCUGAUCAAGUCAUAUUAAAUGACUAAAUACAUAACCAAAUUAUAUAGGCUUCCAUUAGCCAAAUGACCUAUACAUGCCAUAUAACCAAAAUAUACAAAGUUCAAAAGUACCAAAAAAACAGCUAGAUAGUGUGAUGAGAUCUCUAACAACUUCCAAUCUGAGCAAGCUUCAAAAUCACUAUAAAACACGGAAAAGUAAAUAAAGUAAGCUAUUAAGCUUAGUAAGCUCGUAUGGUUAAUAAGUACAACUUACCAUUUAAUCACGUUUUAAGUACUUAAACAUGUCAUAAUACAACUCAAUUUAAUCCACAAUCCUAACACAUAUUCAUCCAUAAAGUCAGACAUAAAAUUCACAAAUUCAUAGAUUCAAUGCUUAUAUGAUUCACAUACAUACAUACCUGUAAUGAUACAUAUCAAUCUCUUAUUCUUUCAUACCAUCAAUAUACAUGUUGAAUCAUUUGGAAUAAUAUCGGAUACUCGGGAACCUCGCACACUAAGUGCCCAUACAUGGUCAAACCAUUUCAAUCUCAUAUCUCAUAUAAAUUGUAAUACCCCUACCCGUAUUCAUUGCCGAAAUAGGGUACGAGGCAUUACCGGAGUUUACGAAUUAAAUUUUUUUUAUAUUCAAUAUAGCCCCUUUAUAAAUAUCUAACCUUCCCUGCAAUAUUAAAUCGAGACCAAUCCACAUCAACCAAAUCAAUUCAACAUAUUUUCAAGAUAAAUUCAUGCAUAUUUAUAAGAUAACGUCAUCACAUAUCUAAAACCAGGUUUGUUAACCAUACUAAUGGCUAACUUUACAUUCAUUUCACGUUAACAUUUACUUUGUUAGCUUAUACAUGCCAUUGACUUCCAAAAUAAAGUUUCUUUAUAUACUGAAAUCCUAAGGUUGACAGUGUGAUGUGUCUCCGACCAAAUCCGACCUCCAAGCUCUUAACACUACAAAACAGGGAAAAAGGAAACGGGGUAAGCACUUUGUACUUAGUAAGCUCAUGUAACAAGAGUUAUACUUACAAAAUAUUUUCAAUACAAUAUAAUAAACAUUCAUAUAUCCAUUCAAUGCAUUAUUACCCUAACAUGCACAAACUCAACAUUCAAGUUAGUACAAUAAUUUCCAUGUAUCAAUAAUAUAUAUACCAUGAUUGAUGAGCUCGUCAAUACCAUGAUUUCCAUUUCCUUGUUAUUUUUCCAUAUUUAUCCCGUUGAAUUUAUUGGAAUUUCGAUGGAUUUUCAGAGGUACACAUUUAUUGUACAAUUCCGGGUCCGUCAAUUCAUAUUCAUGUGCGCACAUAUCCAUUUUAGAGAGCACACUCCCGCGAACCUCAACCUUGCAGCGGGAUUACCAGUCCAGGCUAAAUCCCCUGCAAUAUAAACUCAUAGAGUAUUGUCGAGAUUACCAGUCCAGGCUAAAUCCUCUGCAACGACAAUUACUCUAAUGAGCUUGGAUCUGAAUUACCAGUGCAGGCUAAAUUCAGACCCUAAUUCGGAUUAUCCGUCUGGGCUAAAUCCAUUUUACACAUAUUCUUCGGGAGGGCUAUAUCAGGAUAGGAUCACCCGUCUGGGCUAGAUCCUUUUUACCGUCAAUUCCUUUUCAGAGAUCUAUCGAAUUUUCCUUUCAUUCAACCGGGAUUUCUUCCCAUUUUAUCAAAUAUAUCAAUGUUUCAUCAAUUUUCAUAUAAUGAACAUUCAAAUCAUAUUCAUAUAAAAAACAUGCAUUUCAAGCAUUUAAGAAUAUAAUUCAAGUUACAUGAACUUACCUUGAUACUUGUUUGUAAACAAUAAAAAUCUACUAAUCCCGAACUUUUUCCUUUCCUCGAUCUAGCUUCGUAUUUGAAUCUUCUGGAUCUAAAUAAAUAAAUUUAAUUAUCAAUUUAAUACAUUUCAUGUUCAUAUGCAACAUUCUCUAUAAUUCAACUAUUAUUUAUAGUUUAUUCAAAGCUGUCUACUUGAGUCAUAGUCACUAAAUUAUUUAUAACUUGAGCUACGGAACUCCAAAUUAAGAUCCAUUAAUUUACCCUGAAACUAGACUCAUAUAUUUUUACCAUAAAAUUUUCAGAAUUUUUGGUUUAGCUAAUAAGUACAUUUUAUUCUUUAAAGUCACCCCUGUUCUGCUGUCGACAGUUCUGACCCUUCUUCACUAAAAAUUAAUUAUCUCUUCAUACAGAAUUCAAAUAAUGUUCUCGUUUGUUUCUAUUAAAAAUAGACUCAUCAAUGAUUCUAGAAAUAUAAAUUUAAGCCCAUAAUCGUUUUUAUUAAAUUUUUUAUGAUUUUUCGAAGUUAGAACAGGGGAACCCGAAAUCAUUCUGACCUUGUCUCACAAAAUUCAUUAUAUCUCAAAAUUUACAAAUCCAUUGCUUACACUAUUUCUUCUAUGAGAAACUAGACUCAAUAAUCUUUAAUUUAAUAUUUUUUUCAUCUUCUAAUUCGAUUUAUACAAUUUAUGGUGAUUUUUUAAAGUUAGUAUACUGCUACUGUCCAAACUGUUUUUGUGCAAGCUGUUUAUUACCAUUUUCCCCUGAGCUUUUAAUAAAUGAUAAUUUCGUCCUUACUCAAUUAGCCUCUCAAUUGAGCUGAUUUUUCUCAAUUAACAUUUUAUUCUAUCACCUUAAACUAGUUUACAACCUUUAGGAAUCAGAAUUUCAGCAAUAGACUUUAAUUCCAAGCAUUUUCACAAUUAGGUCCUAAAAAUCAAUUUCUAUUGAAAUUACCUAAUAAAAUCAUCUCAUAAACAAAUUAAAGCUUUAAUUUAAUUCUAUUUCAUCAUAAACUUAUAGCAAUCAACCAUGGUGACUUUCAAUUUCAUCCAUGAAAUCUAAAACUAAUGAAUUUAAUAGUAGGACCUAGUUGUAAAAGUCUUAGAAACACAAAAAUUACAAGAAAAAGGCAAGGAUUAACUCACUUGGUGCAAAAAUUAUGAAAUAUCAGCUUAGAGAACCCUCCUAUGGCGUUUUUAGCUGCUGGAAUUGAAGAGAAAUGAAGAGAAAUAUAGAUAUUUCCUAUUUAGUCCUAGCUUUAUUUAGUUAAUUUUGCAAUAUUCCAAUUUUACCCUUAAUUUAUCAAAUUUUCUGCUGAUUUCAUACCCUUGCCGUCCAGCCCAAAUAAAUUUUGGGUCUAAUUCCCUUUUAAAUCCUUUCUCAUUAGACUCUUAAGCUAUUUAAUCAUUCUAGCAACUUUUACACCUAUUACAAUUUAGUCCUUUUCAUUUAAUUGACUACCCAAACAUUAAAAUUUCCUAACGAAAUCUUAAUUCCACACUAAUAACAUUUCAUAAAUAUUUAUAAAAUUAUUUUCGACCCGGUUUUACAAGAUAGAGGUCUCGAUACCUUGUUUUUACCCAAUUUCUUCAAUAAUUUCUUUUUCUAUCUAAUCACUAAAUUGGUAAAAUUUUUCUAUCAAUAUUUUCAUACGAUUUUCCUAUCAUAUCAAUUUUCAAGAAAAAAUAUUGAAAUAAAUUUCUCUUUAAAUCGGAUCUAUGGUUACGAAACCAUUGUUUCGAUAACCUUGAAUUUAGGCCAUUACAACUCUCCCCCCCUUUAAGGAUUUUCGUCCUCGAAAAUCUUACCAGUAAAGAGGUUUGGGUAUUGUUUCCUCAUUGCCUCCUCCGGUUCCAAUGUCACUUCCUCAAUCCCGUGCUUUUGCCACAAUACUUUCACCAAAUUUAUCUUUUUAUUUCUAAGCUCUUUUGUCUCCCGUGCCAAUAUCUUGACCGGUUCUUCACUGUAAGUCAUAUCCAGUUGAAUCUCUACUUCUGUCGGAGAAAUAACAUGUGAAGGAUCUGAUCGAUAUCAUCGUAACAUAGAUACAUGAAAAACAUUAUGGAUUCUAUCAAGUUCCGGUGAUAAUGCGAAUCGAUAAGCGAUCAGUCCAAUUCUUUCUAUGAUUUCAUAUGGCCCGAUAAAUCUUGGACUCAGUUUACCCUUUCGACCAAAUCGGAGGACUUUCUUCCAAGGAGACACUUUCAGGAAUACCUUGUCACCGACUUGAAAUUCAAUCUCUUUUCGUUUAAGGUCGGCAUAUGAUUUUUGACGAUCGGAAGCUGCUUUUAGACUAUCUCAAAUAACUUUUACUUUUUCUUCUGUUUCCCGGAUCAAAUCAACCCCAUGUAUCUUCCUUUCACUAAGCUCUGUCCAAUAUAACGGUGUUCUACAUUUUCUACCAUACAAAGCUUCAUACGGAGCCAUUUUAAUACUAGACUGAUAACUGUUAUUGUAAGCAAAUUCAAUCAAAGGUAGAUACCUCUCCCAAUUACCUUCAAACUCUAGUAUACAACAUCGAAGCAUAUCUUCCAAUACUUGAAUUACACGCUCAGAUUGACCAUCUGUCUGAGGAUGAAAUGCAGUACUAAAAUACAACUGAGUACCCAAGGCUUCUUGCAAUUUGUCCCAGAAAUGAAACAUAAAUUGGGGAUCUCUAUUUGAUAUAAUGGAGACAGGCACUCCAUGUAGCCUGACAAUCUCAGAUAUGUACUGUUCAGCUAGUUUAUCUAAAGAAUAAUCCAUACGUACUGGAAUAAAGUGAGCUGACUUUGUUAAUCGGUCAACAAUCACCCAAAUAGCAUCUUUUUUCCUCGGAGGCAAAGGUAACCCCGAUACAAAAUCCAUAGUGAUUCUUUCCCAUUUCCAUUCUGGUAUAGUAAUUGGCUGAAGUAACCCCGAAGGUACCUGAUGUUCAGCUUUAACUUGUUGACAUAUUAAACACCUUGAUACAAACUCAGAGAUAUGACAUUUCAUUCCCGACCACAAGUACAUCUUUUUCAGAUCAUUAUACAUUUUAUUACUCCCCGGAUGUACAGACAUAAUACCGCUAUGAGCCUCGCGUAGAAUCUUCUGUAUGAGCUUUGAAUUAUGAGGUACACAUACCCUACCUCUGAAUAAUAAACAACCAUCAGAACCAAUCUGAAAUUCAGAAUCAUUACCUGACUCACACUGUGCCUGUUUAACUUGUAACUUAUCAUCAUUCUUCUGAGCUUCACAUAUUUGCUGUAAAAAUAUCAGUUUAGUUCUUAAUUCUGCUAGGAUUGAACCUUCAUUAGUCAAUGAUAAUCAGGUAUUCAUAACUCGUAAAGCAAACAGAGAUUUCCGGCUCAAAGCAUCAGCUACAUCAUUAGCUUUACCCGGAUGGUAAUCAAUAAUCAAAUCAUAGUCCUUUAUCAGUUCAAGCCACCUGCGAUGUCUCAAAUUCAAAUAUUUCUGUGUCAUCAAAUAUUUCAAGCUUUUAUGAUCAGUAUAAAUAUGACAUUUCUCACCGUACAAGUAAUGCCGCCAUAUCUUCAGCGCAAAUACAAUAGCAGCUAAUUCAAGAUCAUGUACUGGGUAAUUUCUUUCAUGUGGUUUAAGUUGUCUUGAAGCAUAGGCUAUUACUUUACCUUCUUGCAUCAAAACACAACCUAAACCAUUUAAUGAGGCAUCACUGUAAAUAACAAAUUCCUUACCCAGUUCAGGCUGCACUAAUACAGUUGCUUUCGUUAAUAUGUCUUUCAAUCGGUUGAAACUUUGUUGACAUUCAUCAGUCCACUUGAACUUUACAUCUUUCUGCAAUAAUCGAGUCAUUGGAGAAGCUAUCAUAAAGAAUCCCUGUACAAAUCUCCGAUAAUAACUAGCUAAACCCAAGAAACUUCUAACUUCAGAUACAUUCUUCAGUGGAUUCCAAUUGACAAUAGCUGAUAUUUUACUUGGAUCUACCCUGAUGCCUUCGGCAGAUACAAUGUGUCCAAGAAAACCCACUUCUCGAAGCCAAUAUUCACAUUUAUUGAGUUUAGCAUAUAACUACUUCUUUCGUAGAAUUUGCAACACAAUUCUCAAAUGUUCUGCAUGUUCUUCUUCAUCCCGAGAAUAAACCAAAAUAUCAUCAAUGAAUACUACUACAAAUCUGUCUAAGUACGGCCUGAAUAUCCUGUUCAUCAAAUCCAUGAAUACUGCAGGUGCAUUAGUUAGCCCAAACGGCAUAACUAGAAACUCAUAAUGCCCGUACCUGGUUCUAAAGGCUAUUUUUGGCACAUCUGACUCCUUUACCCGUAAUUGAUAAUAACCUGAUCGAAAAUCAAUCUUUGAAAACACAGUAGCACCUUUCAGUUGAUCAAAUAAAUCAUCAAUCCGGGGUAACGGGUACUUAUUCUUUAUGGUUACUUUAUUAAGCUGCCGGUAGUCGAUACACAAUCUCAAAGACCCAUCUUUCUUUUUUACAAACAGAACCGGAGCACCCCAAGGUGAAUGACUCGGUCGGACAAAACCCCUGUCAACAAGUUCUUGCAACUGUGUCUUUAACUCCUUUAAUUCUGUAGGAGCCAUACGAUAUGGAUCUAUGGAGAUCGGAGUAGUUCCCGGAAUCAAAUCUAUAGAAAAUUCCACUUCUCUUUCUGGUGGCAAUCUCGGUAAUUCCUCUGGAAACACUUCGGAAAAUUCACAUACCACUAGAACUGCCUGUAUUUUUGACUCAGAUACUUUGGUGUCAAGUACAUAAGCCAAGUAAGCAUCAUACCCUUUUUUGACAUACCUCUGUGCUGCCAUUACCGAAAUCAUAUCAGAUAACCCCUCUGUCUGAUUAGAUUUAACCCGGAGCAACUCACCAUUCUGACAUUUUAGAACAAUAUAUUUUUGUCUACAAUUUAUUACCACACCAUGCUGGGUUAACCAAUCCAUGCCCAAUAUCACGUCAAAUUCAUCAAAUGACAGUAACAUCAAAUCAGCCACGAAACAAUAACCUCUUACCAUUAGUGGACAAUUUUUACAAAUUUUAUCCACCAACACAGACUGGCCCAAGGGGUUCGAGACUUUAACCACAAAUUCAGUAGGUUCAACAGAUAAAUUUUUAAUAAUUGCAAGUUUAACACAUAUAUAUGAAUGCGUAGAACUAGGAUCAAUCAAUGCAGUAAUAUCAGUAUCAAGUAAAGAAAAUGUACCAGUAAUAACAUCGGGUGCUGAGGCAUCUUCUCUGGCACGAAUGGCAUAUGUCCUAACAGGUGCUCGUGCCUCAGGCCUACCUGCAGUAUCUUUUGUAGCUCCUCGACUACCAUUGACAUUACCGGAUGGUCGAGGUGGUCUACCUCUCGAAACUAGAUUACUCAACUUCGAUAUCUGUUCAGCUUCUUUUUCACCCCUUUCUGGACAAUCUCUGAGGAAAUGGUCAAAAGAACCACAUCGGUAACAAGCCCCGCUCUUUAAUCGACAUUCACCAAAAUGAGCUUUAUUACAGUACUGGCAUCUCGGUUUAGGAGUGCCAACACUGCCAACACUGGUCACUGAUGGAGUAGAAGGCCUUGGAUUAGUGCGUUGAGAACCUCGCUCUUUGCCCGAAUACCCAAUGGCUGAAGUAGAAUGAUCCUAAUACUUCUUCAAUUUCUUUGAAGCAGAAAACUGGGAUUUUCCCAUCAGUCUUUUACUAAAAAUUCGAGCUUCCCUCUCAGCCUGUUUCUUUUCUUUGCUCAAUUCUUCUGCUUUACAAGCUCUCUCUGCCAAUGUAGCAAACUCUCGAAUUUCAAGAAUUCUGAUCAGUAGUUUAAUGUCUUCAUUUAACCCUUCUUCAAAUCGUUUGCACAUUUCAGCUUCUAACUGUACCCAUUCUCGAGCAUAUUUACUCAAUCGCACAAAUUCUCUUUCAUUUUCAGAUACUGAUCUGUUACCCUAUUUCAACUCAAGAAAUUAUUUUCUUUUCUAAUCGAGAAACCUUUGGCUGAUAUAUUUUUUCUGAACUCGGUCUGAAAGAAUUCCCAUGUAAUUUCUUCUUUCGGAACAACUGAAGCUUUAGUACUCCACCAAUGGUAAGCUGUGUCUUUUACCAGUGAGACGGCACAUUUCAGACAUUUUUCUGGUGUACAAGAUAAUUCUUCCAAAACCCGAGUAGUGUUUUCUAACCAGAAUUUAGCCCGUUCAGAAUCAUCAUCAACUGCUGCUCGAAAUUCUUCGGCCCAUAUUUUCGAAUUUUAUCUACUGGAGCUUUUCCUUUUCUGACAGAUUCAGUACCUGCACCCUGUGGGAUCUCGGGAACCGGUGAAGGAGUAGGAGUGGGAGCUUGAACUUGCUGCACUACAGGGUUAGUUCUUAAAUAUUGAUUAAACCAUUCAUUCAUCAUUUGAAAGAAGGUUGUUUUUGCCUCCUCCCCUUGACCCUCUGUCUCGGGCCUUCUACUGCUAGUUUCUUCUCUUUGUACUGAAGCCGGAGCAUGACUCCCAGCUUCUUCAGAUUGAGCUCGGUCGGAUGACAUUACUAUAAGAAAAAACAUUUUAAAUGGUCAGGAGAUAUCACACUAUCAAUAAUAAUUUAAAUGGCAUGUAUAGCUAAUCCCGUAUUUGCUACAUCGGUCCUAGAACCGGCUAAACCAUAGCUCUGAUACCAAUAAAUGUAAUACCCCUACCUGUAUUCAUUGCCGAAAUAGGGUACGAGGCAUUACCGGAGUUUACGAAUUAAAAUUUUUUUAUAUUCAAUAUAGCCCCUUUAUAAAUAUCUAACCUUCCCUACAAUAUUAAAUCGAGACCAAUCCACAUCAACCAAAUCAAUUCAACAUAUUUUCAAGAUAAAUUCAUGCAUAUUUAUAAGAUAACGUCAUCACAUAUCUAAAACCAGGUUUGUUAACCAUACUAAUGGCUAACUUUACAUUCAUUUCACGUUAACAUUUACUUUUUUAGCUUAUACAUGCCAUUGAUUUCCAAAAUAAAGUUUCUUUAUAUACCGAAAUCCUAAGGUUGACAGUGUGAUGUGUCUCCGACCAAAUCAUACCUCCAAGAUCUUAACACUACAAAACAUGGAAAAAGGAAACGGGGUAAGCACUUUGUACUUAGUAAGCUCAUGUAACAAGAGUUAUACUUACCAAAUAUUUUCAAUACAAUAUAAUAAACAUUCAUAUAUCCAUUCAAUGCAUUAUUACCCUAACAUGCACAAACUCAACAUUCAAGUUAGUACAAUAAUUUCCAUGUAUCAAUAAUAUAUAUACCAUAAUUGAUGAGCUCGUCAAUACCAUGAUUUCCAUUUCCUUGUUAUUUUUCCAUAUUUAUCCCGUUGAAUUUAUUGGAAUUUCGAUGGAUUUUCAGAGGUACACAUUUAUUGUACAAUUCCGAGUCCGUCAAUUCAUAUUCAUGUGCGCACAUAUCCAUUUCAGAGAGCACACUCCCGCGAACCUCAACCUUGCAGCGAGAUUACCAGUCCAGGCUAAAUCCCCUGCAAUAUAAACUCAUAGAGUAUUGUCGGGAUUACCAGUCCAGGCUAAAUCCCCUGCAACGACAAUUACUCUAAUGAGCUUGGAUCUGAAUUACCAGUCCAGGCUAAAUUCAAACCCUAAUUCGGAUUACCCAUCCGGGCUAAAUUCAUUUUACACAUAUUCUUUGGGAGGGCUAUAUCAGGAUAGGAUCACCCGUCCGGGCUAGAUCCUUUUUACCGCCAAUUCCUUUUCAGAGAUCUAUCGAAUUUUCCUUUCAUUCAACCGGGAUUUCUUCCCAUUUUAUCAAAUAUAUCAAUGUUUCAUCAAUUUUCAUAUAAUGAACAUUCAAAUCAUAUUCAUAUAAAAAACAUGCAUUUCAAGCAUUUAAGAAUAUAAUUCAAGUUACAUGAACUUACCUUGAUACUUGUAAUGCAAAACAUGCCAAUAAUAGGCUUAUAGCCUAUCAGUACACUUCCUCCAAAACCAUAUAUCCCACCCCAUGUAAUGCAACAUAAUAUCAUACGUGUAUGUAGAAAUGUCAUGCUCAAAAACAGUCAUACAUAAUACAGGGGUAUUUCAGUCAAUUUACCUCACACAGGUAUAACGGUCAUUUCAUUAGUAUCAAGUCUAAGUAUACUUACCGACCCAACAGUAGAUGCACAGUCAUCUUGAGCGACCCGUGCACCUUAACAGUCAAUCAGUGCUAAUAGGCCUAUAACUCGUAUUGUGGGCCUAUAUGGGCCCACACUCUCGUAUGGCCCACAUAGCCCAAAAAUGGCAUCAGUCGUGUAGUUCACACAACCUGGCCCACAAUUUACCACACUUCAUGCAAUUUCUCGACGUGAGGUCCACAAGCCCAUUGGGCCCACACGGCCUAGUUUGGCCCAAAAUGGCCCAAUACAGUUUCGGCCCAUGAAAUCGCUCAUGGCCAUUUCAUCGACAACAUGACCUCAUUUUGAUACUAGGCCUGCCACACGGGUGGCCACGUGCCCGUGUGAAGUCGAUGGUGCACUCCUUAGUUUUUCAGCUUUUGCCAUUCAACAGUGUUUGUAGUGUGAUUACACACCUGUUGAUGAGAGAAUACCAAUCUCCACGUACUCCAACCUAUUUCAACAAAAGUUUUGGUUAGACACCUAACUUAUGAGUUGAAAGAAACUCUAACCGAACUUGUACAAAGAUCACUUACUAUUGCCUUACUUAAGUGAGUGUAGCCUUAGUCCGUUUAGAUCACUGGCAAAAGUUGACAAAAGACUCCCUGCUAACUAUCUGCACGACAACCAAAACUAUUACUCGUGUUUUCCUAAACACAUAGGUUGAUUCAACGUAUAUUAGUCUAAAGGAACGUAACCCCAAAACAAGGAAAGGACUAUUCGGGCAAUACCAACCCAAGCCAAAAUAAUCUUAGUUCGGAUCAAAGACAAGGAAAACAUUACCUCCGGUCAAGAACGCAAGAAAGGCUCUAAUUAUUUCUGUAACACUAGAGGGCUCCUUCACUUCUCAAAAGUUACUUAAAACCCGAAGACACCAUAACCAAGAGAAUAUGUUAAGACUCGACAUGGCUAGAAAAGAGAAGAAAAGCUGAAAAGUAGAGGCAAUAUAGGGACUUACUAGACAAAAAUUCAACCAAUGCACCAGUGAAAAAUGGAAAGAUCUCGAGUAAAUAGAGAGAAGAACAGAAAAGGGGAAAUAAAGUAUUCGGUCCAAGGUACAACCGGUUGUAGAAGGAAGAAGAUAGAGUCUAGAACCGAAAGUGACAAUGAGGGAGUGGUGGAGAAAUCGGUCAAAGCUCAAGAGAGGGGAAAAUAGAUAGGGAUCGACCUAACUAAAAAUAAUUGCAAGAAAGAGUUAAGAAGAAGGGUAGCAAAAGAAGCCGGCUAAACAAUUGCCUGAAAGGAAACCAAAUAAAGUUGCACAACUAGAGUAAAAUAAAGUACCCGAAAGUCACCUUAAACAAAAGUUAGCCAGCAAAAACGAGAGAGCAAAGAAGCAAAAAGAGGAACAAUCGAUAACCGAAAAAAUGAAGAGAAUCACACACUACUCUCUAGACGAAUUCCUAAGUGCAUCAGAGUCCUCAAACGGCACUAACUCUCUCCUCCACAAGACUUCAAAUUUGGCAUAACUACCCCCACACCUCAGUCUCCACUAUUUCCUCCCCUUAUCCCGCUUCUAAAAUCUCUCCACUACAUCCUCAAACUGAUCACCACCCAAUCCCCAUUUCUUCUCCUCAAUUUCGGCUAACAUGAUCCAUUACUUCACUUAAUAACUCAACCGACCAAGCAAUAGAGUCCAACUGCCCUACAACCUUCCACACCACUGCUUGUAAAAAUAAAUGCACUUGCACGCAGCAAGACUCGAACUCCAGUCUUCUAGCAACAAAUAACAUGCCACUAACCCCUUGACUAGCAAGCUUUUUAUGUCAAACAACCCUCACAAUAACUUAAAAGUCUAGUAGCUGGAGACAAGGGUUAAUGCAAGUAGAAGCACAAAUUUUGCUCAAGCCAAGGCUUAAACUCAUGACUCACUAAACACUCCCAAAGCACUAAACCACUAAGACAAGCAUACAACCACGCCACAACACACGAAACUAAUUUUAACUGGGUUUUCGAGAUUUGGGGGGUUACAACUAACUGCAUCCACUCAAGACUUAAAACUUCUAGGCCCAAAAUUUGGGGCGUUACAUGUACGUAUCAGCACCCAAAACACUGUAACCCCUAAUGACAUGUCUUUUGUAUCCUAUCUUUUUCUAAGGUUCAACUGAGAUUUCAUACGUUGCCAAAUCUUCGUCGAAUAUUUUUGUGAAGUCGUAUUCAUCAAGAAUGCAAUAAUAAAGUAUUUAAAACACAAUUACUUUAAUGUUUAUUAACAUACAAACUUACCUCGAUUAUAAAAAUGCCAAAACAAGAUUGACUAGUCUGAUACUUUAUCUCUCCCUCGAUAUAGAUCCAUACGAGGCUUAACUUGAUCUAAAUAAUCAAAUUAUAUCAAUUUAGUAUUCAUUCUAUUCAAUUUAGGAGAAAAUACAUAUUUUUGCAAAUUUACACUUUUACCCCUAAACUUUUAACUUCUUUACAAUUUAGUCCUUAGCUCAUAAAAAUGCAAAUUCAUGCAAUUUACCUUAUACCCAUGCUAGUCGAAAUUCACUUAAGCCCAUAGCGUAUCAUAUUUUUCAUUAUUUUACACAUUUACCUCAUAAUUUUCAUUUUUCUCAAUUUAACCCCCUAAUUUGCAAUUUCAUUCAAUAUCACUUAACAAAUGUUGUUUAUCUAACAACAACCAUUUAUUUUCUACCGUCAAACAUCAAAACAUAUACACAUUAUCAAUGGUAAAACCCUGAUACUUUAACAGUUUCACAAUUAGUCCCUGGGCUAGCUAGAUUAAGCUACAACGACUCUGAAAACAUAGAAAUCAUUAAAAACGGGACGAAAAAUCAUACCAUGAAAGCUUUGAAAGGUUGGACGAAUGGUAAGUCUUCUCUAAUGGUGUUUUCUUUUUAAAUUUUGAUGCAAGAAGAUGAAUGAUGAAGAAAAUUGGCUUUGUUUUAAUUAAUUUAAAUUUUAUUUACUAAAUUACCUAUAUAACCUUUAUAAUUAACCAUUAAUUCACUUAAUAAAAUGUCUAUAUUUGUCCACUCAACAUGUUAAUGGUUUAAUUACAACAUAAACCCUCCAAUCAUUUAAUUGCACAGCUAAUAAUCCCUUUAGCUUAUAGAACUCUAGUUUUGCACCUUUUUUAAUUUAGUCCUUUUUGUCGAAGUAAGCAUGCUAAUGAUAAAAUUUCUUAACAAAAUAUUUAUAUGACACUAUUCACACACUGUAGAUUUUAAAAUAAUAAAAUAAAUAUUUUAACCCCAGAUUUAUGGUCUUGAAACCACUAUUCUUGUAACGCCUAAUUUUUUAAAUCUCAAAAUCUCUGUUAAAAUUUAUUUUGUACGUCUGUGACGUGGAUGUAUGUCUGCCUUAGUGGUUUAAUGCUCUGGGAGUGUCUGAGAGGGCAUGGGUUCAAGCUCUGGCUUGACCAAAAUGUUGCUCCUAAUUGAAUAAAUCAUUUUCUUCUGAUUGUAGGCUUCUUAAAGUAAUGAGAGGGUGGCUUGACAUAAAACGCCAGCUAGUCUAGUGGAAAAUAGCGUGAUACUGAUGUUAAGGGACUUGAGUUUGAGUCCUACUACAUGCAAGGAGUGUCUUUUUGCAAACUGCCGUAUGGGUGGUUGUAUGGCAUUGGGACUCUAUUGGUUGGACGGUUGAGGGAGUUUGAAUCGGUCAAGUGCCGGAUUAGUAGAGGGAUUUAAGGAGUAGUUGAGGGAGUGGAUCAAGGAGUGGGGGAGUGAUCUGGGGAGAAUUUUGUGGGGUUUGAAAGGGAGAAGAGUUGUAGCCGAAUAGGUACUUUAACCAUAGGAAUUCGACUUUGGAGUUUAAGGAGCCUCUCUUGCUUUGUAUUUUGGGUUUUGGCAUUUUUGGUCUUUUCAUCGUUGUUUUGAAGCCGGGCAUUACGGGAUUUUGUCAUGAGUACCCUUUCAGUUUUUGGUGAGUUCGAUUCUACUCUUCCCUCAAGCCUCUAAUCCACCGAUUUUUGUCCUUCACUAUUUCUUCUUUUUCCCAAUUGGUAUUCUUCUCCCUGGACGAAUAACACUUGCUUUUCCCCCUCACAAACCAUUUUUGGUUGUUAGCUAUGCUUGUAGACUUCUUCUCCUCUCCUUCUCUCAACUCUUCUGUUAUUCUUACUUUGGCCGAAUCUUGUCAGGACCUAACUAUCUCCUUCUCCUCUUUUCUUUUCUGUUCCUUGGCCGUUUCUUGCUGAAGGUUUGCUGAAAACCCCUUGAUCUAUUUGGUAAGUGUUACAGUUUGUUCUCCCUAGCCAGACCUUAUUAGGUUCUCUUCUCAAAGGUUUAGCUUAUGUACCUUUUAGGCUGAUCGUUUGUGUCUUUUCUUUUCUACCAUGGGGAAAUAUCUCUGUAACACUUCUUUUUGUACAUUUGAUGCUAGGGACUCCGGUUCAUAGUAGGGUGUUAGGCCGACUACCUUACCCCUACAAGUGACAUCUCCUUUAUUGGUAAGUACCUUAAGUCUUAGAUGCUUUUAUAUGAGACUGUAGAUUCUUACGAUUCGACUAACUGUCUCGUGUAAAGGUGAAGCGUUGGAAGGAAUACGUGGUUUUUGGAACAAGUAGGGUACUACGAUUGUUUGUUGGUAAGUAGAUAUGAUUUCUAGAUUAACGAUGUUUUAGUUUAAUAAAGGGUUGUGUUUAACCAUAGGCUCUCUACUUCGGAAGCAUCCCGGCUACAACUCCAUAAUAUGUAUGUGAACACUACCCUUAGAUGUGUAACAGCAAAAGCCGAAAGAUGGACUGUCGACACCACACGGGCAUGUAGCCACCCAUUUGGCAAGUCGUGUAACAAACAUGGUCGUGUGGUUGAUGAGAUGGCCAUGAGCGAUUCUAUGGGCCGAAAUAGUAUUGGGCCAUUUUUGGGUCGAACUGGGCUGUUGGGCCCCAUACAGGAAAAACGCACAAAAUUGUGGCAAAUAAUUGGCCAGGCUGUGUAAGCCACAUGGCUAAGGCCAUUUUUGGGGUAGGUGGGCCACAAUAGCAUGGGGGCCCACAUGUGCCCUCAAUAUGGGCUAUAGGCCCAUUACCACUGUUUGACUAUUAAGGUUGCACGGGUCGCUUUAGAUUACUGUAUACCUUCUGUUGGGACGGUAAGUAUAGUUUGACCCUAUACUGAUGAGAUGACCAAUAUUCCCCUGUGAGGUAAAUUAACUAAAUUACCCCUGUAUUAUGUAUGAUUGAUUUUGAGCAUGACAUUUCUGCAUACACGUAUGAUAUUAUGUUGCAUUACAUGGGGUGGGAUAUAUGAUUUUGGAGGAAGUGUACUGAAAAGCUAUAAGCCUAUUACUGGCAGCUCUGCUGCAAAUACUAUUUUAGUACCGAAAUCGGUAUGACAUGGUGGUAGGGCUGGGUGGGUCGAUUUUAUCCCCACAUCGUGUGUAGGGCUGGUACGGAGAUGGUGUGCAGUGGUUGGAUUGGGUAGGAUUCUUUGUUUGCAUACUGUACUGAAAUGGGCUAAGGCCCAGCCUGAUACUGUUACUAAAAAAUGGGCUAAGGCCCUAGUCGAAACUGACGGGCUUAGGCCCAGAUUGCGUUUACACUAAUUGGUUGUUAUUUUGGAAUUUUGCACACUGAGUUUUCAUAAACUCACCAUCUAUUAUCUGUGCAGGAAAUCCCCAUGCUUAUAUGGAUCGAGGCGAUGGAGGACUCGAAGGUGGCCACUCGAUGUAGUUAAUUUAUUUAAUAUACUAUAAUUUAGAUUUUUAUUCGAUAUUGGUUUUUCAUCAUGUAAUAAGGCCUUUUAAAGUUUAUUUUAUUUUGGGGAUUUAAUUACUUCAAUUUUCACUUGUUAGUAAUAGGACUCGUACUUUCAAGAAAGCUCAAACCAAUGUUUUUUUGAAAUCAUUACGCUUACGCCAUACGUUUUAAAAGCUUUCGCAACAAACACUGUUUCAAAAUUUGAGAAACUAGAAUAACUUAUAUUUUGUUUAAAUAACUUGAGUUUUCACAAGGAACUAGUCAUUCUAACCCUUUCAUUUAGAAUCUAAACAAGUUUUUAUGAAAAAUGGAUUUUUGUCAAUUUUAUGUUUUGGAAAAACACUCUAGUGUCACAUUACAGAUUCGACCGUAAUGUCUAGGCCGGGUUUGGGGUGUUACAUUUAGUGGUAUCAAAGGCAGAUUACAAAAUUCGGCUGUAGGUUUGGAUUUUCAAAACCGUGGAAAUGUUUUACUGAAGGAGUAGUACAUCGAGUCUCCGCGCAUAUCCUGAGAGUCUUCUGAUUAUUUAUACUGAAAUAAUAGUAUUGAAAUGAUAUUACUAAGACUACUUUAAGUAGUAAAAACUUUACGAAAAACUCUUAGUUAGAGUAAACUUUGAACGACGAAUUGUGAAAAGAAACUCUGAAAUAAUAUUGUUCAUAAAACAUCUGCAAUAAACACUAGAAUAAUAAUUGAUUGGCAUAAAACUUUUAAUACAGAUAAAAGCAGAAGUGGGUAAUGAGCACUAGAGGUAAUCAUGGUAAGAGCCGUAUCAGAGGCCAUGGAGGUGCUCGGGCUGGGUCUUUGUCUUCUGGACACUAGCCUAAUGAGGAAGUUAGAGGGGCACCAGCUUCACCUAUGGUUGAGACAGGGUCUCAGAAUCGAGUAGCUGGGGACAACGUAUUGUCCUGAGUAAUGUUGAGAAUUCUAGAAAGGGUCGCUGGGCCUAGUACUGGUAAUGUCGGUCGUGGGUCAGUUACGAAACGACUCGGGUCUAAUGGGGCAGAAAUAUUCAGGGGUAUUGCUGGAAUUUCCUCUAAUGUGGCUGAAUAUUAGAUCAGGCCACAGAAAGGAUCAUGGAUGACCUUGACUACACCUCUGAUCGGAAGCUAAAAGGUGCAGUAUCUCUAUUGAGAGAUGAGCUUUAACAAUGGUGGCUUACCGUCAAAGAGGGUACUCAAGUCGGUCUUUUGACUUCAGAGUUUUUCAAGACUACUUUUCAAGCUAAAUAUGUGGGUGCCAGCUAUGUGGAUGCCAGUAGAAGGAAAUUUCUGAACUUAACUUAGGGAGAUAGGACAGUGGCUGAAUAUGAGGUUGAAUUUUUACGACUGAACUGCUAUGCUCGUGGGAUGGUGGCUACAGAAUACGAGCGGUAUUUUUUAUUUGAGGAUGGCCUCAGAGAUGGUUUAAGGGUUCUGAUAGCUCCUUAGAGGGAGAGGGAUUUUGCAGCCCCAGUUGACAAGGGAAAAAUCAUCGAGAAUGUGACGUGCGCUGAGUGCCAGAAUAGGGAGAAAGGAAGAGGUAAGAGGGAUGUUGUGCCCUCAAAUUCAUUUUAGAGGUUUAAGAAAAAACCCAGAGCGGAUGGGCCUAUCAGAGUUAAAGCCUCUACUGCUGCUACUGCUGGAUCGCAAUUCUGUGCUGAUUGUGGAAAACGCCAUCAGGACGAGUGUUGGAGGAAAUUGGGUGCAUGUCUGAGGUGUGGAUCAUUGGAGCAUCGGGUUAAGGAUUAUCUGCAGAGGCUCGAUCAGAUGCAAGUUAUUGGUAUGAGUACGGGUCAACCACUAAGAGGCCGUGGUCAGGUCAGGGGUAGAAAUGGUAUGGGUAGGGGUUGUGAAGAACUGGGCAGAUGUGCUGGUCAUACUGAGGCGAGACAACUGGCACCGGUUUACGCUACACAUCGUCGAGAGGACGGAGAUGCUCCAGAUGUCAAAACGGGUACGUUCUCUAUCUAUAAUGUACCUUAUACUGCAUUGAUUGAUGUUGGGUCUACGAAUUCAUACAUAGCAUGCUCUGUGUCUGAGAAAUUAGGGAUUCCAGUUGAGAAUACUCUAACUGGAAUUACUGUUCUAAGUCCACUAGGACAGUCUGUUCAAGUAAAUAAGUUGUUUAGAGAUGUUCCUUUAGAAAUACAAGGAGUUGACUUUUUGGCCGAUCUUAUGGAGCUGCCUUUCGGAGAAUUCAACUUAAUAUUAGGUAUAGAUUGGCUAGUUAAACAUUGGGUAAGUUUGGAUUGUGCCACAAAAUGGCUUGUACUGAGAACUGAGGCGGGUGAAAAGGUAGUGGUAAUUGGAGAACGACGGAACUAUUUGAGUAAUGUAAUUUCUAUGCUAAGGGCCGAGAAGUUAGUUCACAAGGGUUGUCAGGCGUUCCUGGCGUAUGUCAAUGUUUCAGAUAGUAGAGACUUUUCGUUGAAGGAUAUCAAAACAGGUAAGGAUUUUCUGGACGUCUUUCUUGAGGAAUUGUCGGGGUUACCUCCAGAACGUGAAGUGGAGUUUGGGAUUAAGCUCCUCCCUGGUACUACUCCGGUGUCCAUCGCUCCUUAUAGAAUGGCACUAAAAGAGCUUGUAGAGCUUAAAGCCCAAAUUCAAGAGCUACUGGAUCGUGGGUUCAUCCGCCCUAGUGUGUCUUCGUGGGGAGCACCAGUCUUAUUUGUUAAAAAGAAGGAUGGAACCAUGCGUAUGUACAUCGAUUACCGACAACUGAAUAAAUUGACGAUUAAUAAUAAGUACCCUCUACUGAGGAUUGAUGAUCUGUUCGAUUAACCAAAAACUUGAUACAUGAUACUCGUGACAGGUUUUAAAUAUUUAUAAUGAAUCGCUCUUGAAACUAACUAUUAUCACGAUGAAGGCAAGUGUACCUAUCAAACAGUAGUAUAGCUUUAGCAAGACCGGAUUAUCGAACCCAAAAGAGCUAAAAGUACUAGUAUUUCAAAAACGUAAAAAUCAUUAAAAACGGGGCUAGAACAGACUUACAACCGAGCUUGGAAGCUUGAAAAACCCUAGAUAUGUCUUCUCCAUGCAAAUUUCAGCCAUGGGGUAGAAGAUGGACAAAAAUUGGCAAUUAAUUUUGUUUUUAAUUCAUUUUAAUUACUAGAUUACCAAAAUGCCCCUAACUUAAAAAUAUUCUAUUUCACCCAUUUCAUGUCCAUUUUGGUCCAAAAAAUUAUUCAAUGAUCUAAUUACCAUUUAAGGGUCGCCAAUUUAAAAUUUCAUAACAAUUAGACACCUCUAACUUGUAGAACUCAACUUUUGCACUUUUUACAAUUUAGUCCUUUUGACCAAAUUGAGUGCCCAAACGUCAAAAUUUUCAAACAAAAUUUUCACUAAAUCAUCCCGUGAAAUUGUAGACCAUAAAAAUAUAAUAGAAACAAAUUUUAUUGUGUCGUAUUUGUGGUCCCGAAACCACUGUUCUGGCUAGGCCUUAAUUCGGGAUGUUACACCAUCCAGGCUGUAGUAAACCUGAAGGUACUUGAUGUUCAGCCUUGACUUGCUAACAUAUCAAGCAUUUCGAUACAAAUUCAGAGAUGUCUCUCUUCAUGCCGUUCCACCAGUACAUUUUUUUCAAAUCAUUAUACAUUUUGGUACUUCCCAGAUGAACAGACAAACGGCUAUCAUGUGCCUCUUGAAAGAUUUUCUGAAUAAUUUCUUCGUUCCUUGGUACAAAAACUUUGUCUCUGAACAUCAAACAUCCAUCAGAACCGAUCUAAAAAUCUGAUUCGAUGCCCGUCUCACAUUGAGCUUUUUUAGCUUGCAGGACACUAUCAUUAGUCUGAGCAUCAUAGAUUUCCUAAAGAAAUUUCGACCUAGCCCUUAACUCUUCCAAGACUGAACCGUCAUUAAACAAUGCCAAUCGAGCGUCCAUGGCCCUCAGCGCAAAUAAAGAUUUUCUGCUUAACACGUCGGAGACCACAUUUGCCUUUCUCGAGUGAUAAUCGAUGAUCAGCUCAUAGGCUUUAGUUAGUUCUUACCAUCUCCACUGUCUCAGAUUCAAUUCUUUUUGAGUCAUCAAAUACUUCAAACUCUUGUGGUCUGUGAAUAUACGACAAGUCUCACCAUAUAAGUAAUGCCUCUAGAUUUUCAAGGCAAAAACAAUGGAGGCAAGGUCUAAGUCAUGCGUCGGAUAAUUCUUCUCAUGUGACUUCAACUGUCGCUAAGCAUAGGCUAUCACCUUGCCAUCUUGCAUAAGUACACAACCCAGUCCAUUUAAGGAUGCAUCACUAUAGACCACAAACUCUUUUCUCGGCUUAUGCAAUACUAAAACUGGAGCUUCAGUCAGCAAUGUCUUCAACUUUUCUAAACUCUGCUGACACUUCUCUGUCCAUUCAAACUUAACGUCUUUCUGUAGCAACCUCAUCAUUGGAGUCGCUAUCAUGGACAGUCCUUUUACAAAUCUUCAUUAGUAAUCGGCUAAGCCCAAAAAGCUUCUAACCUAGGUUACAUUUUUAGGUGGUUUCCAUUCAACGAUGGCAAAGAUCUUACUUGGAUCAACUCGGAUACCUUCACACGAAACAAUAUGACCCCAAAACCCUACUUCUUAGAGCCAAAACUCACUCUUGCUAAACUUAGCAUACAAUUGCUUUUCUCGUAAGGUCUGCAACACAAUCCUCAAAUGCUUUGUAUGUUCUGUCUCAUCCUUGGAAUAGAUCAAAAUGUCGUCAAUGAACACAACGACGAACUUGUCCAAGUAAGGAUGAAAUAUCCUAUUCAUUAGGUCCAUAAAUACAGCCAGUGCAUUCGUUAAACUAAACAGCAUGGCAAGGAAUUCAUAGUGACCAUACCUCGUUCUGAAAGUUGUCUUAGGCACAUCCGAUUCCUUAACUCGCAACUGAUAGUAGCCGGAUCUCAGGUCUAUCUUAGAGAAUACAGUGGCUCUCCUCAACUAGUCGAACAAAUCAUCGAUUCUUGGCAAAGGAUACUUAUUCUUGAUAGUUACCUUAUUCAGUUGCCGAUAAUCUAUACAGAGCCUCAUUGAACCAUUUUUCUUCUUUACAAAUAAAAUGGGAGCACCCCUGUAACAUCACUCACGCAUAUCCGUUAUCAGGAUAGGGUUCGAGGUAUUACCAAAAAUUUACAUUUAAAACAUACUGAAUCGACUUACCAGGUUUAGCUCAAAUUUGAAACUUUCAGGCAUUCACAUCUUGUCCCUUAAAUGGGCCUUCAAGGCCCUAAAUAUACAUAGAGAUAGUUCAGGAUAGGACCGGGAACAUUUAAUAACUUUAAAAAAUUUCCUUACUUAGAAGUGUCACACGCCCGUGUAUGAUGGGCCGUGUGGUCACCCACACCAGUAUGGCCUAGGGCACGUCCAUGUCUCUAACUCGUGGGAAACACUGGCUUUUAGGCACGGGCAAGAUACACAUCCGUGGGCUCACCCCGUGUCCAAAACAUGAGCAUUCUGUUAAAUUAACACGGCCAAGACACACGCCCGUGUGUCCUACCCGUGUGCUAGUUUGACUUAAAGUUUUAGGUGCAGGGGACACACGGCCAUACCACAUGCCCAUGGGGAUGGACUGUGUAACACCCCGUACCCGAGACCGUUGCCGGAGUCGGACACGAGGGGUUCACAGACUAAAUUCACUUAUUUUUAUAGUCCAUUUUAAAAAUUUCCAGACAGCUGACUAACUGCGUCACUGUAACCUUAAAAAUCAUAUCUUGAGUUCCAAAACUCAAAAAUCAGUUUUGUAAUUUUUCCCUGAAACUAGACUGAUAUAUCCAUCCACAAAUUUUUUCUAGAAUUUUUGGUCGAGCCAAUUAGUACAUUUUAUUAGUUAAAGUCUCCCCUGUUACAGGGUUCGACUAUUCUGACCUUCAUGCAUUACAACUUGGAUAUCUCCCUGUACAGGGCUUCAAUACUGAUACUGUUUGUUUCUAUAGAAACUAGACUUGAAAAGGAAUCUAUAUAUAUAUGGUAUGACUUCUAAUUAUCUCUGGUUAAUUUAUAAUGAAUUUCCAAAUUCAGAUCAGGGGAUCCAGAAAUCGUUCUGGCCCUGUUCCACGAAAACUUAAAUAUCUCUUAAAAUCUGACUCAUAUGACCGUUUCGUUUCUUCCAUAUGAAAGUAGAUUCAUAAAGGUUCGAUUAAAUAAUUUAUUCACUAUUUAAAUCCAUUCCUAAUAUUUUUAGUGAUUUUUCAAAUUCACACCACUGCUGCUGUCAGCAUCUGCCUCUAGGGUAGACUUUACCUAUUACAUAGUUUCCAUGAUUCAACUAAUCCUUUAGCAUAUAUAGCACAAAGUAUGAUCGUGAUUAACCAUUCCAAUGGCCAAUCAUUGCCAAGCAUAUCCACACCUCUCAAUAACCAUAUACAUACAAAAUGAUUAUAACAUUAGGCUCAAAAAUAUAUAUAAGCCAUUUUCGCAUGGCUAUCCAAAUUUAUACAAAACCGAAGGGUACAUGACCCACAACAAAAAGGGUAGUCCUAUACAUGCCAUUUCAAAGUUCAACCAAAAGUUUACCAAAAGGGGCUUUGAUAGUGUGGACGACUUCGACUUCGAUAAUCCCGAGUCCGAUAGCUGACGAACCAAAAUCUUUUAAACAGAGAUUCAAAGAAACGGAGUAAGCAUUUAAUGCUUAGUAAGUUUUUGAGCAAUGAAAUUAGGCUCAACUGAAGUAUAGCACUCAUAUAACUAAACAGAUAAUUUCAUAUACAUAUAUAUUCUCCAAAAAUCAGUCCUACUUCACAUUUCCAACCCUUAUAUUCAUACAUAAGGGAUCAACUUAACCAAAAACCGAAAGCUCCUUAAUCGACUGAGUGAAUACUAUUUAAGAGGAAUCAAUUAAUCCAAUGCAUGUACAACACAUACCUCGUUGUUGAGCUUUUACGAGCGUAUUAAUUGAAAUUAUUACAGCAGAUCGCUCAUUCCCAAACUCAAGUAAUCUUCGGGAUUUAGCCGGAUAUAACUACUUGCACAAGGCCUUCGGGUCUUAGCCCGGAUAUGAUCACUAGCAUAAAUGCCUUCGGGACUUAGCCCGGAUAUAGUCGCUAGCACAAAUGCCUUCGGGUCUUAGCCCGGAUAUAGCAACUCACACGAAUGCCUUCGGAUCUUAGUCCGGUUAUAGUCACCUAGCACAAAAGCCUUCGGGACUUAGCCCGGAUAUCAUUCAAAUAACCAUGCACAUAUAUCAAUAAAUCAUGACACAUCCAUAUUUCAUCUUCAUUACCAAAGCUCAAACACAAAACACUUAUCACACUUACAAAUUUCGGCUCAAUAGCCACAUACAAAGGGCAUGAUUUUGAGUUACUUGAGACAUAAUCUAAUCGAAUCAUAAUCUAAGCUCCAUUACUCGAAAACUUACCUCGGAUGUGGUCGAACGAUUUCGACGGCUAUUCGAUCACUUUUUCCUUUCCCUUAUCCAAUUGUGGUCCUCUAAGCUCUUGAGCUAAUUCAAACAAAUUUAACUUAUUAAAGUCUCAUUAUGCUAGCUUACGGCCGAAUAUGACAAGGAAUUUGAUAGGUCAUAUGGCCACCUUUUAGCUCAAAUACACAAUGGUCAUAUGCAUUUUUAAUCACAUUAAGCAAUUUAAUACAAUUCAUUCGAACAUCAAAAGAGGAGCUCAAGGUACUUAGCCCAUAUAUACAUUAGACAUUAGAGUCACAUAUGUACGAAAUCACGAAUCGAAUUCAACAUAUUAGCUAAGAUUUCCCCUUAGCCAAAUUUUCUAAGUCAAGAUAAAGCCAUCAAUAUGCUUACCUAUGGCCGAACAUACACAUCAACUUAUGUACUCAUUCAUGUGGCCGAACAUACACAUCAAUUCAACACAUGCAUUACUCAUUAAUAUACAAAAUUAUAUUCGGCCUUAGCACACCUCUUGCUUGCCGAAUUUUUCUCCAUCUAGCCACAUUUUAUGUACUAUGCUGAACCAAAAAGAUCAAACACCUAGCUUAAUCAUUUCCAAAACACUUAACCAGCCCUUGACCAAGACUUUAAACAAAGUCUAUGUUCGGCUAUCACACAUAUGGGCAUUAUUAGUUCAAAGUUUUAACAAGAUUAAUUUCUUUGAUCUUAACCUAAAUAACAACCCCCAUUGUUCAUCUAGAUUUAGCAUGAAACAAACACCAACCAAGAAAACAACACCCAUGGCCGAGUAUCAUCUUCAUCACAUAGCAAGAUUUAAACCAUGGGCUAGGUAGAACUCAAACUAACAUAAAAAAUAUGCAUGAAUCUCAUGGAACAACAUCAAACUUACCUUAACCUAGCUACAAGCAUUGCCGAAUCUCUUCAACAUUUCCUCCUUUCUUUUCUUUUGAAUUUCGGUCAAGAAGAAUGAAAAAGGAUGGACAUUUUUUUUU